rnacentral:lncRNA from 1 species
CCGGCGGUCACAUGACCCCCAACAAGCCUUCCACCUUGCGCUAUUUACCGGGGGGGACCAGGAAGUACCCCGGUUUGGCUUGGAAGAUGGCAGCAGGUAAGAGUCGUUGUGUUUUGUGUGUUUGGCGUGUAGUUGUCCAGUGUGCACCCCCAAAAACCUAACGCGGGGAGAAAAGAGUCCAGGUAGAAAGGGGGAAAGUGGGUUGGAGUGUCGGGCCUGCGGACUCCCGGCACCAACUUACCCCACUCCCCCCUGUAUAAACCCUUGCCGUUAAAAACAAAUGAUUUAGCUUCAACUAGAGACUAAGUGCACUGAUAGGGCUUCAGAAUUUCCAUCUCCGCUCUUACAUUGUGCAGGGACUUUUUUUUUCAACCUCAGAUACCAACCUCUGGUCUCCAGCUGUGUUUUUCUAAGUGACUCAAUGCAGGAUGUGUCUCAUCAACUCCACAGUCAUCACGUAAAGGUGAGAAAGGGAGCGUUUGGACUGCUGAGUGUGGAUCAGAGUGUAGAGUUUCUGUAUAUGUCAGACAUCAGUGUGGACACUGAGAGUUGGAGUGAGGGGAACAGGAAAACCCCCUCCUCCAAUCUCUGAAAAACACAGCUGUGUCCUGUUAUCAAACACAAUAUGACAGACACUAUCUCGGCCUGUAUGAACACACACACACACUCCACAUCCUGCUACUCUGACACUAGCGCAUAGUGCUUAUACUCAAUUUGAGAGGCCCAAAACUUUAGAGGGAAUGGUGUUUGUUGACUUUGUUGUUAAAAUUGUUGAGUGUUGACACAAAAUUGAAUCUGACAGAAAGAAAUCAGAUGGUCAUUUUAAACGUUUCUGUAGAAGACCCCUCAUAUGACCCUUUAUAAGCUGUCUUGUAGCUUUAGAUCCUUGGGUGGAAACCUUUUUGUUGUCCCAAAGUCCAGAUCUAGAACUGAAGGAUAUCAUUUCUGUUCUACUUCUUGUACAAGGGCGUCUGCUUGAGGAGAUACAGGGUACAGAAUCAAUGACGUAUUUUGAACACAUCCAUUUACUUCUUUUAUAUUUUCGUAUCCUCAUUUUAUUGUAUUCUUCGUAGUACUUAUUGCGUGUUUUUAUCUGUACUUCUUUGGGUCGGGUGAUCCUCAUCCAGGGUAUUUCAUUGCAUUGUUGACCUUGAUUAACCUGCAUAUGACAAAUAAACCAAUCUUAAAUCUUGAAACUAAAACUUCAGUACAAAGACAGUAAAGAGGUGACUCCUGUACUGGCUGGAGGAGGAAGAUUAGUGAUCAACCAGAGCAUAAUGAGUGAAUCCUGCCAUUAGUGUGGUACUGAGGAGGAAAAAAGCAAAUGAUAGGAGGAGCUACUUCAGGCAGGCACUGGCACAUUUAAUCAACUAAUCUUUAUUGAUGUAGCGCCAAUUUACAAGUUACAAAGAAGACAUGCCUGACUGAAUCGACUAAACCGACUCGACCUUAACUAAACAUGAAGCCAAGAGCGGUUUUAUACAAUUAUUCUCCAAAGGAAACCAGAAAAAGAAAGAAAAUGUUCCCUUUACAGCAUAAUCUUCACUCCUCUCUAGUUUUAGUCUUGUGAAAAGCAACUCAGCAGGACACCAAGUCUGUCUUUGACUGUGGGAGGGUGACAGACUUUCCUCUUAAAAGGCUUUUCAAAGAUUUCCUUUAGAUCACGGUCCGCAUCUAACACCUCACAAGUCCUGGUGGACACUCAGUCUGUGUCCUCGCUGUCCUCUGCUUGGCUCAGCUGAUGUGAGACAGUGUAAGAGAGGACAGAAUAAUCCAAGCAGCAUCAGACAAAUCUCCCUGAGAGACAGCCUAAACUCUGUGUCACCCCGACUCCCAGCCGACCCACACAUGGACGUCACAGAGAGGAAAGCAGAACAGACACGACUUUCAUUCACUCUGAGUCUCAACCAUUGAGCUCUACCCUCACAAGACAGAGAGAGAAACUGGCAAAGGGGAUUCAGGGUGACGAAUGUUCUCUGUUUAAUUGGUCCUACUCUGGGUCCAGAUGCUGUCAGCAUCCAGUCCGCUGUGAGCUGUAAAUUGCUCUCUAUGUCUCUAAAAUCUUCCCUGCUGUCUGACUCAGUCUGGGUUCAGUACAGAUACUCUCAGCUCUCAUAGAAGUGAGUGUAAGAGCAUCAUUAUCGCACACUUCGAAGAGUUUGCAGACUGGAGGACACAGAGAGGACAGAACAAAAAUCCAUUAACACCAGAAUACUCUUACAAUAUUUGCAGACAGUGAGCCGCAGAGAUAACCGCAGAUCGUCUCAUUUCUGAUGGAACUGUAGUUGUCUCCUUAUAGACGGGUUUCUUGUGUACAAACAAUAAUAGGUGCGCGCAAAACCAGGGGGCAAAAGCCUGAUAUCAAUGAAGAUGCCGUAUUGUUUGCAAGUUCUCCCAGAAAUCAGAAAAAAAAUCAGAAAAAAACUUGCUGAAAUGUCCAUGAAUUUCACUCACUCUACCAAGUUGUGACGUUGUUUUAGAUGUUUCGUAUAUCAGGAGUAGGGUCGUAAUGUUUGCUGAUUGUUUGUUUUGCCGAUUCGUGCAGUUUACAGCAAAACAGCUCCUUGUCAUUUUCUUUCUCCGUUGCCUCCGCUAGUAAACAAAUAAGAAACGUCCCACUUUCUGCCCCCUGGCUGCAAACGCAUACCUGCGAUGACGUUGCACAGAAAUUUGUGUAUAUCCCUGCACAUGGGGCCCAUUGUAGACCCAAGGCGUUUUGGCGUGCAGGACAAGAGUCAUUGUUAUUUUCCACUGGAUGCACUUCUCAGUUUUAAGUAAAUGCCCACGCUGUGUAAACAGCGGGUGAACUUGUGCCGAUGUUUGCACUCGUGGCUUUGUUGGUUUUGAAGAGAGAUGUGCUUAUGCGCACAGUGGUGACACUUUCAGACAGCAGAAAGCGUCUGUGCCUAGACCAUCCUGGUUGAAAGCCUGAAGUCAGUCAGUCAGUACUUUUCUGCUGUGAUUAACAGAGGGAUAGUAAAGGAGAGGUGAACUGUAACAAGAGAGACAGAGGCCAUGAAGGCAGAGAGAGAGCAGAGAUAAAAAAUACAUCAGCGAAAAGUGAGACAUGGCCAAAAACAAAGACAGACAUCAAUUAAAAUGUCCAAAUAUUUGUGUAAGAGCGUCACAGUUUACUCAGUGUGGAAACACUGUUUGGAGAAUUCAGAUGGUUUUUCUUCCGGGCAUGAGACAAACAGGAUCGGUUGAUUCAUCUGCAUUCAGCCCAGACUCCAGCUGAAUCAGAUCGAGCCCAAACAGCAGAGUUGGGGUGUUGUGGGCGGUGGAAGGGAUGUGCGUAGUUUUUAACGUUUUUAGAACAGGCAACCCAGAUUAUACUUUGGCUAUAGCUAAGAGAGGAGGGAUAGUUUGUCAGGAAUCGAUGACAAAGAUGUUCUCUUCAGGCACUAAUUUACGAUAAAACAAACUCUCUCCAAAUGUCUCAGAUCUCGAUGUUGCCCCCUUAAAGAUGACCGCAGUGAUUUUUUUUCUCACUAUAUAUUCAAACACAUCAUUUCUGUUUCUGCAGUUUCUCCAGUUAAUGAAUUAAUAGCAGUGAAGACACACAUCAGUACACACACACACACACACUUACACACACACACUGCACGUCUCCCUGGUAUACACCCACAGACAUGAAGACGCUGUGGCUGCUGCAGAGACAACAUCUGCAGCAGCAGUCUAAGCUCUAAAUCAGGCCCAGAGAGGAUAAACAAUCUGAUCUGUCAUCAUCAGCAUUCUUCACCACUGUCUCCCCAUCACCAUCACUAUCGCCACCAUCUCCAUGGCAACGCACCAGUCUGCCAUCUCCAGCCCUCCCAACCCCCCUUCCUUGUAGCUGCAGUGGCGGCUGCAGACACUCUAGAGGGCAGUGUUGCUCUCAGAUUGGAGCGCAGGAAGCAGCUGCAGUGUCUCCCCCGGGCCUCCCAGCGUGGAGAAGGGAGGCUCUCUUCCUCUUUUGUUUCCCGAUGCUGCAGGACGGGCCCCCUGCCAGCCUACCUCCCUCCAAAAUACUGUGUGAACAAAAAGAAAAUGUGUGGCAGUCCACAGAUUACAAAUCUGCAGAUCUGGCUCAGCUCUCUUAUAGAGUGUUACGGCUGCUGUUGUGCAGCAUUAACUGCCUGUGCCAGUCGAUACAGAAGCAUUUUAUUUCCUCCCAGGGUCUCAUAAAGCGUAAAAGCACUCAUGCUUCACUUUACAUAGAAAUGAGAAGUAAAAAGAGAACCUGCUGCUGCCAGACACCUGACAGAAUCCAUCUCUGAAUUAUGGAUUGUUUACUUUCUCUGAGAGGUCCCUUCUCCCCAAAGUGCAGAGUUUUUAAAAAUUUUGGUGAAAACAUCAUGAUGAAUAAUCUCCUGUAAAGCAGACUGUGACUGUAAGUGAUGGCAGAGUCCAACACAUAAGGAUGAACCUCCAGAGGUUGCAGAAAUCAAUGCAGCCCUUAAAUCUGGGGGUUUAAAGGCUGCAUAGGUCUGUGUUGAAUCUUAAUUUUUAGGCUACUUUCUGGAUUCAAAAGGACAGCAGAGAUUUGACUUGAAGUCUCAUUAAAAAUGAUACUAGAAAUUUCAUGAAACACAAAAAUUGAUUAAAAAACACUCAUGUAAAGGUGUGUCAAUGUCGAAGCUCUGAGAAGAAAGAUAUUCUCGAGGGAAACCUGUCCUCCACAGAAACCACACUAAAGCAGGGAACAUGAAGUCAAACUGAAAACGUUUCCUUGUAAAAUUUGCAGCUUUCAACCAAAUCCACUUGAUAAAUAACAACUACCAUAUUUUUCGCUCUAUAAGGCGCACCUGAUAAUAAGGUGCAUCAUCAAUGAACGCGUCUAUUCGCUUCUAUCUUCAUAUAAGGCGCACCGGAUUAUAAAGCACAUUAAGCCAAACAAAACAGUCAACAACUCCGCGACGCUAGCCAAAAGGAUUUAAAGUGCGCCUUAUAGUGCGAGAAAUACAGUAAAAUAGUUAUAUAUAUGGUCUUACAUUGUCAGCGAAGUUCUCCUAAAUGCCAGAAAACAAGUUUAUGAGCAAACAUCAAUGUUAUAUCAUUAUUAUUAUUACCAUUAUAUUACAAAUAUGUUUAUUUAUCUAAAAUAAAUGCUUAAGUCUGUUUAAUGUUAAUAAACAGAAUAAUAGUUAUGACAGUUAUAUAAAUUAGUGACAAGUUUUUAAAGAUAGCCUACUAAUGUCUAUAAGGAAUAAUAAAUGUUUUUAUUAUGCUGUUUUUAACACUAACAAAGAUGUAUUUCAAUUCCUUUUCAUUUCACAUAGCUUUUUUGUUGACCUACCAACUCGUAAUUACUGCUUACUACGAGAACCUUAAUAUGAAGUGCCGCCAAACACACUCCUCACCUUUGAAAUAUUAAGAAAGUAUCACCCAAAACACAAACUUAAGUCACUCUCUGUAUAGUUUGUGGUUUAGAUCCUCCUUUGCAGUCACUGGGAAAUCUUCCAGCGAACUGAAAAGUACCUCGGACUCCACAUAUGUGUCUUCUCUUCAUAUAAUACACUGCAUUCAUUGGCUAAAGAUGGAGGGUUUGGCGAGGCGCGUCCAUCCUCAUGUGAUUGCUCUGUAGUUUACAAUCCGUCUUGUUUGUGACCCAUCCGGCCUGUCAAUCUCAUGAAUCCCUGGAGCUGUAAUUUAAGCUCCUCCGGGCCACACACCCCCACCCACCCACCGCAGAAAAUGUCCAUCUCAAAUAUCUGAGCGAGUGAUUUCGUCCCGUGGUGAGUCUGAAAUUCUGAUUUAUUGGAGAACCAAUCAGAUAACUCCCAGAGGUAUUGAAGGUGAAGAUUUUCUGCAGGGUUCAACUCCCUCUUACGCCCUGCUCUGACAUGUAGUGACAAACACAUCCCUCAGCAUCACUCAUGGAUAAUCUGCAAGGAGGAUGGAAGUAGGUCAAGGUUUACUGGGAAGCAGAGGGCCGUGAAACAUUCACCAACAUGAUGGAAGUAUUUAAAUUUCAUGCAUCGGUCAUUUUCAGCCAGAUGUGUUGAAGAGCGUGGGCGCAAAAAACAACAAACAUCAGCAAAAGCAUUGUAGCGCUAAUCGCUCGCCGCUCACACCCAUGACAAAUCGACUGCUGUGUACAUUUGGGUUUCCUGCAACAGACAUGUGAGGGGAGAUUUAAUCUUUCCCCCGGAGCGACCCCGCCCCUGUGACAGCAGAGGUCACGGGCACAAAUCAGCCGCGUUGAUAAUAGACACACAACUGCUGCCAUCAUGCUCCCACCGUAUCCUCCUGAGGCCCCCCUCACACACCCAGAGAAUGAGGAGUAUUAAUGACCCCCGCUCUCACUCUCAAACAGCCGCUGCAUUUUUCCCCAAAAAGAAAAAAAAAAAACCCUGACCUGCUCCCCACGCAGAGACAGAGACAGAUGAAACACUAAUACAUGUAAACACUGCAGAUUUAGGAUCAGGAGUCGCCUCUGGAGCAUGACCUUAAUGCAUUCUUAGAUGCAGAAUAAUCCAAGUAGGCGGAGUAAUAUUAGGCUUUCAAAGGCCAACAAACAAGCUGCCAUGAUUUUUUUGAUAGAGUGGACUCACUCUGGGUUUUUGCGAGACCCUGUCCAAGAGUCUUCCAGGUUGCGCUAUCUGAGCUCAUUUUUCAAAGAGAGAAAAUGAACUGGGAGUCGGACACUCCUUUCGCUUCUGCAGAUGUGACUUUGUGCAGCUGUGCAUUACUCAACUGCCUGCUCUUGAAAAUGUGAGAAUAGUAACCUUUGAAAAUGUGAGAAUAGUAACCUUUUUAUUGUUUUAAAGUUGUAUCAAUCGUGCAAAUUGAUGCAAAUGUCCUCAUUAGUUCCAAGGUAAUCAAGGUGACCAUAUGUCCUCUUUUACCCUCACAUGUCCUCUUUUUUGGGGGCUGUCCGGCCUGAUCCGAGGGAGAUUAUGAAAUCCUUCAAAUGACCGGGGUUUUGUAUGAAAGUUUUGAAUUUGUGUCACUUGGACUUACUGAGUGUGUAAAAAACACUUGACUCAACCCGAAAAGUAGGGUGACCAUACGUCCUCUCUUACGUGGACAUGUCCUCUUUUUGGGGGGCUGUCCGGCUUUGUCCAGGGAAGUUUAUAUGAUUCAGCAACGGCUGACAACAGGUGACAACAGGUAACUGUAGGCAUCCAUCUUGAUUUUCCGACUUGUUUACUGGAACGUUGUCACCUCGGGUGUAACGUCAUUCCCAGCUCCGACAUCUGACUUUUGAGGUAACUGGAACCCGUGAUAUGUCUCAAUUUUUGUGAAAUAGUAUUUUUGUUGUUAGAUGACUUUGCUGCAGAAGACUGCCAUCUAUAUUUGGGUCUGUCAGAAGCUUUUUUUUUGAUCAGCUGAUCAUUAAGGUCCAGUGAGAGGGUGGUGCAGCCUAAAACAGACGCCACAAUUUGCACAAAGUAUAGAACUACGAAAGGCAGAGGGUUUUAUUUUUGUUUUAUGGUGCUGUGGUCAAUGGGUGAUGAAUCAGGACUGCAGACAGGCCAGGUUAGCAGCAGGAGUCUUCUGCUACAGGGCCAUGCUGUUGUAAUUUGUGUAGUGUUUGCAUUUGUUGCUAGUUUUGAGCUGUGAGCUGGGUACAAGUCAGGUUGUCCCUCUGCUCUUUAGAGUCCAUCCUAAACGGGCUCAAGUCCAGAGAAGAUGCUUGUUGUCUUGAUCACUUUCAGCAUCCGUAAAGACUGAGGAACAGAAAACGCACGUGAGAGCGUCUAGUCUGGCAAAAACAGACCCGCUUGCAUACUUUCUUUUCACCUCUUCAACCUGCUGGACUGGAUUAGACCUCUUCUCUUCUUUACUUCAGUUUAAUUCACUCGAAAGGUGACUCACUCCCAUUCAACUCUGGUCCAAAUGGAAAUUGAAAAAUCCUUACACCUCUAACUCCUGUUCAUGUAUAAUUCUCUUUGUUAGACAGGGUCAUGUCCAGCUGGGUAUUUGAAUGAUUAAACGCUCUCCCCACAUCACACACUCAAACACUUUUCAAUUAAAAGCACAGAGUUGAAGAAAAAAAGCCCUCAGUAGCAGAAGUCUGGGAUAUUGGGCCAAACUGGAAGUGCUUUGAUCACCUUGAAUAGACGAGAUGAAAGUCUCCCACACACACAGGGGAUACUUAGUAAUUACAGAUGAAACAAUCGUUCAGAAAUACCCUGAACGGUUUUUGUCAAUCUUCCAGUUAUUUCCUCUCCCUGCAGACUACAGUACAGCGCAGCCAGCUGUUGUGUAAACUGACCAGAGACCACAGCGGUGUUCUGUACACUGGGGCAUAACCAACACAUGCACAGCUGGUUCUGUUUAUAACCCCACGGUCUCAGAACAAACAUUAACCUAGUUUAAUGGCAUGAUCCACAAUAAAGAACUGAGUUUCAUGCCAAAAUCCUUUAUUUGAAAAUAGUACCACCUGCAGAUUCACAGUUACAGCACAAUGUGGGAGCAAUAACUAAAACCAUCGUGGAUAAAUUUAUGAGUUGCAAACUGUGGAAGUUUAGCAGUUUGGGAGGUAGAUGCUUUGAUUUUUAAGGCCAAAUCAAACAGUUUAAAGCACAUGGCACGGAUAAAUGACCAACUUUUGCUAGUUUAGCAGCGCACAGUUUGGGCUAAAGUGGGGCACAAGUUGCUGAAGUCUUUUUGUCUUUCCCAUGGUCACUGUACCAGAUUUGGAGAUCACAGAGCCAGAGAUUUGUGCCAUGACUCGACUACAGGGUGGUACCUGGCCAGUCAUUAUGACACUGAAAGGCAGAGGACACUUGAAAAUGCUAACAAGGAAGUCGUUGCAAGAGAUCAAACAUUUCCUUUGUCUGAUGGUUCCAUCUCACAGCAAUAGGUCUGGGAAAUUUUGCUGGACGAUAUAUUGUCUCAUAAAUUAUUGUUGAUAAACAAUAUAAUUGUCGACAUUAUCUAGACCAAAAUAACCACUAAUGUGAUGUUUAAAAAAUGAAAUAAAAAUGCUGGUUUUUCAACCGUAUUAAAUGGCAGCAUUUCUUUGGCAAUGUAGCGAACUACACUUUAUGUGAGGGCACACCAUUUUGCGCUGUUCUGACUGUACUUGCUUAGUCAACCGAACGCUUCAGUAAGCGUUGACUGUCAGGUCAACUAGCUACGGUCUACUCUGUGUAUGUGUGCAUUUGCGGCUCUGCGGCGCCUCCCCCCAGAUAUACAAAGAUCCUGAAUGACUGACAAGAUGGUUCGCUCCCUUCAUUUCAUUCCACUAAAGCACAAAUGCGCCCAGGUGCUGAGACCGAUGCACAGAGUGAACCAUCUUGGCAUCCAGCGUGUUUGGAGGCACGAGACGAGGAAAACAAAUACAUGCAUGCACGUGGCGAUAAAUUAUCAAGUUCAUUUUCAUUUAUCGUGCUGUUAAUAGAUUUAUUGAUUAUUGUCCUGGGCGGCACAGUGGUGUAGUGGUUAGCACUGUCGCCUCACAGCAAGAAGGUCCUGGGUUCGAAUCCUGGUAAGGGCGUUUCUGUUUGCGUGGGUUUACUCCGGGUACUCUGGUUUUCUUCCCACAUCCCAAAAACAUGCAGAAGUGGGGUUAGGUUUAUGGGCCACUUUCAAAUGUGAGCAUGGAUGGUUGUUCCUCUCUAUAUGUUAGCCCUGCAAUGAACUGGCGACCUGUCCGGGGUGUCCCCUGCCUUCGCCCGAAGAUGCUGAGAUAGGCUCCAGUCUCCCCAUGACCCCGGGAACGGGAAUAAACGGUAGAAAUUGGAUGGAUGGAUUAUCGUCCUAGGCCUACACAGCACCAACGUCAUUGCUAUUCUUCUGCGUUGCCAUUUGUUGAAGCUUGUGAAUUUUGCACAUGCAGAGCGCUUGGUGCACUGUUGACAUCACUGGGGCGGAGGCGGGUUGCAAAGCAUUUGCAAACCGCUUUGAGCAAUCAGCUGACAUCGGCGUCAGGAUCAGUUAGCUUGACUUCAUGGCCUGCCUGAAAUAACACCAUGCUUAAUCAGGUCAGAACUGGACUUUCGACCUCAAGUGUUUCUCUGUCUCCUUGUUGAGCCCUGUGUUUGUUGACACUCUCCUCACUCCCCAAACCUCAAUCCCAGCUUACUGUCGGGGCGCUUCCUUGUUUUUGGCAGGAUAAAAACAAACUGAAAACUGACAUGUGGAAAUUUGUGGAGUAAAACAGGAGAACUCAUCGCUCAUUGACUCUUUUUGUGCAACUAUUUUGAGCUCUACUUUAAUAUUUAAUGCAUAGAGAUGACGAUAGCGAUAGUUAAAUGACGCAUAGGCCUGUUGCUUUAAGCUUGAAAUGAAGGAUCGUGCUGCAUUUGGAAUGAGGAGGAUCUGUACUCUUUCGGUUAAUGUGCUCAGCGGCCCUGUUGUAGUUUAUUUUACAACUCAUCUCAUAUAAACUCAGUCCUUGUAUCACUCCUGACGGGAAGUCUGAGGAUGUUAUCCUGUGCCGAGGUGCAGAGAACAGACGAAAGGGACAGUGGUGAUUAACCCCGAUUUGGUGCCGUAUCCUCACUGUCCACAUCUGAACACUAAUCACCCACCAGGGGGGAUGCAGGGGAGGACAAGCUGCAUGACAAAGCGUGCCCAGACAGAGCUGCAUGUUUCCUCUCAGACAAGGAGAGCAAGAGGCAGCAGCUGUAAUCAGACGAUGGUGCAGCUGAGUCUGGACUGUGUUAAAUGUUCGGUUGUCUAAAAAAACGAUGAAAACACAGUCAGUACUGUCAGGUAAAUACAACUCUGUGCCAAACAACGGACAAAUUCUUCAAUUUAAUAGACUAAAGGAAGCUUUCAGUCUCAGUGGAGACAGAUGUUUCUCCACAGGACCUGAAGAUCAAACCACAGCUCAAGUCAAGUGACUGACAUUAAUGCAGACUCCCCUUGAAUGCUGAUAUUGUUGUGAUUUUCCUGGAUACGUCAAAAAGCAACUGUUCUCCGCAGAUUCAGGAUAUGAAAUUUACAGGAUAAUGAUCUACAAAUGAGGAAACUCCAUGUCCAAGGGAUUUUCCUCCAUCCGUUUUAUCUUCUUUCAUUUGCAGAAGCUUCUCAAACCACAUUAUAGGACAAGAAGAGCAUCCUUUGUGUGAGAUCUGAAAAACCCCUCAGUGUAUUCAGUGAUACGGCAUAAUACUUUCACAGUACAGUGUCAUGGCUGUCUUAAGAUUCUUGGCAGGAAACCGUCCCUGUCUUCUCUUGCUGUGUCCUUCCUGAGUCUUGGUGGUACAGUAAGUGGCAGUUGGUGCAGCACUCCCGGCGCAGCAGUAUGCAGCAGCGUUACUGCCAGGACCCCACAUGAAUAAUAGGAACCCUGUGCAGCAGCCCAGCUGCUCCUGUCAGGCCCCGGUGCAGCCGAAGCCAAACAGCCGGCCCCUCACACACCGCCCUGAUAACACACUCUGUCAUCGUCCAGCCACACAGGAACACGGCCAAUCACAACUGACCCCAGCAUGUGGCGCUAUCUCAGACCCCUGCCCAUCUGCUUCCUGGCCGGUCUGACCUUGGAGGUCACGCAGACAACGGAUGUAAGGCCAAGGAUGAGGACGGCUGCUUUGACUGGGUGACCUCUGAGUGAAAGAUGGACCUCUGCUAAGCUACAUCUGACACCCAGCUAGAAGACAAAUAAACACAGAUUAGCAUGCAUAACAUUAAUGCAUGCAUUAAAAAAGAACUUUUUGCAAACUUUCGAGACUGAUUAGUUUGCUAACCUCGCCAAACUUCAAGGACAUAAUUACCAUUCAAAGCAGUUCUGGAAAACCUUCCCUAAAAACCCUCAGAAUCUCUACCCUAUUAUAAAACGAACAAUAUAUUCCCAUUUACCAUCCGAGCCUUGAAAGUUUAUCAAAUAGCUGUGAAUGUUAACUCUUCAUAGGCUACAACCACACUUUACUGUGUGAACCCUCUGAUAGAUGGUGGGAAAUCCAACACUCUUCAUUCUUGAAAAAGCUCAAGGCCCAGCCUGGGGAUGGCUGUGAAUCCAGUUUGUUGGGGGUACACUAGGGCAUAAGAGAUCCUGCUGCAGGUGUGUGUGUGUGUGUGUGUGUGUGUGUGUGUGUGUGUGUGUGUGUGUGUGUGUGUGUGUGUGUGUGUGUGCUAGGGAUGUUCCCAGUGGUUAAUUUCACUGACGUUUAAACGACCAUUUUGAAACCGAAUAUUCGAAUACACGAAAAUUAAUUUACUCCCAGAAAAUAGCCCAAAUUGGGCACAUGUCGAUAUGACCAGAUAUCAUCUGAAAUAAAUAUUAAAUGUAUAUGAAAGCCAAGCUUAUAAUAUUAAAAUAUGUUACAGAAUCUUAUUUUAGCGCUGGAGAAUGACAUAAAGUACGUGAAAGAUCAAAGCAAUUAAGCUCCGCCCCACACUUUCAUUAAGACAUGAAGGUAAAAACGUAAUUAAAAAAAAAAGAAGCUUUUUUAUCGCUUUUUUUUCUUUUUUUCCCCUUUUUUUAUUUUAUUUCAUAAAAUAAUCAAAUAUUAUUUACUAACCGGAUAGUAAGGACAGCCCCGUUUACACGAAUAUCCAAAUAACUGCGCACGUUGAGUAGUACACAGUACCUGUAACAUUUGGCCUAGGGCUGGGCGAUAUGGGAAAAAGUUGAUCACAAUACUUUUUUGUCAUAUCAGUUGAUAUUAAUAUAUGUUACGAUAUACAAAACAAAAAUUAAAGAGUGCUAUAUAAGUGCUGUACAAUAUGCUACUGCAUCUGUGAGGUCUCUUUGUCUCUUCAACAUUUUGUCACAAGGCGUUGUGCUCAAAAAAUAGACUCCUUGCUCCACUCAGGGUUUGUAACCUUUUGCAUUGCGCGUGCUCUGCCGCGUGGCACUGCUUCAGGUGGUGGAAAAGAUUUGCGGUAUCCCCCGAUUUUGCGAGAACAUGUACUCAACGUAAUUUGCAGUGCACAUUACUCUGCUUCAUGUCCGACCUCAAAAAACCAAAAUACCUCCGAUGUGAUCAUCUGUUGAGCCUUCAUCUGCAUUUCUGCCGGGGGUAGCACUCGUUCUCUUUUUUUUCUCACUGACAGUGCUGUCGGCUUCAUGUGUUAAAGUAGCUGCAGUCUGCUACUAUGCAGUUGUUUGCUACUUGGUUCUUAUUCAGCGCGAAGUCGACCUGGAGCAACUCCCCUUUUCAUCUGUCUACCAAAACAUGCCAGAGUGGAUUGUUGAGUUCUGAGGUCUUUACAGUAACACUCUUGACAUGCGUCGUAUAGAAAUGCGUUGAUAUACAAAGCAGUAAACUCAGAGACUGAUGAUGUGUGCUGACAGUCCAAUGACAGCUAUUGACCCCCUGUGAUAAGAGUGCAGGGAGCUGUCAGUGAGUGAGCGACUGAGACUGACAGGAACCGUCUUCCCUCCAUGACUCCGGGUUAUCACUCUGUGUGCAUCAACUGCUCAUCAACAGGCCGUCAGGGUUCAAUAUAAGUCCACAAUGUGAGAAAACAACAGAACACAGUCUGUCUGGCUUUUGGCACAUGAUUGAGGGCUGUUUGUGUGAACACAGAGCUUUCUUUAAUGUCGUAUUGAUCCCUGCAGCCGAGGCGGCGCAUUUACAUCCUUCAGCAGAGGGACCGAGAGACGAUCUCUGAGAUAGAGAUGAUUUCACUGCUUCGGAUCCGGCUCUUACUCUUUUUUUUAGCUAAAUUUAAAGUCAGAGAGUUGAGUAGAGAAUAUUCUUGACAUCCUGAUUAUUUCUCUUCAAUCCUCUGCAGCCUGCAUGCCGGCGGUCUGCACAGCGACCCAUUUUUUAUUGAGUUUUCCAUUUUCAUUCAGUGAUGUUUGUGCUUAAACAGGAUGAAAUUGUUCUUCAAUUGUUACAAAACAGUCUCUGACUUUCAUAACUACCCUUUCAUAAUGUCAGCUCAUUCUUCAUGUCAGAACAAACCUCCAUUUCACUGUAAAAUGUCCACAAUGUUCUCUUUCCCCUUCCCGCAGAGUGGAAACCACACACACAGUAAAGUGACAAAAUAUUACAUCCACUAAACUUCUGGAGGUUUACAGGAAUUUACAGCAGCUCGGGGUCAUGCUGAGUGCUUUCUUUCUGCUGUAUUAUGAGCUGAUUUAACUUCAUGCUGCAGCCACAAAUGUUGACGUGCGGUGACGGCGUUUCUUAACCUUUACUGGUCUUUAUUCAUGCAGGAUUAGCCGAGACUACACGUACAUAUUUCCCUAUUUUGUGGACUUCCUCAUUUCUGCAUUUUGAGCUCUCAUACGUGGUUCCUUCAUCAUUCAUUAUUCUCAAAAGCUCUUCAAAAGUCUAAAAUUUGAUUUUAAUAAUAGUGUAGGAUCCCUGUUUUUUGUCACAUCCCGCCUCCUCAAAUCACCCACCCCCUGCCUCCUCUCCCACACAUGUAUUUUCAUACUGUGAGGGAUGUGCGGCUAAGUUUUCGAAAAAUUCAGGUCGAGAUCGUCGUGAUAUUUUCCAGAAAUUUCCAAGAGUGCGUUUGUAAAAAGAGCCGAUGUCAGUGUGAGGAUGCUCGGGGAUGUCAGGUUUGUUAUUCCUUCGCAGGGCGGCUGCAGAGAGGAGGGGGGAUGCAUGUACCUCUUGCAGCUUUACUGACAGGAAGAGGGCCAGCUCGGUCCCCACAUUCCUCAGACAGAUGUUUGACAGAGAAAAUAUUUUCACAGCUGGAGAGGGAAGGGAGGGAACAUAUAUGCUUUACCAUACAUCACACUGGAGGUGGCGAAAGCCCGGAAAAAAAAACCUCUCCACGUGUGUGAUACUUUACUGUAUGUGAGCGUACAUGCUGCGGCUGGUGGGAAGUCCCAUUAGACUGAUAGUCAGCCUCUAUCUCCUCUAAAAUAUUUCCCAUAACACCCUGGGUUCAGGUCCAUGUGUUUGUGAUAGGAAAUAUAUCCAUUCGUCAUUGUAAGGAAUGUCUUUCUUUGGAUGAAUGUGAGAAAACAGCAGCUGGUCUCUAUCAGUGUCACGCUGCUUUAAUCCGAAGCGACAGCUGAUAAUGGUGAUAAAGGUGCGGGGACUCCAGAGGUGAACUUUCUGGAAUAGUGUUUGCUGAGUUAGGCAAUAAAAAGAGCGAUGAGGAGGUUCAACCAUCCAAAAAAUCCUCCUACACAAACCAGAAGAGUCUGAUCUGUAUGUGAGAACCGAGCCCGGAGUGUUGACGAUCAGCAGAGCGGUUUCACAUCUCUGUUUUCAGGCCGAGUCAGAUGUUAGAAAGUGAGAAGUGGUCUUAAAUGAGAGUCUUCAGAGAGGUUUCCAGCUGCUGACUGUGUGAGCCGCUCGCUCCCAGGAGAGACACCCAGCUCUGACAGGAAAAAAACCUCCAGAGAGCAAUUAAUCUGUCUUUUCUCCUGGACUCAUCCGCAGCUGUUUGGACACAAAUGAAACUGUUGAGAUGACGGUUUAUCACUCCUUCACCACCAAUGCCUGCACAGUGGUUGAAUAGACAGCUUCUUGCAGACAGCUCACUGCCCGGCGAGAUCUCUAUUUCACACUCUGUGAACUUUUUAUCAAGUUUUAUUUGAUUGUUUUUAACCUUAAAAUUCCAGUCUGGUCGUUUCUUUACUACUUAAAGUGUUAUCAGUGGUCUUUAAAUUGUAAUAGUAUAUCAAUCGCGUUACCUGUAUCAUUUUCAAGGGCUUUUCUUCUGCAGAGCUCCAGAAGCUCAUUAGCAAUUUGCCUCUGAGUCGUGGGCGGAGACAGCGCUGCUCUGCACACUUUUCUUCGCGUUAGCUUGCAGACUAAAGCCAAAAACAUACAGGAUCCGUGUUAAACGCGUUCUGUAUUUGCUUCAUAAUGCAGCGCUAGGUAUCGCAUACAGGAUGUGUAUUUGGAGUGUAGCAGCAGCGUAGUGCAGCCCGGUCAGCUGGGCUCAGGAUAGAGUCAACAACAUGCUCACAACAGUUUCGGUUUUUGCAGGUUUACUCGUGUAAACUAUGUUCCUUUAUGCUGUGUUGUGACCUUCAGAGUUCGCAGUUAAAAGUUCUGUUGGGGUCCACAUGGAUCAGGGAUUGACCAUUAGAUUGUUCUGUGUUGCUGAUAAAUCCAUGACCAGGAACCUCAUCUACACAAACUGAUACACAGUCGAGAGUUCGCAUACGGUGUUUUAUUUUGAAAUACUGGAUGACAUGCGCAGUGCUUCAUGCUCGACUUCCUGUCUAGGACGAUCUUCUCUGUGUGGAUUGACGCGCAUUGGAAACAUAGAGCAGCAAAAAUAGACCCGUUGCGUAUCUUUAGCAGUGCUGCUCUCAAUGCGCUGCUGCAACGGAGCUGAUACACAUCCUGUAUGCUUUAGCCUUAACAUUGCUGGUGUAGUAAAAGAUGCAGGUAACGUAGGAGCUUUUCGGCUCUCGGACACUGUCUUUAGGGGCAUGAUGAAAGAAUUAGUUUUCUUACGAGUAUUGCAAUCUGCUAAUGCACACGCUUGUUACGUGAUUGUCCUCUCUAUUUCUCCAAGCCUGGCUUGCAUAGCGGGACUCCGGGUACGGCGCUCUCACUGUUUCUGACCCUGCCGUUUGGGUCUGACAGCAGAAAUACUUAGAAAUGUAAUAUCACACUUACUUUUCUAAUGAUAUGUUCUGUAGCAUCAGAAAAAUGCCAUAUGAACAUGUAAAAAAACAAGAAAAACAUGAUUUUACAUCAGAAUGGGUCUUGAAUGGGAUUGAAUAGACCAAGAACAGUGACUGUUUUAGAUCGAUCAAAGUUGAGGACAGUUUUCCUUUUUUAACAAUGAACAUGUGAGUGUGUACAGAUGCUACGAGGUUAGCUUCUGUCCUGAAAACUCACAGAUUGUGAGAGUCGAGGAACCCGUUAGCAGCAUAAUAGUAAGUUUUCUCCGGGCCUUACACCAUGGAUCUAACAGUGGCAUUUUAUAAUGUCAGUCUGACUCUGGAUUAACAGGAGAAGCAUUUGGAGGAUGGAGAAGUCGUGAAAGAAUAGCUUAUUAAGUGUCCCAGUAUUAUAAAGAUGGAUACUGUCCUCAUUACUGCUAUCAUCUUCACUGUAUGCUCUAGUGCAGAAGGUGAAGUCUGCGAACCACUGAUGCUAAUGUCAGCGCUGGUUUUUAUACAGUCAUACUGUAAAGGUCAUGUUAAUGAGGCUUCAAGUCAUCAUGAGGACUUGAAAUGUUCCUGUACAUGGUCUUUCGACACUGCUUUCACAAGGUGGGGCUUUCACACUCAUGUCACAGCCGCCUCGCAGCUAACACAAGUGUAGAGGAGAGAAGACAUUACUAGCAGAGGUUGUAGCGCCUUACGGGAUGAGACAUCACACAUUGAGACGCUAGUAUUACACUGUCGGAGGGUUCAGCGUGUUAGUAUGAAGGUGUAGUGAUGGUAGAAGUCCACUCUGGUGCUGCAGAGUUGUAAUUUGUGAAAUGGAGGUGUUUAAGUGAAUUGAUAACUCUUAUAAUAAGUCGGUGAUACAAAGAAGUUACGGGACAAAACGAGGCAUUAAGACCGAUCUUAUCCUGAGCCUCUUCAUUUCCUUCAGGUCUUUCUCUUUUUUGCUGAGUUGCACCUUGACAUCAAACCCGUCUUGUCCAUUACCUCGGUCUGAACCCUCUCUCUCGAGUCUCUGUGUUGUGACAGCUGGGAGGCCUGUUUGAAGAUCCUCUCAGUGAAAGGAAAACACGACCUUGGAGUGGAUCAAUAUCCCCUCAGUUAUUUUUGCUGGUGUGGCCCGGAUGGUUGUGGAGUCUCGCCAAGGCCAGCAGGUAGCUGUCAGUCAUGGACCACCUGAGGAGACCUCUGCCUCUACAAGUGGGAAGUUGGAGAGAAACACAGGGACUGGGUUUAUGUGAAAACUGCAUUUACUGUACUGAAGCAAUGAUGGGAACAUUUUUUAUUGGUAUUUGUGCAUAUUUGACAUUAGCUCUGGGUAUUGAGAGUUCCAGUUCCAAAUCUCUGAGAUUUAUGAGUCAAUAAGGCACAUGAAUUUUAUCUAAUUUUUAAGUCUAAAUCAUUAUUCAGAAUACAUUUUUUAUUUGUUAUUUACAUGCAUGUUUGUGUGUUUAUGCAUUUGUAAAUAUUGGUGUUUGCUUGACAUUGAAAAUUCACCUGGGGGAAGCUGCAGGCAGAUUUGGGAAUAAUUAGCUCACGUGUAUUGUGUCUUUUUUGUUGUUUAAUCCCCUAUUUGUCUUUAUUUCAACCUCAACACAGAGUUAGACACCCCGUCGAGAGAUUUAUGUUGCCGACUGCUUGCUUCUCUAGUUAAACCAACUUGAGUAACAAUUGCACGAUAGCAAUACACAGCGGUCUCAGGAGGCACACACAAACCUCAACAAAAGCGCCACUCUAUAGCCACAAAUAAUGCUCAGAACAGCAUCUAACUUCAUCAACAGUACAUAUAGGGUCCCAGCCAUAGUACUAGCCACCAAACAUCUUUUUAACUUUGCCUAAUUUCUUUAGCAAAGUGCAAAGACCAGUCUAUUACGGAGUGCUGUGGGGUGACGCAGCUCAAGGAAGAACAUUUAUGAUCAUUUCUUCAUGGAAAUGCAAUCAGACCGAGACGCUAAGGCAGAAGAAUCACAGCGUCUGCAGUGCAAAAUGAUUAAUAUGGUGAUAAUGACUUAAAGAAUAUCCCUUUAUAAGAGAUCAGUGAGACAUUUGCCUUGAAAUGCGACAGAUGCCUUUGCUUAGAUUUGAGUUUUCGCAGUGAAACUGUCGGCGAGGGUUCAGCGAAAAAAGCUUGAAGUCAUCCUCAGGAAACCAAGAAACAUGUCAUCGACGCUAAAUAAUCUGCAUCCGACUUUGGUGAAGUGACUGGCUUUAAGGAAAUGUUGUUACAUCGAGGUUAUUCUUCCAUGAAACUGAAGCACAAGUUUUAUCAGGUUUGUUUAUUUCCAGAAAACUCUGAUAGGAGCCGAUAUCUGGAGCUUUAAACUGCGUUUUCUGCAGCCAAUAUAUGCAUUGACUUCCCUGUCUAUCAGCGUUUACUCCACACUGCUUGGCCCUGCACCUUGCCCUGCACUCUGGACGCCGCGGUCACGAGGUCAGCGCUCUGAGCUGCUCCAGUUGUCGGCCCGGCCAGCCUGAGCUGGAGCGGAGCCAGAGCGGCCCAGGCAGCUGGGACGCCGGCCAAACGCAGCGGCCAGCUGGAUGCAGCAGGAAGCUCAUUUCUCGCCUGUUUUGAAUCCGACCCAAAAUGGGCAGAGUUCUCCUGCUCUCUGACGAAUAUCCAGUUCAAAGUCAUCGCAGUGACACAGAUGAAUGGUGUUGUCCUUCAUGCACCUGGAAAAGCAAUGACGCUGAAACCAGAUAGUGGAGAGAGCGCUGCCAAAACAGAAGAUACACUGAGCAGCACGUUUUCUCAGUGAGUAAGAUAUCAGGUGAUUCAGUGAGCCACCUCAACGCACGAUUUUUCCAUGUUAGACAAAGUUCAAACUGAAGUCACUUUCCCUUUUCAUUGCGCCAUCAUUGCAAACACUGCUGAUGGUCUGCUGCAAAAGAAAGGAUGUUUUUACAUCCAGUACGUUCACAUGUUGUCUAUCUUCUCAUAGUUGGACUAACAGAACUAGUUAGGGAUUGAUUACACGGCUCUAUCUGCCUUAUCGUUCUGCGCUUGUGCAGUGCACCAGAAGUUGAAAUUCUUUAUUGGGAAUACCCCUUGAGAUGAACCAUCUCGUUUUCAAAGGGGGUCCACAAUGCAGACACAUGAAAAUCACAUAGAAAAAAGCAAUACAGAAACAAAAUAGACAAAAAGAAAUACAAAUCACAAUAGACAUCAUCACAGAUUCAGACACCUCAACUAAAGACAAGGACUUAGCCAAACAAACAACAGUAACAACACAAAACAAAAGGUACAAAUAAGGGUCAUUGCAUAACAGAUCUGAUAUACAGAAUACUGAAUACUGAUGCCUUAUUGAAAACAUGAGCAAGUAGAAAUAAGACGACAGUGCAGUUUUGAACAGUUUAAAAGAGGAAAUAGACCGAAUAUGUAUCGGUAGGUUAUUCCAAUCAGAAAAAGGCAUUUUAUUAUGUUUAAUAUGUCAGGAGCAUCAAAGAGGGCACUUCUGCUGCACUUUUUCAGGAAUAGAUGCACCAUAUCACCUCUUGAGUGGAUCACUGCUGCACAGGGAGGGUGUUGUUUGGAUUUCUUCCUAUCUCAACCCACCCACUCAUACUUUUAAGUCUGCUCUGAUUGGACUUUGUCCCUGCCCCACUUUGUUUCGUCAUGUUAAUAUUCAUUGACAAAAGUUUCUAUGCGUUAUGGUCGUAGUUUAUAUCCUUGUGCGUCAGUUUUUUAAUUACAUGUUGUUGGUGAAACUAUUUGGUGUGUGAAAUCAUCACUCGUCAGCACAAGAUGAAAAAAACUAGAGGAAUAAUGAUGGUGGAUGUAAAUAAAUGGAGUAUGAUCCAGUAGUUCACCAUGGCAGUUGACUAUAAUUAUACGUCCAGUCCCUCAGCAGAGAGUGUUUCUGUCUGCUGAGUGAAUCGGGCAGUGUAAUCUGUAGGUAUGUUACAGGACAUAGCUGUUAGGUCACACUGAGUGACCCUGUGUAUUUUCCUUCUUGCCAUGACAUUGCCUAAAACAAACGUGGGGCACCCCACAGCCAUGUCUGCGCUUGUUUAACAUCUACGUUGUUUGUUCAACUUUGUCAUACUGGAUUUUUGCAGGCGGCAGGAGCUGUGUUUUCAGGAAGAGAAGUUUAUAAUUUACUUCCUGUUAAUGUUCCAGUUUCACUGAGGACUUUUCCACAUGUACACAUUUCUGCCAGCUUAAAAAACAUUCCACGCAAAUGCACAUGCGUGCACACACAUGAAAUGGCGUGUGAAACCAUGCUACUUACAUUUUAAUGGGGGCAUCAGAGCGACUUUCCCACGACUUUACUUGUCAUAAAUGUACCUGUCGAACCAGAUUCACGACAAACCACAGAUAUCAGUCCUGAUUCUGCAGAGCUGCUACAGAACAGCAUGAGGUUAUUAAUAUUUGCUGCUCAGAGGGACGCCCCUGCCUUUGUGUGAGUUUGACUGCACAAUAACAACUGUUGGUGAUGCCGUAUGAAUUCAGGCAGUGUCCUCUCUGAGUGGCAGCUGGCUUGUUGCAGCAGAUCUCCACCUGACCCGGGGCCAAAUUGUCACAGUGCCAGGAAAAAAGCUGUUUUAUUAGAGUAUAUAAUCUGUCUCUGGCAAUGGGAAGACUCUGCAGCACAAUAUAUCUCAGGAGGAGGGGAUGAGAUGAGAUGAAAUGCUCGCUCAGGUUGGCUCAGACUCAAUGAAAAGAAGAGUGCAGGAAUCGUUUUAGGGCCUGACGAGUCUGGGAGGAAGUUUCUUUCUGGCUGCGGUGCUCUUUUCAGCCCGGACCGUAGCCUCCCUGUGAAAAGAGCGAAGGAUUAAGACAGUUAGAAAUGAAGACAAAGGGGACACACUGCCUCUCUGCCCCUGAGCGCCCCUCCUGCCCCCCCUCGGCCACACAAUGACAGCCUACAAUGGGAUGAUGUGUUCUUUUGGCCUGCACCGGAUGUGUCAUCUCGCGCUGCUGUGCAGAACUUCUCAGCAUUGUGUGCGGGCCUCUACCAUUGUGGCUGGGGAAUAGGAAUACUCUGCAGAUAUUUCACAGUGGGUGAAUGCUUUCUUUCUACCCAGGCGGCCUAGAGUUCCCUGACUCCCAGGGUCAGGAAGCAGGGAGGCCCCUGGACUGACUUUGCUGCGGAUCCACAGCUCCAUGAUGGGGGAGGAGGAAGGCAAUGACCUGUGCCCCCUCUCUCACUGUCCCUGCCUCUCUUCCAUGUUUGGUCGAGUGUCUUCAACACCUUGUAAACACUCAUUUCCUUUCUCACUGAGCGGUCAUCUCACAGUCUGAUCUAAAAAGGUAUUUAGCGCACAGUGUUAUCCCUGCAGGUUCCUGUUAUAAAAACAGUACAAGUGUGGCCCUUAGUGAGAUUUCUGACAUGUUAUCAUCAUUUUCAUACCUGUCCAGACAGUGGAUUUCUCUAAAGCAUGAAAGCGGGAUUUUUCAGGCAGAAUUCCUGCUGAAAUAGACCCUACUGUCAAACAACAAUCAAGGCAAAAUGUUACAUUAACCUACUGAACAGCCACAGCUCAAACAGUGUCAAAUGGCAAAUAGACAGUUGGUGGUUAGCCUAAGGUGACCAGAUUUCUGUAAUGAAAUCCGGGGACAUCCGGGAACAUCCAGGGGGUGGGGGAUGCUAAGCAAAGUGUGAUUUCAGGCCCUCUAUUUCUAUCUCAGUACUACUUAGUAGCAGUAGUAGUAACUAGGGCCCGACCGACCAUUUUCAACUACCCCCCGCCGCCGAUCGGUGCCUCCGCGUCUUAACUCACGUUACUCAUUUCCGGUCCGGUCUCAUCUGAAGACAUGCAGCUGCCUCAGUAAGAGAAGUUGCUCGAUCACUAAUGUGUACUGUUGUUUAUUCUAACGUUACUGGCACGGCUAACAGCGUGGCAAGGCUAAUAGCGGGUGGCUAACUCUAACUUUAGCUUGCAUAUUACAUGGUGCUUCACCAUUGACUCAGCGUGACCAAGACCAGCACAGCGGGGAACAUCGUGAAGUGGGUUGAACUGAAACUUGUUGACUUAUUGUUUAUUUCACAAACUGGUUUAUUAACCGUUGAGGCGGACCACUCUUCUCUGUGCGUCCCUGAGCUGCCUGCUUCAGAUCCGUCACUCAGCUGUGCUAUCAGGUAGUUAGCUGAUGAAGAUUGUCAUGAGGUUGCUGCGCCAUCUACAGGAUAAGUUGGGGGAUCUUUCAAAUGGCGGAACAUUUUUGAAGUGAAACGAAUCUUAUUCUCCGCAUUUUAUUUCUGAAAAUAUCUGCGAAAAUGGACAAGUUUUGGCCAAUUACUGAUUAGUCUUAAACGGGUUAAAAUUGGCCAAUUUAAUCAGCUCACCGAUAAAUCGGUCGGGCCCUAGUAGAAACCCCUGUAAUAACCCCCGUAAAAAAUGUUGUUUAGGAGUGUGCUAACAUGCUCACUCGUGCUUCCUACCCACUCAGCUACCGUAAUAACCUUUUUUCUAGUCUACACACAACAAUGUUCUCAUUCAUGAAACGCUUAAAUGGGGGACAUUUCUGGGGACAGCUUUAGCCGGGGACAGGUCAUCCAAUGCGGGGACUGUCCCCAGAAAUUGGGAACAUCUAGUAACCUUAGGUUAGCCAGUGAACUUAGCGUAACACUAAGCUACGGGUCAAGGUUUUUCUUUUGGAGUUUAUUGAGAUUAUAAUUGGGGAUAAAGAGACUGCAAAUGUUAAAUGUGCAUUGGCGUUCUUUUAGUAGCAUGCUAAGGUAUCUUUUAUCGGUCCAGGGGUCUUCAACUUUUACAGCUAGAUCAGAGAAACAUGUUAGCAUCGAGGCUACAAUUGCUAAAAUACAUCUCCCCAUCUGACUUCUUGAACUUGAACUUGUUUUGAUCCUGGUUUUAGUGCUGACUGUAAAUCUGGAUUAAACUGAUGACCAGGAAACGUGCAUUCUGCUAAUGUCUCAGUCGGCUGCACACCUUCAGUGCAACAGAGAAAGACGGCUGAGCAGGAACUAUGGGUAUGCAGAUGUGAUAUUUGUCACGAUCACUUAGUGCUGUCUACUGAGACGACGGCGGAGAGGAAGUGAAAGGGUGGACAGAGGAACUGACUGUGUGAGACCAGUCAAAGGGAACAUUGCUCUGGGGCCUAUGAAAGCACAUUUUUCUCCAAUGUCAUGGAGAUUUCUUUUGCUAAUGAGCUGUAUCAGUGGGCUAUCAAGUGCUGCCAAAUGCGGAGGCGAGUUGUUCCUUUACCUAAUUAAAUCAUGGACAAUUUUGCAGCCUAAAUACUUGGGAUGAAAGCCUCUAUGCAGCAGUAAGAGGGGAUGUUCAUCCAAUUAUUUUUUUCUAUAAACCAGGGUAAUGAAAUGGCUCUUUGUCACAGUUGGAACAGAGGUUUGUUGUUGCUCUCCGUUAUGUUUGUUAGAUCGUCUUUCUCCACUCAUACACACUGAAAACCCCCAAAAGAGAGAAAGUUUGUUGCGUUUCUGGAAGUGAAAGUUGGACGACCUUUCUCUCAUAACCAAUUAUAUAAAUCCCGGCCCAGUAUGCAGAGCGGUUACGGCUACAAAAGACAGCUGUGCGUCUCAUGGUUUGCAGCCUGUGCCAAUAUUUAGAGCAAAUGCAGGAAACACAGUGCCCUUUAUGCAGCGAGGCGAAAAGUGAAGACUUCGGUAUGUGAAACCAACUGUUAAGUACUGUCCGCUGAGCAUGUCAGGAUGCAUAAAUGUUAAUACUAGGGAUGUCACAAUCAGAUUUUUUUAACCUGAUCUGAUUCUAAUAUUUGCAGACAAAAUAGACUCCUUGUAAUCUUCUCGCCUCUUGAGUUUUUUAAUUCAAAAUUUAGAUAAUUAUCCUAUUUGGCGAGCCUCACAUUAAUAAAAUAAGUUGUCAAACCUAGCUGUGAUUCAAACUGCUGAUGUGGUUCUCCUAAGCGGAAAAACCAAAAAGACCUUAGCCCCCCGGCACUUAACAUGAUCCAAGAACCAUGAACAAUGCUACAGUAAACGCAUACACCUCAAAGAGAUCAGGUGAUGUUAGCUAUGCCUGGCGGGUCAUACCUGUGGUUAGUGGAGUGGAAUCCAAGAGGAAAUAUAGAUACAGUAGACACAGAGGGGGGUGUCUCGUAUUGGAGAGGGGAGGUAUACCAGUCUGGGAGUAGUUGGUCUUCCAUCCACAGUAUGGCAAGUGACAAAUGUGAGACCCUGGGGCUUGGAGACAGCACCCUACACGUGUCCCCGCUUUCUCAGCAUUAUUAGGGCCGAUUUAGGGAUGCCAGAAGAUGAGGAUAUGCUCAUCAUACCUUCGUCGCCUCAGCCCUGCAUAGAGUAAAAAUCCCUGAAUGAGUCCAACACCAAGCUCUCCAUCAUGCACACUCUUGAAUACAUGCAUAAACAGACACAAACAAACAAAACUAUCAGUGCCAAUAACCAUUGUGCCCACAGAUAUUUUAAAGUAAAACUAAACUGUAGCCAUUAUGUACAUAGGACAGAACACAGCCAUGUGAUUCAGCAGCAAAAUUAGAAAAGAAUUAGAUCAAAAAGUUUGCAUUUUCAGCUGUCCUACAGUCUUUAUUUGUGUAAAGAAACAGCCCAAACUCAAAUUUACUGUUUGUGAUGUUAAGCACGGAUUAGUCAUCGUUAGAUCCUGUCUGACAUUGAAGGCAAGCCCUGAGUUUUCUUCAAUUAAUGACGUUACGCUGUUGUGUAUUAUAGAAAAAAAUGUGCAUGCUUGUUACAGUUUUGCUCAAGUUACACAUUUCUUAAAAUUCCUCUUUUAACUAAGAGUUGUGAACACAACACCCUGUUUUGAAACUUGAAAUACAGUUGAACUCUACCAGAGAAAGAGUCAGACAACAAAUACCUUUGCACAUCUAGACAGGCGCACAAGACAGAAGUUGACAAUAAAACCAACAAAACUCCUGCACAUUGUCAUGUGUGCUUUCCAGUAGAACAUGACUGUAUUGCCUCAAUCAGCACUCAGACAGACCUUCAUUUGUUUGUUUCAUCAUUAGUAUCAGACAGUAAACACAGAGACAGGGUCUUGCUGUGUUUGUGGUCUGCCCUCUUACGCUCACACUCAUCCUCCCCCUGCCUCUCAGAUUGUCUCCAUUCAUCCUUUGUACAACCUUCAGCUCACCUAUGCUCUCUGAAUGGGAUUACAAUGGCUUCAUCACAUCAGUAGCAACAAGUGUUUUCAGCUUGUCAAUCCAUGUUCAGUAAAACAUGGGUGAACAUUUCCCCUCAUACACUUUGCACCACAUGUCAAAUUACAGCCCCAAAUUCGAGACACAGAAAUUUCCUUUAACAGACACACUGAGGAGGCAACAGGAGGAAGACUGGGAGUCGUACUCCACUCAUUAAGUGUCUCUCUAUUGAACGUCCCCCAGAAAAAGGGAAGUGGGUUUUUUGUGCCCAGGUGCUUUGAAGAGCUAGAAUGAGCCUCUGCUUACAAGCAAAACUUAACAGCUGUUUCAGCAAAGCACAGAAGUGUGAAUGCAACUUUUUCAUGUUUAAGACAGACCCUGCAGAUGAAAGGCUCCUUUGAGAUCCCUGUGUGCUGUAAAAAAAAAAAAAAGACCACUUGUAAAGAACCGGGACUCCGGGGAGGUGGAUCCAGGUGGCCUUGACUGGCACACAAUGUGGGAGGAAACCAGUUGUUUUGGAGCUCAUGGUGUGAGUUCAGACUUGAUUCAUGUAUAACUUAAAGCAGAAUAAGUUUGGCCUCAGUAGGAAUAAGCUCAGUGGAGUUCUUGCAUUAUUACAAACACACUUCUCACUGUUGAAUAUUUUCUCACAUGUUUGCAAGUGUUUGAAGCUGCACUCUGCUGUCGCUGCGCUGCGGCUCUGCUCCACUCCAGCUCCAACAAGUUCAAAGUGCUCUUAGACUUAUCUCUCCUUUUCCACAAGGGACCUCAUUUAUGAUUUCAACCAAAGGAAAAACCUGAUAUAGAUUUUCAAAGAGCCAAAAUGUAUUCUUCUUUUAUUACGGACUUUUGCAAAUCCCAAAAAAAAAAUGCUCCAAAAAAGAUUCUGCGAAUUACUUUGCACAAAAAUCAGUCUCAGCCACAUCUGUGGAACACACACACACACACACUCUCAGACACACAUAUUGAUCCCUCUGUCCGGAUGGAAAGAGUCCUGCAGAACAUGUGAAGCGGUGAGGAGGUGUUGCUUUGAGAGGGGGCUUAAUGAAUUCAUAAGUAUAACAGUAUGGAGCGGGCUGAAUGGGAGGCCCGGCUGUUUGAUGUGCGGCUCUGCUUCAGACCGCUGCCAAGAAGCCGAAUGUAAGCUUUGCUAACACUGAAGUUAUUGCAGUCCUGCGUGUGUUUCUGUGGUAGCAGAGCUCCUGUCAGCAGCUCCACAUCACACACAUUCAUCUCCAUGUUGAAUUGGAUCUGGAAGUCCUGUCAGCGGCUAUAAUGAUGAUAUUCUGAGAGGAUACGCAGGAGAGGUCCUGGAUGACUUCAGCAAUGGCUGGCAUCAAACCCUGCUCGAAAAUUACAUUUUUAAUUAAUGUUCAAUUAAAAUAAUUAACUCUUCUUGGCUCCCUUUCCUUUCCCUUCACUGGCAGACUAUCUGAAAGCUAAUAAUGUCCUCUAUAUCAGCAGAUUGAUUUUUGUCAGUAACUAUUUUUUUGAAUCACCCUCAGACAAAAACGUCAAUAGACUUUCGUGCUUUGACUUUCUCUUUCUGUAACUACAAAGGAUCGAUUAGCACAUUGAUUUUCUUGGAUUAUAUUUUCUCUCUUUCUUAUUGCAGUUUUAUAAUCCUCACAGGUGCGAGUAAGAGUAAAUUGGAGACAAAGCUGCUCAGAGUGACAUAAUACUGCAAAUCACAUCUAUUUUUCACAUUCCUAUUAAAACUACAAUAUAAAAUAACAUAACUGAACUUGGAAGUGGUCGCGGUUCGAGUAAGCAAUGAUUAAAUUAUAUUUUACAAACAAACAAACCAAACUCUUUCUUUUCUUUUCUUUUCUUUUCUUUUGUUUUCUUUUCUGCAGUCCUCCCUCUAAGUACCAAAUAGGGUUUGAAAAGACCCAAGGCCUGGUCUUAGGUACUAGUCCAAGACCUGGUGGAGCCACCAUCUACACAUGGACCGAUCAGGGGCUGCUUUUCCCUGUUGUCUGGGGAACAGUGGAAACACAGUCACUGAUUGGCCCGGUUAUUUUCUGAUUUCUAAUACACGCUCCCAAUUGGCCAAAGUCCAGACUGUUGUGGGAAGGAACGGCAAGUGAUUCACGCAACUGGAUGGCCCAGCCAGGCUACUUGUUUAGUCCGUGGCAAAUGGAUGAUGACUCUCACAUUUUCAGUGCAAUCUGGUCCUGUAAAUAUGGACGACCAUCCCAGAAUCAAAAGCAGAUAACCACAAGACCAGUGGUGAAUUGCAUCAUGAUAGAAAAGGAAACAAAGAAGGACAUAAAACGAGGACACAAAUUCACAAAGGGAUUCUCUAGGUAUGGAUCGCUACCAGUAAUGGCUCGAAAAAUGUGCGUCAUUACGGUCAUCUCUCGGUCUGACAUUUAAAACAUGUUGCACAAAUGAAGCGCCAACAUGCAUUUUCAUGCAGUUUGCUCUUGUGUCUGAUUAUGGAAGUGAGCUGUCAGCAUCUCCACUCUGUUACACUGGGCCGCCCUUCAAGGUAGAAGUAGACAUCCUGCUUAAUGUCUGGUCAGGGUUUCAUCUCAUCCUGUCAGGAUUCUGUUUAACUUAAUCUCUCUAUUGUUGUGCAUUAUCUCCUGCUGAAGGAGGCGGAAGUGUCAGAAGUGUGAGAAGAUUUGUAGCUUAGCAACAGGAAGAAGUGAUCUUAAGUUGAUGUCAUAGGUGCUGCCAUUGCCACUUCCUCCUGCUCUUCUCCCUGCUCUCUUCUCUCCACCUGUGGCUGCCUGGUUGUUUGUACCACUGUUGCACAACUUCUUGAAGAUACAGAGGUCCAACAUUAACCUUAGUGAAAACCCCAACAUCCCCCUGCUCCCAAGCUAGUGUUGUGCGGUUUGCGAAUGAUUUGUUCAAAAGAACGAAUCUUUAAAGUGAACGUACUGGACCGAAUCAGUUACUCAAGUGAUUUGAUCAUUUCUCAGUUCAGUUGAUCAGUUCAGGGAGUAGGUGUCGGCAUGCUCCUCCUGCCAAUUGCUGAAUGAUUCGGUAAUUUGUUGAACGAAGCUUUUGAAUGAAUCUUUUCAGUGAAUGACUCUACAUCUAAAAGAACUGCCUUGCCCAUCACCAUCCCAAACUUUAGUUCACAUGUUGAUCAGAGCUGCUGAUGAUGUAGUGAUAGUGAGAACUGUUUGAGGGGAGGGGCCACGCAUAUGUUGUGCAGUUAAGGAAGAGAGGGAGGGUGCGCUUCAUUCAUCAUGUCGUACUAAAUGGGGGCAACAUAGCAGACGACACAUUAUCGUUCAAUCGCCGCUAUUAUAUUUUCAUGACCGUAGGGGUUGAGAAGCAGUGAUUGUCAUUCAAAUUAAAAUCUUAUUAAUCACUCUGCUCCAAGUUUAGCUGUGAAGGCACCCUCUGAUUGUACUUUUCCUUUGAGCCAUACUGUCUUCAGCAAAUGUGCUGUAUGGAGGUAGAGCGAAAAACACACACCCGAAUAGAUCAGUGGCAUUGACAACUAGAUAAGCAUGAUGUAGAUCAGGUCUCUAUUUAAGAGACAGUGCUUCAGCAUCCAGCGACAGUAAGAGAUUCAGUUUGGUUACAUUAAUCUUAAGCCUUUUUUUUUUUGCAGAAAAGAAAUUGAAUGUCAACGGCCAGUUCAGCAAAUCUAAAACCGAGGUUGGACUACAUGAUCUGUUUGUUAGGAUUGUCACUGUGUCAGAUUAGACGACCCCAGAGACAUAAAUAUGUGUAUCAGUGCGUCUUCAUCUCAUUCAGUCCUCUACAGUGAAAAACACUGCAGAAUCUUUUCCAUGCAGCUAAAACACAAAGUAGAGCAUUUGAUGUCAAACGCUGUUUCCUGCUCGCUCAGAAUUCUUGGUAUGUAAACAUGCUUCUUUUUAUUCUUAUUUUGAAAAUCAACACAUUUGAAGUAUUUGCCCUUCAUUUCCUGUCUGAGAGAAAGGAAAAAAAAAAAGAGACAACAUCUGGAGAAGAUAUCAUCCACUUCCUCUGCUUUGACACGUAGUGACUGUGACCAUGGCAACAGAGGUCUGCAUGGGCGAAGGCAGCGUUCAACAGGAGGAGCUGAGCUCUGUCUCCGCUGAGAGGCGGUGAAAUAAAAGAGGAGAGGGGAUGAAAGGAAGCCGCUCCAAACUUGAUUCAUCAACUGAAUCUUUUUUUGUUUCACCGAGGAAGAGGAGGAGGAGGAGGAGGGAACAGUGCUUCAUCUCUUUGCUCUGUGAGUGUACAGCGCUCCAACAUCCAGAUAAAAUGAAGUUGUAAUCCCUCCAUGGCGAGUCUGCUCAUGCUGCCAUCGCAGCCAAUGAGAGCGCGGUCAGAUCUCUCGCUGACAGCCAUCUUAAAUCCACUCACAGAUCUCAGGGGAUCGCUUUUCUGCAUACCCAAUAUGCUCGCAGCUCCUCCAGCCCACACAGUCGCCAUGGCAACCAUGGACCACCUCUGGCUUCUAGUGCAUCUGUCAGCCAGUACACCCCCCCCCACACACACACACACAUAGACACACACAUAUGUACACACACAGACACACACACACUGUCUCUCGGACAAACAUGCUGCCAUCUUGAUUCUUUGGAGCAUGACUGUGUGUUUCUGCUUCGACAAAAUUUAUUCUGCAGCCUUUAAAAAAAAUUAGAAAAAAAAACACUCAAAGGUAGAUUUGUCCAAUAAAGUUCAUGUCAGAUCGACUAAAUUUGACGCCAAAUUUCUUCUCCACCAUUUCACCACCUCCUCAGAAUCACAUGCUUCACGGAUGCUAAAAUGGCAAUGCAAAAACCUACACUUGAUUUCCCCGUUUCCACCUGAAGAGGGCAGCCUUGAGCCUUCCCUGGUGCAUCCCUGUUGACAAUCCUUCACCACUAAAAAAAAAAAAAUCCACGCAAACCUGCUGUGUCACAACCCACACUAUGAAUGUAGGACCACCCAUCCAGCACUAAAAGUCCCUGGCUGGGAUUUAAACCUUACUGACCCCCGCCCCCACCCAUCAAAUCACCUACAGACUAAAAAAAAAAAAAGUAUUCUGUGUGUAUGUGUGUGUGUGUGCUGGUAUGCAUGCAUGAAUGUGCAGCAAGGAGAUGGGGAAGGAAAGCGAAGGUGGAGGAGGAGGAGGAGGAGGGAGAGCAGCUGAGUGAAGCAGCUCUCUCUCAUCACUGAGUAAUGUUUCGCUUCGCCUUUUUUUUUUUUUUUUUUCCCCCUUUGCAGAAAAGAGUGAAGCAGCAUUGUGCGUUCAGCUGCGCAGAAUGUGUCUAUUCUGCGCUCUUUCAGUGCAGAUCUUUCUCUUUUGUCACCCUGAACCCGCCCCACCCGUCUAAAGUCCCCCCUUCACCCUUCAACCCUGUCCCUCUGAAGUCCCCACACUUCAUCUCAGAAAAGGGCAGUGUAAGAAGGGGGUGGAUGCGUGCACGAUGGGGGAGGGGAGUAGUACUGUUGUAAUCUGCAAUUGUUACAGUCUGGAGCCGUGCUACGCUGUCACCAUCCCGAAUUGAUUUAACCAUCAAUGGCAGCGUCCAUUUAAAGGGUCGCUGGUGCUCCCCGGUUUCAGCGCCGCACUGAAUGAGCCCCCUUUUGCUCCUUUUCCCACCACCGGGUAUCAAAGGCUAUUGUGUCCAGAGAAAGUAGAGGGGUCACCCAUUUACCCCCUGUGGGUCAACCACGAGCUGCUGCAGGGAGGAAAGUGAAGGAGCAAAGAUGAAGAGCAAGAAGAAGAAGAAGGAGGAGGAGGAGGAGGCGUCAAAGUAAGACUUCCAGUCAGUGCAGGAGGAGUUACAGUGAGCGGCCUUGACGUCAAAGCGGACGUUUAACACCACAACUAUAAUAUCUGGAAUCUGAGGUAUCUGUUUUCACUGUGAGGGAUGUUCCUGUUUUGGCCCCUGGUUUCCCCUUCACAGUCGGCCCCCUCCCCAAAUCUGGGCUGGAGUUGACCUGAGGAAAUGGAGCAGAGAUCCUCUCCCUCACGACGAGAUUCUCAAACUCUCAUUUUCAGAUGUCAAAGAAAAUGAAAACCAUUGAGCAGAGGUGGAUUUUCAGUGAUGUGUAGCACAGAUGUGACUCAGAUGACCUGAGCGUUUUUUGAAUGGGUGCUAUUUUCCUCUGACUCCAUCCUAGGGUGGGUAGCUGAGGAGAGAAUCAUAGUGAACAGGUGGUUGUCGCACCUUCAAAUCCCAGCGUUAGUUGGACGGCACUAUAAGUUCCAAAACUAGUUAGCCGCUGAUCCUUUCAGCAGAGGUGAAAGUUUAUGUGUUUUUCAAAAUUCCACUUUGUUCAAGAGUACAAUUUCAGAACAGCAAUACAAACCCACAGCGGUCUAUAACAGCGUUUGAGCCUCUUGCCCUGAGAGUAAUAUCAGAGGAAAAUUGCUACUGUCAGGAUAAAGUGAAUUGCUCCCUUCUAUGGUUCAAGUUUCAGUCUGUGUAUUUUGGCUUGUUAUACGUAAGCAUCUCUGUGAAACAGCUUUGAUUCGGUUUCACCUUCGUCUGCUCAGAGCAAACUGAUACCUGUUAGAGGAAAGUGAAAUGAAGCUUAUAUUAACAGAUUCAAAUCUUUGAGUCAGAUCCAAAAAUUUGUGGAGGACGUUCAACAAGAGAAAGAGAAAGAAGAGGACAUUUGAAUGAAGGGAUUGAGAUUAAGGUUACACUAUAAAAAGGACUAAAAUGGAGUUUAACUUAAUUCUCUGAUUGACCAAUCUCCGUCUAUCAGUGCGUUUACAUGCACAGCCUAAUCGGACUGAGCUCAUAACUCGGACUUCUCUCCUCGUCCACGUAUACAUGCAGCUGAGAAAAUCUAGUUUUUGACGUGAAUGUGUACUCCUCUCCAAAACUAGGGGACAAUAUGGGUCUUUUUAGCGGCGCUGUUUCCGGUCCGUGCCAGACGUCAGAAGUGGCUAAAACAUCGUACAGCGUUGUUUUUGUUGUACAUGAUGUACGCGCUACUUUUUCUGCGUAUAAGGUGCACGCUACUCCUCCUCUUUGGUAUUUUUGCGUAUCAGCUCCGAUGGCCAAUCCCUGAUCCAUGUGGACCCCAACAGGACUUUAAACUGCGAACUCUGUCUGAGGGUAACAUAGUUACCUUAUUAAACACGAGUAAACCUGCAAAAAACCGAAACUGUAAAAUCUGGUUUCUUUUUCACAUACAGUAGAGGCUCAACGGUCACUGAAUUAUAUCCAAAUAAGCAGGAAAUAGACCAAAGAAAGGCAAAACAACCUGUUGUGAGCAUGUUGUUUCCUCUAUACUGAGCCCAGCUGACCGGAGCUGCACUACGCUGCUGCUACGCUCCAAAUACAAAUCCUGUAUGUGAUACCCAGGGCUGCUCUAUGGAGUUGAUACAGAACAUGCUCAAUACGGAUCCUGUAUGUUUUCGGCUUUACACUCAGUGUAGAUGUUUUACACACGAAGAAGCCUGCAGUUUUAACAAAUUCCCACAAAAUCAGAAAAAAACAGUCUGUCAAUGUAGAUCAACAACUACAACUAAAUAUUUAAUGAAGAGAUGGAAAAAAAGAUGUUUUUCACCUGGUUUUUGAUGGAAUAAGUGAUGCUCCCUCGCCCUUCAGUAUUUCAAUGAAAGCACAGCUUGUCAGAAUUUAUUUUUCAGUUUUAAUUAGGUUUUUUUUUUUGUGGCAUCUGAGAGAAGCUACGUCUUAACAGCCCUCAAUCAACAGUUGAUUUGAAGGAGCUGCAUUUGUUGCAUUCUUCGCCUUUUAACAGCUCAAACCUGCAAAGACCACUCUGCCUGCACGGGCUGAAUAGUAUUUGGGUUGCCAUGGAAACUUCUGGGUGCAAAACUGAAAUAAAGGGAGUGAGCAGAGCGGCCCUUUGCUGGGUGACAGGGGAGUGAUACUCUCUUUGUAGAGGAGAGGAAUGUGAAAGGCAGCCUCAUCUGUAUUCUGGCACAUGAACCAACCAAAAGAUAUCUGAAGCUGAAUUACAGCCGACUGAGGCUCCUCCAGACUCAGAGGGGAUUCUCUGCUUUCCACUCCUGCCCUCCAUCUCCGGAUAGUUCUCCAAUUAGACUCUUGCUGGACAGUUAGCAGGUAACAACCCUGCACAAUAACCUGAGACAUGUCACAGAGUGAAAAACAGCAUCCCAGACAUCCAGGCUGUGAGCCAGUGAGAAUCAUGAGCUGUCUUAGUCUCCAUCAUUUAGUCAAUAAAUGUAGUUACAGCAUAGACUCUGCUAAUGCUGUUAAUUGCAGCCGCAUGGUCAGGUAAAUGAUCAUGGACUCACACCAUCAUCAGCCGGAUUUGAGUCACAUCAGUCUGAGACCUAUAGGAGCGAUCCGAUUGGACGAGAAGCUGCAUCAUUUGGAUUCCACUGCAGGCACACAUUCAGAUCACUGAGGUGUCAUGACAUGCUGUCACGCUUUGCCAAUUGAUGUUAUUAUCGUGACCGAGACAACAACACAUGGUUGACACUGCAGAUGGUGAACUGCUGACUUCUUGUUGUGCUUUUUGUUGUUUAAAUCACAGUUGGCCCAUUAAGACUCACAAAGUCUUUUGUUUUCAAAUGUAGAUUUUUAAAGUUAUAGACACACAAGGUUGCUAUUCUCUGUCACAUACAAUGUUGGUGAAUCGUAACCAAGUUUGUAUUAUAGUUUUUUUUUUUUAAUCUAAAUGUUUCUUACUCAACUUUUGACUUUUUUUCUACAUGAACUUAUUUUGAGAUUUUACAAGUUUCUCACACAUCACACACAGGUAUAUCCUCACAUCAUUUUGGUUUAUUGACUUUGUCGCUAUAAAUUUAUCAGUAUUUUACUGUGAAGUAGGGCUGGGUGAUAUGGGAAAAGUUUAUCAUGGUAUAUUUUUUUCAUCAAUAUAUAUAUCACGAUAUUAAAAAAAUCACUUGUCAAUCUUAAAUGUUCCCUGUUACUCUUAAAUUAAAUCUAACAGUGCUUAUUGGUAGCAUGUCUUUUGCAAUACGAUUAGCUACUGCAUCUGUGAGGUCUUUGUGUCUCUCUGACGUUUUGUCGUAAGGCGCCAGAGAAAGUGGAAUAGUCAGGCUCUGCUUCAGGUGGUGAAAAAGAUUUGAGGUAUUUCUUGACUUUACGAGAACAUGUAUUCGACAUAAUUUGCAGUGCACAUCACUCUGCUUCGUGUCUGACCUCAAAAAAACAAAAUACCUCCCCACUAAUGACCUUUUCGUGCCGGUGUUGUCGACAAUGUCUUUAUCUGUUGGGCCUUCAUCUGCGUUUCUGCCAGGGGUAGCACUCAUUUUCUUUUUUUCUCACCAACAGUGCUGUCGGCUUCACGUGUUAAAAUGCUAUGGUUGUGUGCAGCUCCAGUCUGCUAUUACGCAGUUGUUUGCUACUUGGGUCUUAUUCAGCACACGAUUGGUUUAGUGCGGAGUGGACCUGGAGAAACUCCCCUUCUAAUUGACUAUUUGUAUAGUCUGACAAAACAUGGCAGAAUGCUGACUAUCGAAAAGCAUAUUGACCAUGUUUUAUAUUGAUAUUGAGGGAAAUUAAUUUUUUAAUUUAAUUUUAACGUUUUAUUGCCCAGCCCUACUGUGAAGUGACAAAUUCUGAGGCCUAUUCAACUAAUUUCAUUCUGCCAGUUUGAUGACAGUAAAAACUGUGAUUUUUGUUGUUGUUGUCCAAGCCUCCCAGAGCGGCUGCUUAACAUCCUGUUUCUCAGUGUUCGGAAAUCCUUCCUUCAACAUGGAGUCCUUGUUUCUUCAAAGAGCCGAGUGUGUGACGAUGCUGUAAAGAUGUGAUGUUAGUUAAAGGCGAAUGAGCUUCAUUAACAGCUUUAAUGACCCAUUUCUUUCCACUAAAACAGCUCUCUGCCUGAUACGGUGGAGGAGGGGAGUGCUGGAGUAAUAACACUGAUGUAACAUGAGUGCAUUUCUAUGGUGAGCUUGUCGCUGAGUAACCAGUUGCCUUGACAACCCUCUCCUUCCCACUUACCCACCAUCACUAUUCCCCCGCUGCUCUCUUUCUCUCCUUCAGCACUUUGAGAUCUGCAUAAUGAAAGGAAGAUAUUAAAGUGUUUUUAUCCAGGCUGGAAAUAACCAUGAGUCAGUGUACUCUCUUACACACGUCCAGAUAAACAUCGCAGACCUGGCGUCGUCCACCAUAUGGUCCUGAGAGUCUCCCAGGAGAGUUAGUGUCGUGUUGUAUCACUGACAGAGCUAAUGGCUCUGCUCAGACAAAUGAGACCUGAGGGCUGGGUGCUGGAUGACGCUCUGUGCCACAGGGAGCUUUCAUUAUAUGAAGAUAGUCCUGAAGUAGGCAAUACAACUGCAGCUCUAACCUGAGGCGUUUGUGAAAGAAUUAUCCACAUAUGAAUCUCAGAAAAAAGAAUUUUGUAACAUCAGAGAGGGUUAACAAGAGCUUUGAACAUUUCUGUGGCAAAUAUCCCCUCUGCCUGUUGACACUGUGGUUAAAAACCUUAGUGUCCAGUGUCUCGGGCUUGUCUUGGGGGCGGGGAAACAAAGCACAUUAAGGCAGCAUAGAUGAAAGCGCAGCCUGAGGAGCUACAGGACCCCAACCGUCUCUGGGAGCAACAUCCUGUCCUGCAAUCUGUGCCACAGCAGAGCUAGAUGGUAGAUGUUUCAGGACCACGUAAUCCCUGAAAGUCGAUAGUUUCAUCCUGUGCAGUAUGACACAGUCAGAAUGUUUACUUGACGAAGAUAUGGGAAAAAAUUGAUGUCCAUCUGAUGAAAUAUUGGAGAGCUGUUCGCAGUAACCUUGUCAGCAACUCCAAACUCCAACUUUCAGGUUAUUAAGAUGCAGAUUUUAAUUCUGACUGACAGAAAAGUUUUAUAAAAUUAAGCAAAAUUGGGACACAGCUGGCCUAGCAGACUAAUUGGCACCUUGUAAAAGAAAAAAAAAAAGGUUAGUUUAUGGUCUGCAGCUUGUUUCUUGCACCUGUCCACGGUCAGAUCCUCAGACCCCAAAUAAAAUAAACUGUGCAGAGCUUUUAACUGGUUAAUAAACAGACUGAAAAUACUGCUGAUGCCCUUUUUUUGACCCAUCAACAAAGUCUUAACAAAGGGAAAAAGUAAAACUACAUUAAUUAGUCAGCAAAGUGUAUCUAAAGCUGGCAGAGCUAGCACCACCUGCCUUCAGUCCUCUUACAGGUUAAUGUCCAUCUGUCCUCGGAGUAAACAAACAUAGUUAUUCGAAGGCUGAUAUUUGUUCAGAUCAUGACCCAUCCCUCACCCCACAAAAACUGGGAUCAACUCCAGCCCUCAUAGACCCCAAACAGAAUGAGAAGUAGGCCUAAUAGAUUGAUGGAAUAUAAAUACUUGUCAGCAUUAUGCAGAAUGGGACUCCACUGCUGAAAGUUCAGUCCGGUUUCUGGUCUGCGAUACUGGAAGCAGCUAAUUUAGCCUAAAGACCUUCAGCCUCAAGCUGAGUAAAAAGCAGGUCACUGUGAAGUUCACCACUUCCUAACUUCACAGCUCCAUGUAUUUUUUUUGAUUGAUAACUUACAGUUUGACAUUACAAAUAUUUCCUUUCAGUUUUCUCACGUGUUUUAAAGUUUAUAGAUAAAAACUGCCAAAUUUCUUGGCCUAGAAAUCAGUGGAAACGUUCCUCCUUUUCCAUAAACCACAUAUGGUUGCUCAUGGGGGAGGAGGAGGGCGGGAGGGCAGCAGAUUCCUUCAUGCAUCAAUAUUUGACACCUCAAUGAAUUAUAAACACAGAGAAAUGGCAGCAGAUUCUGAAGGGUGUUUUACUCUCAUCUUUCUCCAUGUCCUAGUUUUAUAUACAGCAGAUUUUUAGAGAAUCUGCGUCUCCUAUGGUAUAUAUUUAUGUCUCACACAGGCAAUGAGCCAUGUUUAUCACACUGUGUGAUGAUAAAUAACCAUCUUUGAACCUCUGAACUACACUAAAGCAGGUUUAUACAACAGUGUGUGAGCAGUAGUGCCACUAAUAUUCCUGUGUGUGUGUGUGUGUGUGUGUGUGUAUCUAAGAAUGCUCCACUUGUUCAUUUCAGUGUUAUGUCUCUUUUAUGUGGUGGUGUAAUUAAGAGCUGGGAUUACAAGGACGUCCUUCAUCGCUGCAGACGAGUGUGUCUGUGCAGUAAAAUAACUCUCUGAUUCCUGGACUGAAGACAGUCUUUGGCCCUGAGAGAUUCUCCUUUCAUUAUCUGUUGUCUGAAGUUGUUUUAACGGCUAACAAAAGUUAUGGUUGAGUUAUGUUGAGUCUCUUUGUGAAAGAAAUCAGGCAGAGCUAAAAAGAUGUUUGAUGGCUAGUAUUGUGGCUGGGACCCUAUAUGUAUUAUUGAUGAAGUUAGGUGCUGUUCUGAGCAUUAUUUGUGGCUAUAGAGUGGUGUUUUGGUUGAAGACUACAGACUGCUGUGUAUUGCUAUAGUGCGGUUGUUACUAAAGUUUGUAUAACGAGAGAAGAUAGCAGUUGGCAACAUUCAUCUCUCGAGGGGGUGUCUAACGCAGUGUUAUGGUGUGUUUGACCCAAACCUAAUGUUACACUGGAAUAUCCCUUUAAAGUCUGGAUGUGAUAGCAGCACCAGUAGCAGCAGCCAGAGUUGACGGUGUUGUCAAAGAUUCUGCAUUUUGGCAUGAUUUGAUGCACAGUGCUCAAGAUCUUGGCCAUAGAGAUUGCAUGUCUCCAUAUAGACUAUAUCCCUUCAUCUCUAUCAUUAGCUUUGGUAAAAUGUGGCCUCUCUUUAUCGCUUUUCACAUGUCUAGACAUUAUGUCAAGCUAUUGGCCACUAAAAUUCUUCUUGUAGACUAGUAUCUGUUAGCUGCCAAUUCAAACUUUUUUCAAAAAGGUAUUUAUGUGUGCACCAUUGAUUCAGUUUACACAACUUGACUCAACUCUAAUGCUGAGUUCGAGUUGUACUUAGAAGUCAAAAUUUCCAAGCUCUGAGUUGGAAAUUUAUCUGAAACGCCCCCCUGAAGUCGGACGAUCCUCACCAACCCGACUUGAUGACAACAUUAUAGUCUAAGAUGGCAGCGCAGUGCAUCAACAGUAAAGAGUAACAGCGAAAGCUCUCAUAAUGCAUUAUUUUUUUAGCACUUUUGUUUGGUUUUUGUGAACUUAAAUAAGUGGUAUAUGUUAUACUGCCCAACAUCUAACUGUGAACACGGCGCUAUGCUGUUUGUAAGAGUAAAAUACUGUGUUUUACGUUUUUCACAACUAGUAUAGCUAACAACAGCUAACAACCACUGACAAUUGUAAACAACAGCUAACAACGGGUAACUGUAGGCGUCCAUCUUGGUUUUCCGACUUGUUUACUGGAACGUUGUCAACUUGUAACUUGUGUAACAUCAUUCCCUUCUCCGACAUCUGACUUCCGAGGUAACUGGAAUGCAGCACUAGGAUGGCACUCCAUGUGACCAGCAAGACUUGAUACAUUUUCUAAGACACUAUUAUUUUUAAUAUAAUAUGUGGCCAGACACAUGUGGUUGAUAAUCUUGUGUUGUUUUCAACAGUUUCACCUUCUUAAACUCCUUGAAAUAUUGUGUUUUUGUUUGAGUAACGCAUCCAUGUGUCUUUGCUUACUUCUAAAUAGUGCUGACUCAUGUAAUAUUUAACUCUGACCACAGUUUCCCCCCUAACCCGAGUCUGUGCUUUGAGUAAACCAUAAAUCUGUUUUUCAUGCUCGGGAUGGCACUUGAGGUUUUAUAGGAAAAUAAAGCAGAGAUAUUGACUAAAAAAGGUCUGGAGACACUUUCAGUUGACAUAUUUUAGGUUAGCGUUAAACAUACUGAAGAUACACUCAGUGAAUUAUGUGUACUGUAUGUUGAUUUAAUGCGAUCCAGUCGGGUUUACAUGAUAUACAAAAUGUAUAAGCUUGCUGUCCUGCAGUGUUAAAGUCCCUGCUUCAUCACGUACAGCAGAACGAGUAUUAAAGCACGGCGUCUCUUUCUCUGCUGUGACUGGGGUGAUAAGUGGAGAGGCUGAUUUCUUCCUGAUGAUCCGGUGGAAACACGGCGCUCCCCUGCCAGUCCUGUUUUGAUUAGAGCUCCGGCUGCUCCUCGGGGGCCCGGCAGCAUCGCGAAGUUCUGAUUAAUUUAUUCUGGUUUUGGAAAUCUCCCGACACGAGUCCCUCUGAACCGGCACAGAAACACCCCUGGGCUUUGGAAUCAAUAGGGGAACUCCGUAUAAAACAAGUGUGUGGGUUGUUUUCUGUCCGUUUACAUCUCAGUCCUCCAGCAAAAACCCACAAAAUAAAUAGUUUUCUUCGCUGCAUGGUAAUCAGGUUUUUGAUUAGACUCCACUUGGUUCGAGCUCCUUUCAGGCUGAAGAGUCACAGUUCGUCAAUAGUCUGUCCGAAUGAUUUCCCUGACUACCUUAGUUAGAAGCUUAGUCAUCAGUCUGACAAAACUACAACUUCAUUGCAAGUUCAUUCUUUAAAACAUCGUGACUGCUCUCAAAAUCAAAAAAAUCUUUAAUGUGCUUCUUAUUCUCCGUUGUAAUCAGAGCCUGACACUGAUUACGGUGCAGCAUAUUUAAAUGUUUUAAUUGCACUUGAUUUGCUGUUUGCCAAUGCUAUAUAGGAAGAGAUGAAAAAGGAUGUUUUUGAUAUAAAAACCAGCCCUCAGCUCAUAUCAUCGAAUCAAUGUUGGCGUAAAUAGGAGAAGAUAUUAUUUUAUUUAUUUAUUUAGUUGGUAAGGACACUAGGUUAGCACAUUGAUCAACCUAUCAGCAAAAGCAUCAAGUAAAUAUGCCUGAGCUAGCACAGUUGCUAAAUUUAUAUAGGCUAAUGGAAGAUGUCUGUGUCAUGUGAUCAGUAAAAUAAUGGACGUUAAAGCUUAUGGUACAUGCGUUAUGUCUACAAUUGAAGCUCAACCUGCUCGAUCUCUUCUGAGCACGUCUUAGCUCCGAAAAACAUCGCCACUACAUCACGAUGGUGCUCCAUGUAAUGUUUUAUUUUUGGCUUUAUGUCCAUUUUAAUUUACAGACAAUGGACUGCAUCAACAGCUUCCUUGAUAAUAUACUGAUAUAUUUUGCAAAGGUUAAUGUAUCACUGACACAAAUUCAAAUAAUGGUUUUUACAUCACACAGAAAGUUUAUUUUAUGACAUUUGUGAGGAUGUUGGCUCAGUCCACCUUCUUUAAAUCUUAGAUCAGUUUGAGUUUAGCCUUUACUUUUUAACAAAUCCUAUGAAAUAAGCAUGUAUUUCAGUUAAGGGUCAUUCCAUGUCAAUUCAACCAAAAAUUCAUUAGCCCCUAUCUCACUAAUAAGAUGGCUUUGAACAAAAAUAUUUGAGCUCUGACAGUUUCUCCUGAAGGCCAAUCACUCCACCAAAUUUCAUCAAAAUCUGUGACGUAAGUGGAGAUUUUUGGUUUAAUUGACAUGGAAUGACCCUUAAGUUAAUGAUGAGAUGCUGUGGUUCUGUUAAGGCAUAUUCCACAUUUUCCAUAUUUUGUUCCUGGCCGCUUACAUUUUGUCCAUCUUCAUGAACAAUCUCAGUUUUUCACAAUCGUAGCACAUCUCUCGGUGCAAAAUUUUUCUUUGCUUCCUGUUGUUCGAUGAUGGAGACGCAAUCAAAGUUGUGUAGAGACACGAGCUGAUAAUUUUUCUUCACAUGAACCCAGUUGUUCUUAACAAGCUCAGGCAGCUCAGAGGAACGUUUUAUCCAGUAGAAAAUGAUAUAAAUGCCUGUGGAGUGAGAGGAGCUGCAGCAUGGGAUCAUUGUUUCAGACGUGUGGUUUGGUGGUCUCGGUUUUGCAAGAAAAAUGUUGGAUUAUAUGUAACAGCAGAGUGAAAAAUGUUGGCAGAGCGGCAGUCUAAAAACUUGCAUGUGACACUGCAAGAAAAAUCCAUAUUUAGUCAAUUAUUGCUUUAAAGUGUGCGGUUCACAGAAGGUUUAAAUGUAAGAGGCUCUCCAGUUGAAAAGGAAAACGUCUGCUGUCCAGAGUCGUUCAAGUCGCGGUGCAGAAUUUUAGGACAUGAUUGUUAUGAACUGAUGAUUGGUGAAAAGUACAUGAAGACUUGUGAUGUUUUUGCAUGCCAGUUUGAGAUCAUUUCAAGCAGCACAGUCUGAACCUUCUGGUUUUGGACACAGUGAUGUGUGUAGGGUUUGUUAUUUUAGCUCAGUCUUUCCCUUUAGAAGCUAACACAGUGUUUUUUGAUAAGGUAAACAUCUCCUGUAGACUGUGGGUUGUUAUUAUGCUGUAAAAAACAUGGAAAACUUAACACUCACUCUGAAGACUGCUGUGCUGCUGGUUAAUCCUUCUUGUUGACUAAGAAGGCUUUCACACCUAGAACGUUUGGUCCGGACUUUCAGACUUUUCUGUUCAGUCCGAACCAAAAUGAUAGGUGUGGAACCUCCCCAUGACCUUGGUCCGGACCAAACAGCCAGACCUUGGUCCGACCAAAAGAGGUGGUCUCGAUCUAGAACCAAACUGAACCACAGUCUGGUUCAUGCCCAGUGUGAAAGCAUUUCUUUUUAAAGGUUUGGACCUUCUUACAAAAGACAGGAAAUGACACGAGGAGUACAAGUUUCUGUUAUCUGUAAUGGAGAUUGUCCACGAAUGGGAAAUUUUACAAUAUUGUAGAUACCUCACUAUUGACAGCUGAUCUUUUCAAGAGUUUUACUACAAAUACUUUCUCUCCAGAGUCAGUGUUGUAGUGGCUCACAGGGUUGUAUUCUUUCCUCUCCUUUCCUGUUGACGACGAUAAAGUUGUCGUGCAGUGAUAAUAUUCACAAGACAAACUUGGACCAGCCUCAUGUACAGCUCUUAAAGUUAUCGCUGUUGGCAGAAGAAAAAUCAACAAUAAUAUCAAUCAAUCAAUCAAUCAAAUUUUAUUUAUAUAGUCCCAGUUCACAACAGUCGUCAUCUCAAGACGCUUUUCAAAGAACAAGAGCAGGUCUAGACCACGCUCAUUGUUUGAUGAUCAAGAACCAACCUAAGAUGGGUUGGCCCAUCUCAACUAACAUGAAAACAUGAAAAUUAGACAGGCCUCCUCAUUUCCUGUUUUUAAAUCCCUUUUAAAAACGCACUUUUACUCCUUGGCUUUUGAUACAUUGUAGUGUUCUUUUGUUUUUUAUCAUCUUAGCACUUGCCGUGAGCCUGCUUAUUUAUAUAAUUAUUUAUUUUUUUGCAUUAAUUUAUUUUUGCUCGCUUUAUCCUGUUCUUUGAUUGUUUUAUGUGUUUUUAUGUGUCAUUGUACAGCACUUUUGCUACCCUUGUGGUUCUUUUAAAUGUGCUUUAGAAAUAAAGUUGAUUGAUUGAUUGAUUGAUUGAUGAGUAGCAGUAGCAUACUAAUAUGAUGGGGGGGAAUGACAAUUUUACUCAUGUUAACAAUAUUUAAGACCCGCGUUAUUCAACGUGUUGACGUCAGACGCCCACCGGCCAAAUGAGCAUGUAGUUGAUGACAAUAUCACGUAGGUUCGUCAUGUAAGGUCUUUUAGUCUGUUUGCAAUAAUGACAAUGUGAAACCUAAACAGACCAAACCAAAUGUAUAUUAUGUAACAAAAACAUGGACCUUGGUUGGACCUUGGUCCAGACUUUCAGGUGUGAAAACACCCUAAGACUAGACAAAAAGUAGUUAGGGCAAAAACGACUAAAACUAAGAGUUAUUUAAGUCCAAAUACUGAGACUAAAUCGAAAUUGACUGCCAAAAGUUACACCUCUGUAAAUGUAACACAAAUUGCACAUCAGAGCAAAUGCUGUCUCUGUGUGCCAGUGUUGUUUGCAUACAUUUACAAAACCAUUAUGCAUUAAUUUAGAGCAAAUUAUACCUGCAAAUGAGCCAAUUAAGAGCAGAUUUAGAGCCAUACCCAAUUUUGAACAAUUAAAUAUGUGAUAACUCCAUUGUUACCAAAAUGCUCAGUUUCCUUGUGAAAUUAUUGGAGAAAAGAUUCCUUGUUAGCCUAAGAAAUCAUGACCUUCAGCUACAUGUUUACACUCUAAACCUCAUGUCGGUCAUAGAUGGGAAAAAAAAUAUGUAUGAACAAAAUCAAUCACAACGGAUAUCCCAUACUGCCCUAAUCGCUAUGUGCCACUUUUUCCAACGCGUGUGACUCGUAAGCAGUUGCAUAAAAUCGAUGCAGCGAGAGCAUGCUCUAGAGAAGAAGCCAACCAGUGUUUCUGUCACCCUGAAGAAUCAGUUAGAGACACUUUACAAAAGCUCGCUUGUCCUCGGGUUGAUCCAAAAGUGCAGCUGGGAUCAAUGAUUUAUGUGGCUGCACCCACAAGUCCUCACAACGCUCAUCACAUGGCAGAGGAGAAGACUCUGAGGGUCACGGCUUAGGCCAGAGCGGGAGAACGAGAGGGGGGGUAACCAAGGAAGGAGGCACAUAAAGCUGCAACCAUGAAACUCGGAGAACAACUGGUGCAGAGGUGACUGUGGACUCUGAUGGUCUGGCUUUAGGGAGCAGAUUGAGGAAGUGAUAAAACUACACGCAGCAACAGUGGUCACAACUUCACAAUGUUCGACCACAGUGACAUUUGAGGGCAGACAUUUAAUGACUUUGACCUUUACGCCCCUCUCAUCGCUUUUUAUAGCCAUAAAGAAUCCAAAAUGCACGCAGUUUUCAUGUUCAAACCCAGAACGAAUGGGGGAUUUACAACAAAACACUUGCAUGACAAUGAAUUCCACUCUGCUUCAAUAGAAACAAAAAUACAUACAAGUAUAGUUUGUAGGUUGGAAACAUGAGUCAAUCAUGUUGGAACUGCUGGAUUAACUCUUUACAUUCUGCUUUUGAAUUCAGGUCAAAACAGCUGACCAAACUUGAUGUGAGGAAGUCUGGCUGAUAAAAAAACAGCUUCAGUGUUUAAGUAUGUGGAUCUAAUGCCACAAUUUUUAAUAAAGAGGAAGAAAAACUACAACAAUGCAUAUGAUGGUCCACAGGAUUGUACUUGUGAUUAUAGCAGUGCAAAGAGUGCAGUUUGAUCUAUUCUGUUUAUGUCUGCAGGAAAAACAGUCUGUAUCUAGACCCGAAUGACAACUUGGCUCUGAUCUGACAACAAUUUAUUGCUCCUUGGAAAAAUUUAUCAUCUGAAUAAUUAAGAAUAAAACUUGAAAGACUAAAAACAGACUACAAAUAAAAAUCAGAACACUUCACUUCUUCACAUGCUGAGAAUCCUGAUUCCUCGGUUCAGAUGCUACACUCAUGUAGAAUCUUUCAGGGCUGAAUGAUAUCCGGUUUAAAUGUCACUACUGUGCGAUAGAAGCAAUGCAGGACCUGUCAGAGGGUCAGGCAGUGCAGGCAGAGUCUCUCUGGCUAAACCCAUAGGAUCAGGAACGGCUCUGCUCCACUCCGGACCAGCAGACAGAUCAGAUCCAGAAGUGCUUGCAAGAUUACUGAUAUUUCUCCGGAGACUGGACCAGAUCUCAAGAGCUCUUGAGUGUUCCCCGGGAGUCAUAGAAUAAGAUCCGCCAAUCGGAGCAUGUAAACGGCGGUGUGUAUAAACACCCACAUCCCACAACUCUGGCCUCUCCCAUUAUCAAAUUAAGAACAGUUCAAUGUAUUGACUUUAUUUUAUUUUGAAAAUUAACCAGAUAUUUUACUCUGUAACCGCGGAAAACUUCAGCUGCUGCUCGUGCUGCUCUGCACUGAAUUGAUACGCCGGAUCCUGUGGGUUUAGCCAGUUAGUGUCGCCACCGUAGAAUAUAAACAUGCACGCUAAACCUGUUACUGGUACCGUCACAAAUACCCAGAAAAUGCUUGACAAAGUAAGACAGGUAUUAAAACAAAAUUUUCUCAAAAAUUAAGUCAUCGUUAUGAUUUAAAAAGUAAAAAAUAUUAGAAUCUGUCACAAUAAAAGAUCUUGGUUGGGAGAUGGUCAAAGUGUUUAAUCUAAUAAAUCCAUCAGUUUCCUAUUUCUUAUCUUAUAUUUUUGACUUUGACUUUGAUGUUUUGACUUUUUAUCCUAUACCUUUGUGUUACUUCCCAAUAAUUUUGUCUUUUUUAUCUUACAUUUUUAUUCUGUUUUUAUUAUAAUGAACAACUUUUUCAAUAUUGUGACUUUUUAUUCCAUAAUUUUAAUUUUUCAUCUUAUUAUAAUGACUUACUGGCUUGUUAUUGUGACCUUUUCUCUUACGAUAAUGAUUCAGUGCCAGUUUUUGUCAUUAAAGCCAAGUCUCACUUAUCUGGUAAAAUUAACUUCAAUAAAGUUUUUAAUGAUGCAGAGAAACAAAAAAAAUGGCAGCACUAAUUUCUAAAACAUCCUGCAGCCCUCGACUAUUUACAGAAAACAGUGGCGUGUUUUCCAUCGACAUGGUUAAAAUCCUUAAUUCAGCCGCCUUUAAAUCUUUCCAUCUGGACAUUUUCUGUGACAAAGUUGAAUCUACUUCAAUGAAAGCGUCCACAGAUGUUUGAAUAACUGAUCUGUAGAUUAAGUGACCAUCUUUGCCCCAGAGCGACAUGUGUUUCUGUCUUCUUUGGUAAGAAGAAUUCAAUUUUACUGUGACGGCUACAUUGCCUACUGGCAGUUAUAGAGUUAUAAAUAAAUGGUGGUUAUUAGGGGAACUACUGUUGUGUGAAAAAUCCCUGACAUAAAAUACAAGACAGUAAACAAACGUAAUGAAAAACAGAAAGAGCUUUGGUGCAACUCUGAACAAACAGCUUUGUCCUCUUUGAACUUGGACUCUGGCCGUCUCUGCCUCAUUAAACAGCCUUCCCUCCACGCCUUCACCUCACAUCCCACACUUUGAUUAUUCUCUCUUCAAUAAGUCGGCACUUCUUUUCUCUGCCUGUUAUUGGGAUGGAUUUUAAUUAGCUUCCCGGGGAGCCGCUGAGGUUCUCACUGACUGAACGACCCUGUGGCCUGCUGAGAAGAGAUUUGGAUUAUUAGAUAAUUCAGCAGUAUGUUGAUAUGAAUAACAAGCACUCUGGACAUAUUUGUUUGAACCUUGAACGUGUUGUUGUUUUACACAGUGAUAUAAAGUGAAAAAGUUAUACACUGAUCAGCUGUGACAUAAUAACCACCUGUUGGAUGUUGUGCUGCUCCCUUUCUUAUCCAGUCAGGGUCAAAACAACUCUAACUUGAUGGGACAUGGGCUCCUCUGGGCCUGUGGAGGAGUGCUGUGGUGUCUGGGGUUAGGUGAGCAGGGGCCUCCGUGGAUCACACUUAAGUCUUCACAUCCAAAGAUGCUCAGUUGGACUGAAAUCUGGGAACUUUUGAAACCAAGUCAUCACCUUGAAAUGGUCCAGUUUCUUCAGCUGUUAGAAAGCUUAGUUUAAAGGCUGCAACAUCCUGCAGGUGACUGAAACAACAAUGAAAACUAAUGUAUUUUUUCUCUUUAUUUCCAUCGCUACAGUGUGCUCAACCAUCAGGGUCCUUCCUGUUUCUCCUGUCACCAAGACUCCAUUCAUAGUCAUAGUCUGACAGUUUAAUACGGAUAGAACACAAAUACAUACAGAGCUGUCUUGUCCCGCUAAUGCCUUUUGUAUUUAAUCCAUACUUUUAUGAUACUUCUAUCAAAUCAAUAUGAUCAAAAAAUUACUAAAAAAAACACCUGAAUACAGUCCGAUAAAAGAUAAAAAUGUCCUUUUGUGGUUUAUCAGUUUCCAAAAAUGCCUAACGUAUCAAACGAGAUAAAUAAAUAUAUUUGUUAAAUUUUAAAGACAAUUUGAUUUUUGUGGUUUUCAGUAGUAAGUAAAAUAAACCUUUCAGCUCCAAAAAAAUGUAAAUUUUCUGGCCAUAAUUUGUGGUUUCGGGCAUUAAAGGGUUAAGGACUUUUGCUUUUGAACGCAUAAGUAAGCAAAGUAUCCAUAUUAUUCAGCUUUAUUCUACCUUUAAGAUCGUUUUUUUUGCCGAAGUUCUGUUGUAAACAGGUUACCAGCUCGACUAGUUGAAAUGGAAAAUCCCAUAGAAACUGGCUACGCUCGCUGAGUCAUAAUUACAUUUUUUUACCUUAAACUUUGUAAAAAGUAUGAAAACAAACAGUUACUGACUCUUACUGACUCCAGCUUUUCUAGCCAGUCAGAGGUUAAGGAGGCAAGACUUUACCCUUCCGUCCUACAACAAAAAAAUAUUGCCUACUGGAUACCAGACAAACUAAGCUAAUGCAAUUUAGCAUUGGGGCGUCAUUGUGUUUCAAACUCUACAGUAAACAUUCUCUGUUAUAAAGAUGGCGAACUAGUUGGUAACUGGCGAUUUCAUGAGACAGGUAACAUGAAGUGUGACUGAGCCCCCUUGUGGCACAAAUUGGGACUAAACUCCAAAUAAGAAACUGCUCAAAAUCACAAAAUCGAAUUAUGAGUGUACGUGCAAAAAUCGUACAGUGUACAUAAAAUAAAUUACAUAGUUUGACCACACCUUACUGAGCGUCAUUACACAUUACACAUUACUCAGCAGCACUCACCUUUCAGCAGUCUGAACACUAGGAGCUCCUCUGUUUUUAAUGGACCACAUGGCCCAGCCUUCACUCCUCACAUGCAUGAGUGAGCCUUGUCUGCACAUGACCCUGUCACAGGUUUUCCUACUUUCAACCACUUUUGGUAGGUACUGAUCCCUGUGGACCGAGCUGCCGUUUUUAAAGAUGCUCAGACUCAGUAGUUCCUAAAAGUUUCUUCACAGUUUUGUCCAUGUGAAAGUUGCUCACAUCCGUACACUCACUCGCUUUUUCCGCCUCAAGGACUAAACGCUCGCCUGCUGCCUGACAUAUCCCACCUACUGACAGGUGACACUGUAAAGAGAAAAUCAAUGAUGCUCACUUCACCUGUCAGAGGUCCUGACGUUACAGCUGAUGGUUGUGUAUUUCAAAGCUUAUUUUAACCCAACCUCUUUGUUUUGUAUAGGAUGACUUCCUUCAGAUGCAGUCUGCACACGCCUGUGAAUGACACAGGCAGGAUGUGUAUUGAGAGCGACUAUGACUCCCCUGGUGGGUGACUACACAUGAAUGCAAGCAGUUCUAAAUAUAGCCGGUUCCUUUUCCUAUACAGAUGGCUGGCAGCGAGCAGAGACUCACAGGGCUUCAAAGCUCAUGCCCAGAAAGACUGUGCAAACCUAGAGGGUGUUGUUGCAUACAGAAUACACUCUUAACAUCAAUAUUUCAUGAGCAGAUACAGCACUAGGAGUGUUUCCUUCCCUUUCAAAGACUGAGGAGGGAAAAUGUACCCAGUGCCAUGUUAUAGACCUGCAGUGUAAGAUGGGAUCAAACAGGCCCUCUAACCUGUCAUAUCAGUCAGUAAGCCUGGUUCAGUUCAGCACUGGUCCUAAUUUCAGAGUUUUCAGUAAAGGGAACUCUCAACACACCAAAUUACCCUCAUGGAUUGUUUGAUUUUUUUGUUUUGAAGCUUUGUUUUUUUGCAUUUCCACAUCCCUGGUUUAUUAUUUUGUUCAGUCUUGUCAAAAUAUGAGCUGGUGUCUGAGUUAUUGGUUUUCUGCAGCAUUUAAACUGGCAUGAAAAACAAGUUUUCAGUGCCACCGCAGGGAGAAGUGAGCUCUUGGAAUACAAAAGCAAGGUCAGAUGGUAGAGAGUGAUGAAGCAAGCUGUGUCUGGAUUUUUGCACGUCUGUAGGGACCUGGCUUUGGAACUAAAAUGGUGGCCCGUUCAGAACUCAGUAUUGACCACAGUGAGGAGGUUGGACUGAUUACUGGAGAGGUGUCAGCUCUCCUAAUAGGCAUCUUGAACAAGGCGUCAAACCCUCAAGUGUAGGGGGUGUUGACACCCCCCUCUUUCGAACAUCUCGCCAUUCAGUCUAAUGUGUUUGUUUGUUUGAUUUUGAAUAACAUUAUUUCCUUUGGAGAUUAAAGGGAUAUUCCGGCGUAAAAUUAAUUUAGGGUCAAACACACCGUGACACCGAGUUGGACACCCCCCCGAGAGAUGAAUGUUGCUGACCGCUUGCUUCUCUAGGUGUACCAACUAUUGCUCAUUACUUUAUCAUUUCCUUGAAGUACACACGUGGACAAAAUUGUUGGUACCCCUCAGUUAAAGAAGGAAAAACCCACAAUUCUCACUGAAAUCACUUGAAACCUACAAAAGUAAAUUUAUUGAAAAUUAAAUAAUCAAAAUCAGCCAUUACUUUUGAAUUGUUGAUUAACAUAAUUAUUUAAAAAAAACAAACUAAUGAAAUAGGGCUGGACAAAAAUGAUGGUACCCAUAACUUAAUAUUUUGUUGCACAACCUUUUGAGGCAAUCACUGCAAUUAAACGAUUUCUGUAUUUGUCAAUGAGCGUUCUGCAGCUGUCAGCAGGUAUUUUGGCCCACUCCUCAUGAGCAAACUGCUCCAGUUGUCUCAGGUUUGAUGGGUGUCUUCUCCAAAUGGCAUGUUUCAGCUCCUUCCACAGAUGUUCAAUGGGAUUCAGAUCUGGGCUCAUGGAAGGCCACUUUAGAAUAGUCCAGCGCUUUUCUCUCAGCCAUUCUUGGGUGUUUUUGGCUGUGUGUUUUGGAUCGUUGUCCUGUUGGAAGACCCAUGACCUGCGACUGAGACCAAGCUUUCUGACACUAGGCAGCACAUUUCUCUCCAGAAUGCCUUGAUAGUCGUCAGAUUUCAUUUUACCUUGCACACAUUCAAGACACCCUGUGCCAGAUGCAGCAAAGCAGCCCCAAAACAUUGCUGAGCCUCCUCCAUGUUUCACCGUAGGGACAGUGUUCUUUUCUUCGUAUGCUUGGUUUUUGAGUCUAUGAACAUAGAGUUGAUGUGCCUUACCAAAAAGCUCCAGUUUGGUCUCAUCUGUCCAAAGGACAUUCUCCCAGAAGCUUUGUGGCUUGUCAACAUGCAUUUUUGCAAAUUCCAGUCUCGCUUUUUUAUGAUUUUUUUUCAGCAGUGGUGUCCUCCUUGGUCGUCUCCCAUGAAGUCCACUUUGGCUCAAACAACGACGAAUGGUGCGAUCUGACACUGAUGUACCUUGGCCUUGGAGUUCACCUUUAAUUUCUUUGGAGGUUGUCCUGGGCUCUUUGGAUACAAUUCGAACGAUCUGUCUCUUCAAUCUGUCAUCAAUUUUCCUCUUGCGGCCACGUCCAGGGAGGUUGGCUACUGUCCCGUGGGUCUUGAACUUCUGAAUAAUAUGAGCCACUGUUGUCACAGGAACUUCAAGCUGUUUAGAGAUGGUCUUAUAGUCUGCACCUUUAAGAUGUUUGUCUAUAAUUUUUUUUCGGAUGUCCUGGGACAAUUCUCUCCUUCGCUUUCUGUUGUCCAUGUGUUCAGUGUGGUACACACCUUUUCACCAAACAGCAGAGUGACUACUUGUCUCCCUUUAAAUAGGCAGACUGACUGAUUAUGAGUUUGGAAACACCUGUGAUGUCAAUUAAAGGACACACCUGAGUUAAUCAUGUCACUCUGGUCAAAUAGUUUUCAAUCUUUUAUAGAGGUACCAUCAUUUUUGUCCAGCCCUAUUUCAUUAGUUUGUUUUUUUUAAAUAAUUAUGUUAAUCAACAUUUCAAACGUAAUGGCUGAUUUUGAUUAUUUAAUUUUCAAUAAAUUUUUAUUUAUUGUUACUUUUGUAGGUUUCAAGUGAUUUCAGUGAGAAUUGUGGGUUUUUCCUUCUUUAACUGAGGGGUACCAACAAUUUUGUCCACGUGUGUAAUAAUCACCAUAUUAAUCAUUUUGCACUGCAGAUGCAGUAUUUUUUCUGCAUUAGCAUCUCGGUCUGAUUGUAUUUCCAUGAAGAAAUGAUCAUAAAUGUUCUUCCUUUAACUGCCCCCCCACUUCAGUCGAUAAUGUAUUGGUCAUUUCUAUUAUUAGGACCCUAUAUGUACUGUUGAUGAAGUUAGGUGCUGUUCUGAGCAUUAUUUGUGGCUAUAGAGUGGCAUUUUGGUUGAGGUUUGUGUGUGGCUACUUGGACCGUUGUGUAUUGCUAUCGUGCGGUUGUUACCGAAGUUAGUAUUUUUAAAAAAAAUUAAAAAUAUUUUUUUUUAUUUUAUUUCCAACUUUCUUUAUUCUGACUUUACUCUCAUAAGUAAUUACUUUAUUAUAAUUUUAUUCUUGUUAGUAAUUACUUUAUUUUCAUUAGUAAUGACUUUAUUCUCGUGUGUUAAUGCCUUUAAUCUCGAAGUUUUAAAUUCUUGUUCCUUAAUGUGGCCCCAAUACUUUGUCGUAACAAACUAAGGCUGUGAGGACAUUUUUCAUCAAUGUUUUACCAUUUCAACCCCUCUUCUUCAGAAUAAAAGCAUGGUGUGCAAACAAGUGGAGUCUCUCCACAGAAAGAACACAUUAGGCUUUUACUUUGAAAUGCAUUCCAUGCUUCUAUUUUUGCAGCAAUCUGUGUGGCUUGCAGAAAAGGAAAAAUUGCAAAGCCUUCUUUUCUCUAAAUUUUUGAUGCGUGAAACAAACAUAAGCCAUGCACACUUGUAAGUCAUGCUGCUCAUGUUGGCAGUGUGAAGGGUCUGAUCUGUUGACAUGCAUGUUGAAAAGAAAACUGAGCAGUUCUGCAACCAUUAAGCAUCUAAAUCGGGUUCAUCACUUGGUCCAGAUAAAUAAUGGUGUAAGUACUCGGUGCAAAUGUGUGUUUAUGCAUUCACAGAUGCACAGAUGACAUGCAUGUUGAAAAGAAAACUGAGCAGUUCUGCAACCAUUAAGCAUCUAAAUCGGGUUCAUCACUUGGUCCAGAUAAAUAAUGGUGUAAGUACUCGGUGCAAAUGUGUGUUUAUGCAUUCACAGAUUUUUUAUUAUAGAGUUAGUUUUUUAAAUUAAGAGACGCUCAAAUGAACAUCUUAUUUUUUCUUUAAAGUUAAAAUAUGAUCAGAUUUGAUGCUGAGCAGCUCAGGGGACUGAAACCUGGAUGUUCAUCCGUGCAACUGCGCACGCCUGACUAAACAUGUCACUCCAAUGUGCCUCAAAGUGCUGUCAUUAUCACCUUAUCACAGUGUGAAAUAUAUUCAGUCACAUCUACUGACCACAGCUCAAACACUGUCGGUAAUUUCCUGUAUAAUCCAGCCCUCUAACCUUUCAGCGUGUCCCCACUUCGAGCUGCAAAAACACUCUGGCAGCAGAGCGCCUCAAAGUCAAGGGAAAACACAGCGAGUGAAAUAAAAUGGAGCUUCAAAGCAGAGGAGCAGCGGAGAGAGCAGCUGAUGAAAUAUUUAUCAUGAAAUAUACAAGACAUAAGAAUGUAAUUUUAAAGAGCUUCUGGGAACAGGGUUAUUUUUAGUAACCGCACUGAAUAUUUUACUUCAUUUCGCCCUCUAGUAAGCAGGUGACCUCCCCUCCUCUCUAUUUCCCACUCCUUCACUGUGAUGGGAGACUUCUCCUCGUUCGUUCACCCAUCAAAGCUGAGGGACGAGGAUUUAAUCCAAUAGGAGGACAUUUCUUAAUGAUUUUUAAACCACCUCUUCAUGAACAUGCUUCUUUCUUUAUCUCUUCAGUCUUUCUAAAGCAUGCACUGAGACAAAUGUAGUCCUCCUCUGUCGUCCAGAGAGCAGCAGAUGGUGAAGCGCUCAGGAGGGCAGACAUGCAGCCAGUUUUCCCUGCAAACACAUUAACUCUCCGGGUGCAUGAAGCCUCACAAGGCAAAGGAGCUUGAUUGGAUUUGCAGGAACCUGGUGUUAUGGUAAGUAGUUGCGCCGUCUAUGUGCAACAUAAUGAGGAGGAUAGUCUCUGAGUAUGACCUCAUGGUCUGGACAGUCUGAGCAAAGGGAUCAUAACCUGAUUAUCUGAUAUGAAAAUGGAAACCUCACAGGGGCUCAAACUGCUUUACAGCCGUGACUUCAGGGAUAAUCCUCACUUAGAUUAAAAUAUAAGACAUUUGAAAUUCCUGUUUAGUUCUGUCACACCCAAAAUCUUCAGACUGUCCUCCUCUUAGUGCAGAUUUAUCCUUAUUCCCCCCUGAUGAGGCUUUGACUGGCACAGUGAGGUCUUUUACUCCUCAUAUUUCAUCUGACUUAUUUCUCUUUCCUCUGCCCCCUGAAGGAGGAAGUGACCUUUCUGAAGACACCACACCUUUUCCCCGAGACUAAACUCUUCACCUCCUCUUUCUGCAGACACAAUAAAUUCAAGCUAAAGCCAGCUCAGUCUGGGUUUUCUAAACAUUAAACAGCUCUAAUAUCCAUCAGAGAGCUGUGAUCUAACCACAAUUAGUCAAAUACCGAGGUUUUUACGACUUAUGACCUGGAAUACCGUAAUAAUUCACUAUAACAGUGUAUGAGUUUCCGAAACCAAAGUGUGGCGGCACAAGAUGAUGGCCACUGUGGGAAUACAGUCUAUCAGAUACCCUGUUAUGUGACAACUGAUCACUCAUGGAAAGUAUUUCCCUGAACCUCAAUUUUCAGUGAUCUAAAACUCUGAAUGAGGUUUUACAACCAAAACACAGAGAAUAAAACUGUAUUAUGGAGAAACAACGUGUAUAAACUUCGUAGCAUUUGCAAAGAAAUAUGCAACCUAAUCUAAUCUCAUCCUGCAUCUCUCAAAUGUGCAAGAAUUGUUCAUCUUUUAACCCUAGAACACUAUCGCUAAAAAUUAUUAACACCAUCACUAUCGCCUGAUGAUUUUUACCCGAAAUAAUAUACCCAAGAAAAAGUACUUAUCAUCAAAAUAUAUCAAAAUAGGACAAUACAUGACAAAUUAAAGUAGUUUUAUUUUUAACUGUGUAAUGUCCAAAGGGAGGAAAAAAGUGCCAUAAGGGGACCAUAUAAAAAUGCAAAAAAUUAACUGAAAUUAGGCAUUUAUGAACAAAAAAAUUCAUAAAAUAGAAUGAAAUAAGAAAACUGUAAACUGAGUUUCUUUUCCAUCCAUUCCUGGGGUAUGUGAGUCUUCCUUGGUGAAGACUCAGGGUCCUCGGCACAAUAACAGCUACAGGAGAGAGAACCAAAAUAUGGCUUUUUUUUUUUUUUUUUGAGUGAAUAAAAAUGACCAGCUGACUAAAAUAUUUCUUAUCACCAUAUGAAUUCCCUUGAAAAUCACUACUUCAUGAUAGUUAUCCAUAAUCACUGCACUAAAUAAAGAUAGCAUGCAAAUUCCAGGCCUGCUCUUACUGACCUUAUCCCUACAUGCAGCUUAAAAACAAUCAACUCAAUGUACAAUUACUAAGUUAAACAAACUUUAGCUUUGUGUUACUCACUAGCUGGGAUGCCAGAGACAUCAACCCUUCAACAGGGUCACAGCUGUAGUCGAAGAAGGGAGGGUAAAUAUGGCGGUCCUGAAUGUUGUCAGCCUUGAAAUGCAGCAAGAUCACCUGCAUUUAUACACUUAACACUAUUGCUGGGUGAAAUCAAACUCAAACCUACUUUACCCUCUAUCACUAUUGCUGUAGGAAAAAGCAGGUUUUGGAUCAAGGAAACAAAAAUGCCUUCAAAGAUGUCAAAGGUGAUGCUUCAGCUACCCGGGGACAACUCAGACAAACGCAACAUCAUGAAGAUCACGUCAACAUGUUUAGUCGGCCUGGUGUUUGGCCUAGUGUUCAAGGGUUAAAUCACCAUUCAAUAAUAUUUUAUGGGCAAAAAAAACUUACUGCCAAACUGAUAUUAGUAAAAUUGAUAUCUUCAUACUUUCCUCUUUUGUUGGUCCUCCCGUGUCCUUGUCUCCUCCAUCGGCUCGUCCCCUCCUUUCACAGUCCUUUUCCACUCCACACUGGGACCACUAAGAUGAAGACACCUCACCUUUGCUUGUACCUCACCUCUGCCUCUUGCUGGUAUUGCCAUUUUCAGACUAAAUUCAGUGCUGACCAACUGUCGAGUGAAUGUGACAGUAGCCUAAGUGUCACCCCAGGAGACACAUCCUGCACCACCUGACCAGUAGAUGACAAUCUGUGGUCCGGUAGAGCGUCUAUUGACUUGAGUUUUCUUCAGUUUUCCUGACAGAGUUUUCCUGAGAGACUCUUCAGAUCCCUUUUUUUCCUCUUUACUCGAAUGGGACUCAAUUUCAUCUCAGUCUGCUUUCUGCCCAAACUCCACAGUUGGACAUGCAGACCUUUAGUUUCACCUUCACAGUCUUUGUCGUCUUCGUUGAUCACCCACAAAACACACGCCAACAGAACGUGCAAUCUGCGUGACUUGAUUCAUCUUUAAUUAACAAGGUAAGAAGUGCUGUAAGGUGAUGCCGCCUUGAUUUCAGAGUCACAUUCACUGAGAGGAAUGAAGCGUGCUAUAUUUGCGCUCAAAUUUAUGUCUGACAGCAUUCGAACCCCUCCGUACCUGCCCCUCUCUUGUCCUCUCCGUCUGUCCGUCUGCGUCUAGAAGUGGACAUCUGUAACACAUCUCCGCUGGCAGAUUUAUUGGUUGUUUCGCUCGGCUUAAUGGUGCACUCGACAGCUUUCCCUGGCUCAGUGAGCAGACCAGCUCCUGAGAAACCUCUUUGGAUCCUUCAGAGUGACUUACUGUAUUACCCUGUCAGGCUGGAUGGGCCCGUGUGGAUCCCUGCAGGGCUUCACUGAUAAUUACACUUAUAUGCUGGUGUGUUCAGAGGAGGAAAAGAGGAGUGUAAUGGACUGGGUGUCUGGCCUCUUGUAGACCUGGAUAUAUCAAGAUUAUUGUGCAAGAUGGACGGUUCUUUACAGUGAAGGUUUUCAGACCCUCUGAGCCUCUCUGAGUGGAUUUUUCUCUUCCAGAUUGGCAGCUCAUUCUGCAGCUUUGGAAACAAUUUCUGUUCUCGCAUGCUACCAUUUGAAGCUUUAAAUCAUGUUGUCAGAGCAUGGAACAGUCUCAGCUGCCAUCACAUGAUCGGCAAGCGGUGUUACGGUCAGGUCACAAAAACCCCCAAGUCCAAUUCAACAAAGGAGGAAUCAAAGUGAAGUCUCUAUUACUGGAGUAUGAGUCUGAAUUGAACCCCUGUUAUUAUUUUUAUCACUCAUAAUAAGGGGGGAGGGUUGUUUGACUCUAAAGUACUGACAGCAUGAACUUUGACUGACUUUGUAAAACCUUUUAGAUGUGGCAAUAUACCAGUAAGAGAUGUUAACCAUCUUUUUUUGAAAAUGAAAUAUUCAUGUUGUGCUAAAAAUAAGUACACAGUAAUUCUGUGAGCUCAUAGUAGUGGUCUUUUGUGCCAGUUUUCAUGCACCAUGAAACAGGGAAGAGACAACCAAUGCAGCAGCUGCUAGCGGCUUCUCAUAGACGGCGUAGCGUACCUGUAUACUGCCAGUCAGGGCUGAUUUUCUCUUGCCUCCAUCAGACUCAAUCUGAGCAUGCUCCAGAGUUGGGACGUCAGGCUUCGACCUGGACGUUAAACUGCGUAAAUGUGUUGCAGGAAGCUGAAAAUCGAAUGAAACUCGGAUAGUAGGCAAGAGUAGGAGGGGAUGAAAAAAACACAAAGCUGUUGUAUCGUACAUACGAAAGGCACAGGCCUGUAAAUUAUUCAGCGUUUCCAUCAAUCAUUACUUAACCUCGUAGUCUCUUCCCGACAAGAAGGAGAAAGAGGCAUGUCGCCACCUUCUGCGGCAGACAUACUUUGGCAAAUAAGUUAAUUCAUGUUGGUGCUUGUCAACUGGGACAAGGACAGUCGUCCAGUUAAAUUGUUUAAUUGAGGUUAAACUUAUCUGUGCAUUUAAACAUAGAAUAAAGUCAAAUAUGCACAGAAUGCAUAGGUGAGUUCAAGUCUGAUUGAGGUGUAAACAAGCAAGAGAAAGAAGAUCCCGAUCUGCAUUAUCUGGAUAUGUUAGUUUGACUUCAAUAGAGAUAUUUCAGUUGAUAUUUUUCUGAAAGUCCAGAUUUAGUCUGCCUAAAGCAUCAAAUCCCAGGGUUCCUAUGCAAGUAUGUAAAGUAUGGAAAGGUGUGGAAUAAAUUUGAUUAAUUUCCAGGUUCUAAUGCUCAGAACAGCACCUAACUUCAUCAACAGUACAUAUAGGGUCCCAGCCAUAGUACUAGCCACCAAACAUCUUUUUAGCUUUGACUGAUUCCUUUAGCAAAGAGACUAAACACAACUCACCCACUCUCUUCCAGCAGCCGCUUGUUUGACCUUGGGUGAGUCCAUAGACUGCAGCGGAGUUUCGCAGCUCAAGGAAGAACAUUUAUGAUAGUUUCCUCAUGGAAAUGCAAUCAGACUGAGACACUAAGGCAGAAGAACUACCACAUCUGCAGUGCAAAAUGAUUAAUACGGUGAUUAUUACUUCAAGGAAAUGAUAAAGAAAUGAUCAUAAAUGUUCUUCCUUGAGCUGCAUCACCCCACUGCAGUUGAUAGACUCACCAGAGGUCAAACAAGCGGCUGCUGGAAGAGAGUGGGAAAGUAGAGAGAAGCAAGCGGUCGGCAACAUUCAUCUCUCGACAGGGUGUCUAACUUGGUGUUACGAUGUGUUUGACUUUAACUUAAUUUUACGCUGAAAUAUCCCUUUAAUUGAGGUUCAACUUAUCUUUGCAUUUUGACGUAGAAUAAAGUCAAACGUGCAGAAUUCAUAGGUCAGAAAGAAGAUCCUGAUCUGCAUUAUCUAGGUAUGUAAGUUCAACUUCAAGAGAGUUAUUUCAGUUGAUUGGUUUCUAAAAAUCCAGAUUUAGUCUGCCUAAAGCAUCAAAUCAGUUUAACAGCAUUAUGCAAAUAUAUGGUGACCGUAUCGGCUGACUGUGUUUAAUACAGCUAAAUAGGUUGGACCCUAGCUUAAACGAGUGACUUCUCUCUAACAUAUGUAAGUUGUUGAACAAAAAGAAACAGGCUGGUUAAAUCAUAAAUCUCCUCCCAUAAAGACAGACUCCUGUUCAUUGUGACUGCUCAGUGAACUGCUUGCUCAUUUUUCAAGUCCUGGCUAUUAUUCCACCAUCUUCUCCGCUGUCCACCCGGUCAGAUUUGCGCCCCUACAAGUUGAAAAGGACCCUGCGUCCCCCCCCCACCCCCCGACUGAGAGGACAACAGAUGCAGCACACUGUUGGCUUGAAGUGCAGCCAUUAAUCACAGCAGUGCCAUUAAUGAAUGGGACCUACUCAGCCGAGCAAGACAAGGAGAAAAAGUAGGAACACCUCUUAUUUAAUUAAAAGAAAAAGCACAGAUUGACAAUGACUGAGGCACUCUGCUUAUCCUAAUGGGAGCAGAUUGUGCUAUUCAUUUGUGGCUCUACAGGACGUACACAGAGAAGCAGAGGGAAAUGUGACAUUGUUCAUGUUUCGAAUGGAGAACAGAUUGUGCAUUCUUGACAAAACUAUCUCUGCCUCACAUUAGCACAUUGUAGCUGUUUGUAUCCUCUGAGGGCAACAUGAAGUCAUUAAGUAAUUGCCUGCAGUAAAACAAGUCGUAAAUGUAGACCAUGCAGCACGUUAAAAGCCUACAAAUCUUGCAAAACUUUAAACUUUUCUUGCACUCCUGUGAAACUCAAUCUAUUGAUGUUUUGUCCGACAUGAACCUGAGAAGUGUGGAGCAUGUGUCACGGGUCAGGAGCCACCGGGGGGGAGGAUAAGGGGGCGUCGGUACAGUAUUAGUUUGCACAUGGACUCUAGAAAGAGCUCCUUGGUUAAGCAACAGAUGCCCGGUGUCAAAAGUCAUUGUGCGCCCUUCCCCCUCCUCCCCUCCAGGACAGAAGGGAGAUAGAGAGGGACAGACGGACACUGGGGCCCUUUAAGGGUCUAAACAAAAUCUCCCCUUUCUCUCUAAUCCUCGGACUUGCGCAGGCUUUGUCCUCUCUGAAAACCUGCCGUCUGUGUCACCGCCGAACUGACAGAGAGCGCACACAAGAUAAAAUGCUGGAUUCAGGUAGUCUGAAAAUGAGGAACACUGUGUUAGUGUAGCAUUGUGCUGAAAAGAAGAAACUGGAUUUAAAUGGAACAAUACUCAUUUGGUGGAAACAUACCAACCUCACAGUAAUAUGUUAAACAGACACGCUAACACAAUAGAUAUCAACAUGCGCACAGUCACAUUUGUUUUCAUUUGUGUCAGUUUGCAAACUAUAUUUUGUGGCUGCAAAAAAUGAAUUAUUUUCCUGUCAGUCAGCGUGAUGAAUUACACGCUCUGCAGUCUUUCUGCCUGAAAGCUUCAACAGACUGCAAGUUUGUCCAGUUUGAAACCAGAAACCAAUUUCGACAUAUUUUUGCUAAAGUCAUUAUUUAUUUCCUAAACUUCCCGGGUAGUUUGGGGCCUGAAUAAAAAAAGCAACGGUACCACUGUAGUUAUGUUUAGAAAACAGACUGUGGUUUCCCUCAAAAUAAAUGGACACCAAAUCCAGAAAAGUUGGAACUCUUUGCAAGAAAUGUUGAGAAAAACAGAAAGUGACGCGUACAAGUUAUGUUAACCCUUUAUUUAACUAAAAACAGUGCAAAAACAAUACGUCAAUGUUGAUAUACUCAUUUUAAAUCUGAUACAGGCAACAUGUUUUAAAAAAGUUGUUGUAGGGUCAUGUUUCCCAUCAUGUUCAAUCAGCUCUCUUUUUGACAACACACCAGGUGGGGUAGGCAGGAAUCCGUUAAAGAAGCAUCUUUUUUUGUGGUAAAUAUACAAAAAAGCUUUUAAUAUCAGUCAACAGCUGUUAGUCAUUGAUGGCAAUGUUAUGUCUGUGAAGUCAACAUUCUUAAAUUUUUUGAGCGGCCCGCUCUUUCUGACUGUAAUCAAAGCCAUUCCCCGCCUCCCCCAUCCUGAUUGGUUGUGAGGCAGAUGCUGCUCCCCCGUGUCGUUCAGGAGCCCAAGCCAAGUUAGUAUGCUACAAUAUCGGACAGUAGAAACCAACCAGAAAGUACAGAAAAUUGUCUGAAUCCUCCUUUAGCCACGACUGCCAACACAAGCAAGAAAAUGAAGUAAAUACCGGAGACUCUGGCGGAAUAAUGGGCACUUAGAAAGGAUGUAGACCACCUGAAAAAGAGAUAAAAAAAGCCGGGUCAACAAUGAUAGGGGAAGCUUUGUGAUCUUACAGACCCUGUAACCUUUCUGCUGGACAUGUAAACUGCUUUAACAAAGUAAGCCAAGUGUCUGUAACAGAAGUGUUUCUUGUCAAACGGGACCUGCUGUAGUGUGUUGUAGUGCUUUUUACUUUCACGUUGACUGGGCCCCAUUUGUAAUUAUCUGAAGUAUUUAUCUGCAUUAUAUCUGAAUUUAAUUGAAACGAUACGAGUGAGCAGGAGCGUCUGUUUGUGGGCGGGGCUUGCUGGAGCAAAGAGGGAGGGGAGAGGAGGAGCUGAGGAGAAAACUGGUUGGGAGGGGUAGAGUUUACAUUCAAGAUUUCUCCCCAAAACUGGCCCUUCCUCAGAUCUUGCGUACCCCACCUUUAACAGGUCAGGGUCUCCUUUAUCUUAUUUAUUUGUUGAUGAUGCUUCAAAUGUUUCCAAGGGUUGACAAGUUAGAACUACAGAUGGGCCAGUUUUGCAGUAGGACUCUUCUACUACGGAACCACGUUGUUGUAAUAGAAUGUGGUAGAAACAUGUUGCUGCCUUCAGUUUUGAAACAUCCUUUUUUUCCCUAAACUUUUUUGGAUUUAGGAUUGUGCAUUUUAUCAAAUCUUUAUUUUCACAGGUUGUCUCAUAUGUUCAAGAGAGACCUGUCUUUGAAUUUACACUGUUUAUAUAUGUGUCCGAUCCCAUUAUGAAGCACUGCAGGUGGUUCAGACAGUCUAAGCUUCUACAUUAACCACUCAGUAAGAGUUGAGCAAAGCAGGCAUAUGUUUAUUAAUUAAGCUCAUGAAGCUAAUUAAGCUCAACUCAUUAUAGCUAAAGUCUGCGUCAGGUAAUUCUAAGUUUGGUGAAGAAAUUUGAGACUUCCCAACAGUCCUUCUGGGACAUUACGGGUCAUGGAUUUUCAGGAAGCUGGUUGGAUAGAGAGGCUGAUUACAGAUAGUGGAAAAUCAACAGGAAACGUUGUGCUCUGAGAGUGUGAUGUCUCUAAAAAUAUCCUCUAAAACUUCCUCUCUUGUUAGACACAGUGUCAGCGUGUUGAACUCUCCAGUAUACUUUCAUUUCCAGCGUGAAUUCCAAACCAGCUUUCAUUUCCAGGCACAAAGACGAGUUAAAUUACAGCCUUGCUUUUCUCCCCGUCACCACAGAAUUCUCUGAUUUGCGUCAGCUGUAAUUUUGCAUAAACACGUUUCCUGUCGCCACAGUGACAUUCUGUUACAGCAGUUUGGUUUCUCUGCGUGCAAUCUGGAAAGUGAUUAAGCAGCUUCUGUUCCUGGAAGCUGAGGAGAUUGACUUUUUUUGAUGGGUGGAGGAUGUGCCGAGGGGGAAGUGGGGGUGUAUACAUCUUAACAGCUCAAACAGAAACUGAGGCUGACCCUCUCUGGACUUCUGACACCUUAAGUUUGCAUAAGUAGUUAUUUUUGCUCAACAAUGGUUCAUUUGAAACUGUAAUUUACAACAUGAGUGUGUUAUUGGUAAAACUGGCCCAGAAAAAGCAAAGAAAUACAAGAUUUUCAGGUGUGAGAGCAGGGGCGUGUCCAGAUAGGCAGUAAAGCUUCGACUCUGAUUAGCCACCCCAUACGCCAUCCCAAAUGAUUUUUAAGUCACACUCUAUUUUUUUCUUUUUUAAGUUUUAUCAGUAGUCUUUAAACUGUGAUUAUGAUGUUUUUAGCCAAAAUUGCGUAACUUGUUUCAGUUUCAAGGGCUUUUCUUCGGCAGAGCUCCAGUAGCUUAUUAGCAAUUCGCCUCUGAGUCGUGGGCAGAGACAGCGCUGCUCCUAACAUUGCCGGUGUAGUAGAAAAAACAGGUAACAUAGGAGCUAUUCAGCUCUCAGACACUAUUGUCUUUGGGGACAUGAUGAGCAUUUCAGUCCUCGAUCGUCCUCUCUAUUUCUCAGAGCCUGGCCUGCAUUUCUUGUCUCUGGGGGCGGAGCUUGGAUUGGUUACAUAUGAAAUGUCACUGUGUCUGAACCUGCCAUUUGGGUCUCCCAGAGAUUCACAGCGAUUUAAACGCAGAAAUACUCAGAAAUGCAAUUUCACACUUCUUUUUCUCAUGAUAUGUCCUCUAGUAUCAGAAUUAUGCCAUACAAACAUGUAGACAAACAGAAAAAAACGUGAUUUUCAUUGGAGUGGGUCUUUAAUAUGAUGGGCAAAAGUCUCUCUAGUGUCAGAUUGAACUACUGUAGCAGGGCUGUGUUGAAACUGGCUGCUUGGAGCUUUCUUGGCGAAGAUGAUGACUUUUAUAUCAUGCAAAUAGUGCAAGACUGACAGGUGACAGGAUGAAUAAGAACACCUGAGGCUGAAAAAGAAAAAUUAGUUUCAAAACAAGAGCAGGGAAAGAAAUCUGAGCACAGAUUGGUACAUUUCACUUUAUUGCAAGUCCAAGUCGAGUCUCAAGUCAGUUUAAAGUCAACUUCUCAAGUCAAGUCAAAAGUCUCUAUAGUGACAACUUGAAGUCAAGUCCCAAGUCUUUGAUCACGAGUGUGGGGUCUCAAGACUGUGGUCACAAGUCUUAAAUGUCAGAGGAGCAGGAACAAGUCUCAAAUCUCCGAGAGGCAAAUCCAAGUAAUAUGUCAAUUCUUACAGAGGCAAGUCCAAGUCAAGAGUUACAUCUUUGUCUCAAGUCUUUGACCCCAACUACAAGUCAUGAUAUAGUCUUUGCUGACUGUUCAUGUGUCAGUCUGACUUUCAUUUCUCAUUUUUAACCUUAAUAUAUGAUGACUGAAAGCAUUUCUCAAAAGUGUGACAUCCUUUUAUGAUUAUUUUUAUAAAGCAACAAGUGGUUAUCUUACAGUGACCGAUAAUAAACUUGAAAUGCUGGUUUAGAGGUGAACUCGGCCACCUUAAGUCUCUGGAUGUACUUGAAAUUCCUGCAUUCAUUAUCCUUCAGAGAGCCUCUGCAGCCACUUGGUCAAAACAGACCCUUAGAGAAAAAACAAACAGAAUUUUAAAAAGAGUUUGAAGUCAUGGAGUUCACUUUACCUUUUUGAGCACUGUCACCGCCCGACUGGCUUUAAAUAUAACUCAAUAACAUCAAAAGCGUUAUAGAAAUUUAAGUUUAUGUGUUAAAGUUAAAGAAAUGAAACAAUAGAGUAAUAGAGCAGUAAACAGCAGAAGGGCUGUGGAGGAGUCAGUGGGUUUACAUGAAUAACCACACUUUUUAAAAGGUUUAAAUUAUAAAUACAAAACCAACAGAGGCUUAUAAUUCCCCUCUGAACAAGACAACAACAGAAGCUUUGGUGCAGUCUCAAAGCUGCCCCUCAUUUUCUUCUUUUAGAGACCAAUUUGAGCAGCCAAAUCCUGCCAAACCCAUUUCUGGUCACCAGUGAAGAAAUCAGUCCAGGAAAUUCCUGUCUGCUCCUCUCAGACAUGAAACUAUGACAGUGAUUCAGAUUGAAUUGUUAUUGUCAUCGUCAAACGAACUCAGGCUUUUUAAGGAGAAAGAAAAUGUUCUCUUUCUGCAGAUAAGACUGUCUGAAAAUCUAAUUACAACCCAAAAGCUGUCGCAGUCUUCACACAGUCAUUCUUAGUUUUAGCAUUAAAUACAGACUAGGGCUGCUGCAGAGACAUAAAUAUUGUGCCGGUGUUAAGUUUCACGAAUUAAACCUCUGAACCCGCUCCUCUUAAUCAGGGCGGGUGGGGCUCUGACAGGAAGUGGCUGCAUUGUGUGAACUACAACAGAGCUUGGGUUAUCUCUCCGCAGGGUCAAGUAAACAUCCCUCCGGCCAGCUCCAGCUUACCCCGUCUGAGACCAGUGACCCACUGGGAAAUAAGAAGCUGAACAAAUACAGAGCUGAGGCAUCCCUCCCUGUGGAGGAGAGAUACUGCUGACAGGAACUCAUCUCAUUUUGUCUAAAUAUACCAUAUAUAUGAGACGUCUUUAAAAGGCAGACCAAGGGUUUGGGUCAUGGUGGGAGUGAUAGGCGUAAAGCUUCCUCCAUUACUUAACAAAAGUCAUGUUUUUAUAAUGAAUGUCUAUGACAGGAAUGAACCUACUCAACUCUAAAUAGCAUUUUUUGUCUCCUAAGUGUAGUUUAGUUGCAUGGCAUCAACUGGGGGUCAGGUGGCUUAGUAGCAAUUUCCACCACAUCUGGAACGGCUACAAAAAGGCCGUAUCCAUUGAUCGUAGCUGAUCGUAACCAUUCAAGUUAAUGUGUCAAUUUCCACCGGCUUCUUUCCGUUCUGCUGCGGAUCGCCAGAUUCCGCAGCUGAUCGCAAGAGUUCUAUUUUUCGCUGAUGACGCCAGAGCAUGCCAGAUAAAUUCAGCACAGAUUAACCCGCAAUUGCGCGUGAAUCCUUGGGUUCUUGUGAGUUCUCACGAUUCCUACGUUCUGGAUUCAGAGCCGUUCCGGAUGCAUUGGAAAUCCCGGGUUAGUUUCAAACCCACAUGAGGGAGUGGUGUCAGGCUAGAUAAUUGACAACAGACUGUGGAAAUGGCCUUUUUUGUACUUAACAAGUAUGGAGGGUGAGUGCAAGAUGUUAAAAGACAACAGGAAGAGGUUUAUUGAGGUUUAAGAACAGAACGAGAGGUAAGAGGUAUCACUUUGUCCACAGGGGGCGCCAAAAUCGAUACAAACCUGUAGCUUUAAAGAGACAGCAAAGAACAGAGGAAAUAAAUGCAAAACUAUUUACUCAAAUAUGUGCGUGAAGACAUUUAAAACAAACAGAAUAAAGUCUCAAGGUCACUCUUACAGCAAACUUUUAGUCGUUUGUGUGUCAGGACCCGGUUACAUAGACAGUAAGAUAUUACGUUAAGCAUAUAGAUACUGGAUUAUGAUAAAAGCAUAUGCACUCACUGCCUGUUCGAAACAAUACUGGAGCAGCUGCAGGGAGGAACAUUGUGGCCUCAGUGGAAUAGCAAAUUAAAUGAUAUCAGUGAGUGAUGAAUAUCCUGCAGCACAUCCAUCUCUUAUACUUAGUGGUAAAGAGCCGCGUUGUAUGAAGGAUUUAACGUCAUGAGUUACAAUGAAUGUCAUGGAGCAGAUUUACUCUUUAAGCAUGUCUCAGCUCUUACAGUAAAACUGGAGGACGAACCCUGGACUGCAUCCAACACGGAGGGAAUCUCUUUAUCUUAAUCAAAUUAUGGAUUACAUGAAGCAUAAUGCAACAUUUUAUUGAAUUAUCGUUACACUGUAUAUUACACAUCUUCCCUUAAUCUCAUGAUAGGCGCUGGCAAACCUCAGCAGAGUAAAAUAAAUCUAAUCUCAGUCCUGAUAAGAGAAGAACAAGUGCAAUAUGUACGGCCUUUUCAGUAAAACAUUUAAUAAACAGCAACUGUUUCCAAUCUGUAAUCAUCACUGAGAGGAGCUAGUUUGGCUCACAGGCUCGAUCUGUACAUUAAUAAAGCAUAAAGACGCCCAAAGAGACAUUCCACAUAUGGUCCUUAUUUAGAUGUAGGACACUUAGUCAAGAUUUAUGCAAGGGAACAAUGCUGCUGUAACAGCUAAAACACACCAAUUCUACAGGUAUGUUCUCACAUAUAUAUCACUCUCUAAAUGAGAGUAAUCGCUCAGUGUUAAAGGACACUCAUUACACUUAUCUUCACCUUUUAUUCUGUCAGUCUGGGACAGCUUUAGAGCAGCUUAUCAAGAUUACCAGCAGAAAAAAAAACAAAACACGUAUUUGUCUCACAAUGACAUCUGUGAAAACCCUAAAUUUGGCUCUAUUUGUCCUCUGCCUGAAACCCUUCAUUAUGGCUGCUUUUACAGAGAAACAGCCAUGAACAAUCUAAUGUAUUAGGCUCGUCAUUAGCACACACUUUACUCCACAUUUGCUACAUUAGCUGUUGUUUUAAUGUUACUUACAAACAACCUGAAAGUUAUACCUUUACUGAAACUGUCUUAGGCUAGUUGUUCACAUCCAUGCUAGCUCCCUGUUAUAUAUAAUUUAUUGAUCCAUUAUCAGCUGUGUUAAUGUUGCUUUAAGCUUAGGUCUCUGAGCCUUCAUGAAGGUCUUUGUAGAUGAACAGCUCCAGGUUUCAGUAACCGAUCAAACUUUGUUAGGAUUACCUCACCAUCAGACAGCAUCAUUUUGGGUUAAUUGAAACUUUGCUGUUACUUCAGUAGUUUGGUUAUACUGUUGGACCAUGCCAUUAGGGAUGCUGGCUGAGUGGUUCCUCUACUCUUUACCACCAAUUUCCACCGCAUCCGGAACCACUACGAAAAGGCCGUAUCCGCUGGACAUAGCUGAUCGUAACUUAUUGAAGUUAAUGUGUCAAUUUCUACCAGCUUCUUUGCGUUCCACUGCGUAUCGCUGGACUCCACAGCUGAUCGCAAGAGUUCUAUUUUUUCUAGACACUGGAGCAUGCCAGAUAAAUUCGGGCACAGCCACAAAAUAAAACAUCCAGCUUCCUUUCAAAAUAAAACACUACGUGUCUCAGGCAGAUUGUAUUUCACACCAUGCAAACGGGCGGGGAUGAACAAGUGAAAGCAUUUCAUCCCAAUGACACCAUUGAUGAGGAGAUGCUGAUUCCAGAAAGAUUCUAGAAGUGGAUUUCCUCCUCUGGAAUCUACUGCUUAUAUGGUUAUGUGGCUGUCUUUAUAGAGACAACUUGUUAUUGCGCGAUUGCAGGUGAAUCCGCGGGUUCUUGUGAGUUCUCGUGAUUCCGGCUGUUCGUAAUCCGCCAUGAAAUUUGCCUCACAAAUGGGUCUGGUAGGAAUUGGCUGAUGGCGAAAAUCCCUGCUGUUCCGGAUCAGAGCUGUUCCAGAUGCCAUGGAAAUUCAGGGUUAGAGCGUAGGAUGUGGCAUCCAUGACUUCCAAAAGAAAUACUAAACUUUUGGGUCCAAAGAGGUUUCUGGUGUUCUGAAAUCAUUCCUUUCUUAGUUUGAACUUAUACGUUUGUGGAUGCAGAUCUGAAUUGGAUGUGAUUUUGAGCCCAUUCAUGUCUCUCUGGUCAUGCUAUUGAUCUGUUGUAGAUUAACAUCAAUAAUUUGGAGAUAUUCCUCCAGCUGUUUUUAGCAUUACACAACUUCUUACCUGUUUGGUUGGUCCUCUAACAACAUUUUAGAAUCAUGUUGCUGGCGUCAAAUUUAGUCGGGAUUACAUUCAGAUUUAGUGGCACAUAAAACAGGCUGUCUUCUGCAUAAAAACAGAAUAUAUUGCUAGAUCGCCUUCCCAGGGUGGCAAACAUAAUGAAAAAGUAAAUCUAACAAAGCUAGUUCAGUUUGGUUACCUUGAAAAUGAGGUCGAUUAAGGUUUGUAUCCACUGGUACGUAUUAUAAUUAUUUAAUUAUGAGGAUGAUUUACAGGACUUUCAGGACUGUGUCAUCAUACUGUAUCUGAAGGAGGACGCAAAAGGGGGAGGGGGGUGAAUCAACAAGAGAUAUCAUCAGAGGGAGGCCAAAUGAAGAGUCUCUGAGAUGAAAAGAAGCAGCCUGAGAGGAUGUUUUGUUGUGAAGUUCAAAGUCUCAGUCAUGGGUUGUAGGUGGCUCCUGUUUCAGGCUGCGCACAGAGCAGCCCCCUCAUUAAGACGGAUGCUGACAAAAAAAAACAUCCCUUUAAUUAAUCUCUUCAUUUUUGUCCUUGCAUGAAACACCAAAAGUCUGCGCCACGCAAGACAGGGAUCCCCUUUCUUUGAUGUGUGUAGACCGGCUGCUCCGGCAUGCACCCUACCCAUCUGGUCUGAACUGACAAUGGCAGUCCUACAUCAAAUCUCAUUAGCGGUGACUAAUAUUCUUUUCAUCUUUCACAAAAGACUUCUAUUGUGUCGGCUCUAAAGUGCAUUCCUCAGCUCCCACUUGUCUUCUUCGUGCCUCAGAGGGGGGAGGGAGGUGAAGACAGUGUAGGAAGAAGAGAUUACUGCCAAAGUUGACUAAGUUCAACCUCACCUUUCCAUGCAUAAAAAGAUUACAUUAGUCCCAUUGUACGUCUGAUUGAUCCUGGAAAUGAGCAUGGGGCCCUGACAAGAAACUGCUCAACUCUGCAACACCAAUCCAUGAUGAACACUGCAAACCCCUCAGAUUAACUGGGAAAAUAUGGACCUGAGUAACAGAUUUACACUCUGAGGUUAAUUACUACCUUCAAAACCAAAGUACUGGACAUGCUUUACAACUUAGAAGUGGUUUUAUAAAUCUUUAAAGCUUGGAUCCAUGUAUGAGUGGUCCAUAACUGAGAAUUUGACUGUGGAUUCAUGGUCUGCGUCAGGCUGUUUGGAGAACCCCUGUCUGCAGACUCAGCUUCUCUGCAGGGGGUCUGCAUGUGCGUAGGAUGCUGUAGCAGCCAUGCCGUCAUGAAAAUAAAUAUGUGAUAAGCCUACUGUUCUUACAUGCUGUUAGUUAAAAUGACCUUUGUUUAGUUGUCCUGUAGUUUCUGUCAACAAACACGUCUUUAGGUGUUUAUUCUGUUGUGGUUCAGAGUAUUAUACCCUCGCUUUGAAUACAACUUUACGAUCCAUCGCUCUCUCUCGUAUGAUUCUGAACAAUUGGUAGCUGUGGGGAAGGAGACCAAUUAAGACGGUGCUUUUAAUCAUGAAAGCUGUAAAACUUUGCACUAAAACCCUCAGCAACCACUCUGUUAUAGCUGCUAUCAUGCUCAGGGGACGUGUCUCGGCGUAAAAACGUUAAUGAUCUUACCAGAGGUAAGUGUGUCGUUAUUAAUGUGAUGUUAUUAGAGGCUGUGUGUUAUUUAAGGAGUUGUUUCAGGCCUCUUAACGUGCUCUCGUGAACUGCUUGCUCCAUGUAUUGUUGUCAUGUCCAGCUGCCUCUCUGUUAUGUUGUAUGGUAUGUCCUGCCUCAGCCUCCACACUGUGACGACCAACUGCCGCAGAUUUUUAACAUAUCUGUGAUUCCGGUGGUUCUCUGCUCUGAGUGUUACUCUGAGGGAGCUUUGUUUGUCAUUCUAGAUGGUAUGUGUGUGCAUUCAGAUGGUUUCCCAUCUUGAAGUGUAAGGGCAUGCACUAACUAUUGAUUGCUGAAUUUAAGUGUCCCCGCUGUGACAGUCAAGUGGUUCUCUAUGCUGCUUGCUCAGACUUGGAAAUAUUGUCGCUUUCUUGUGCUUCACGCUGCUUUACACGCAAUUGUGAAACAUUGGCCCCGAGGAAUAUUUAUGCUGAUAUUUCUGUCCUCUUUCAACUCUCCCUCUCAAAGCUUUGACGCACUCUUUAACCUCCUGAGACCUGAGCUUUUGUUUGUCGAGCAUUUUUGAUUUCCCCUACCUACUUUGGAUCAGUUGAACAAGAUUUAAAACCUGAAUAUUGUCUUUGAACAGUGAGCAGUUUUUUACAAAAUGGGGCCAAUUGUGUUUUGUCACCAUGUUACACAAUGAUGACUCUGUUGUGUAACGGACUUAAUCUCAAUAUCUAAUCAUUGCCAUGCUAUUACAAAUUUAACUGUAAAUGGUUUCAUUUUAAUGCCCAAUGAUGACUGAGGCAUGGUUUAGCUGUAUUGGUUUUUUACCAGAUAAAGAGUCCCAAUGUCCUCACAUGUUUUGGUCAUAGAGGUCAUAGAGUUUAGCAGAAUUUACUAUUAAGGCACAUGGAGGCCAAAAUGUAAUGUUCGCAUAUAAGAAUCCAAGUUCUCUUUAACAAAAAUAAGGCAAAUAGAUUUUAAAUGCUGUUGAUAUUUUCACCACAGCUCGUAGUUGAAGUUACUUUGUAGAGAUCAGCAGUUUGGAGAUGCUCUCACCAGCUCUGCUGCCGCCGGUGCACAGAUUGCAGGACAGGAUGUUGCUCCAUUUUUCCUGUUAGAGAUGGUUUGGGUCCAGUAGCUUACAAAUUUGCCUGUUAAAUAUCAUUAUUCCCCCACUUAAAAAGAAAAAACAGCCUUAAAUGGACACAAAACUUAUUUAUUUAUGUAUUUAUUUUACCACAUUGUCAACCGGCAGAAGCCAGAUUCUUUUUAGAUGAUUGCACGACAUAUGUGAUCAGGUUGUUGCCGAUGUUGCUGUUGCUUUUGUUGGUGUAGUUAUGGAGUUCUGGCCAAUCAAAACAAACACAAUACUAUUUCAUACUUAUAUGUUCUUGCGCCACAUAAGCUCUUUACCCCUAAAACAACAGUUCAGCAGUUGUCAGAUGUGUAAGACCUGUUGUAAUCUCUACUGAAACAUUACAGGCAAAGUAAAUCUGAAUUAGGUUUAUUACUGGAAAGAUUCAAAUGAACAAGGAUUAUAUUUUGGCAUUAACAUAAACAGAAAUAAAAUAAAGUAUCCACAUGAGGGAAAAUGUGGUGAAUAAAUGAAUUAUAUUUUUUAUUAUCAAAGUGUCAUGAAGGAGUUUAAAAAUGCAAUGUGUGCCCGAAGACGCUUCAAAAGUUCAGGGUUUGAGGUACAGAGAGAAUGUGUAAUACGCAGAGAUAAUAAUCCAGAUGAACUGUGUUUCACCUUUAUAUAACGGAUGCUGUUAUUGGCAGCAGGUCUAGAGAAACUCUUCUUAUUGAGUCACAUCCUUAUGGGUCGCUAUCAGCUGCUAGAGGCUGGGGAGUGGGGUGGUCUGAGAGGGGUCAGCAGCAUCACCUGCACGCCUCAGGGUCUUGAAAGCUCAGAGGUCAUGGAGCAGUGGCAGAUUGCAGCUAAUCAUUCUCAGCACCAUCGCAGAGCAAAUUACAUGCUGCAGUCUGUCCUCUGUGAUAACUGGAAUGAGAUUACACUGAAAUUACCCAUCAUUCUCUCUGUCUCAUUAAAGGCAUGAGGAGAUAGCUUGGACCAUGGCAGUUUCAAAACUAUCUCUCCCUGCAUGUGUGACGUGUACACUUAACUGUACUUACAGGGCUCUAUUUUGACAAUCUAAAAUCACAGUCUAAAGUGUGUGAUGGAGAGUGAUUGAGUUUGUGUCUGAGACUGCAUUUUGCCACAAUCUGGGCACUAAAUGAGGAACAAUCCUCUGAAUUGAAAUACAUGAAAUAAACCAAUAUGUGCCUGGUCCUAUUCCCUUAAAGAGAUAUUCCAGCGUUAUAUUAAUUUUGGGUCAAAUACACCGCAACACUGAGUUAGACACCCCCUUGAUGAAUGUUGCCGACUGCUUGCUUCUCUAGUUAUACCAACUUUGGUAACGACCGCACGAUAGCAAUACACAGCGGUCUGAGGAGCCAUAUACAAACCUCAACCAAAACGCCACAAAUAAUGCUCAGAACAGCACCUAACUUCAUCAACAGUACAUAUAGGGUCCCAGCAAGAGCACUAGACACCAAACAUCUUUUUAGCUUUGCCUGAUUUCUUUAGCAAAGAGACCAAACACAACUCACCUACUCUCUUCCAGCAGCCGCUAGUUUGCAGCGAGACCUCAGGCCAGUCUAUUACGGACUACAAUGGGGUGACGCAGCUCAAGGAAGAACAUUUAUGAUCAUUUCUUCAUAGGAAUGCUAUCAGACCGAGACGCUAAGGCAGAAGAACUACCACGUCUGAUGUCUUACUACAAACAAGUGGCUGCUGGAAGAGAGUGGGUGAGUUGUGUUUAGUCUCUUUACUAAAGAAAUUAAGCAAAGUUAAGAAGAUGUUUGGUGGCUGGGAUGCUAUAUGUACUGUUGAUGAAGUUAGGUGCUGUUCUGAUCAUUAUUUGUGACUAUAGAGUGGCGCUUUGGUUGAGGUUUGUUUAUGGCUCCUCAGGCAGCUGUGUAUUGCUAUCGUGCGUUUGUUACUUAAUUUGGUAUGACUAGAGAAGCAAGUGGUCAGCAACAUUAAUCUCUCGAGGGAGUGUCUAACUCUGUGUGUUUGACCCUAAAUUAAUUUUACGCCGGAAUAUCCCUUUAAGGCGUCAGGUGCAUCUACAGGCAAGCAUGUUGCUAUGGUGAUCAAUUUAUCACCAUUUAUCAUCAAAACUAUUAUCUAUCAAUUAUAAAUAAGUCAAUAUACCUGCAGGGCUACUGCAGGUAUAUUCUUGAUAUGUAAGACCAAACACAAGCAUAAACAAGUAGGAUAAAGGCAACAGUGAAUGCACUAUUUAAGACUUAUAUCACAUGAUCAAUGCGGAAAAUAAAAGUUUCUUUGUUAUUUAAGUGCAUGUAAACACUCUAAGUAGAAGUAAAAACCACUAAACCAUCCAUACAGUGUGUGAGAGUAAGCAGCCGCCUGUAAACACAUUCCCAGGCUGAGGUAAACCUUCUCUGUUUCCUUUUCCCUCCCAUAAUGGGACGUGAAGCCUCCAGCUGAAAUGUGCUGACCUGUAAAAUCCCAGCUGUGGGCCCUGCGGUGCCCAACACAAACUGGGUCUUUCCCGCUGAAACUGAACGCCCAGGGUAACACGCCAUGUUUUGCUGCAGGAAACCAAAGAAUGUUUGACUGCUGGGCCUGGCGUCUGAUGGCAGUCUGCAUCCGUUUGAAGUACGGCCCUUCCAAGGCUGUGUCCAAAGUAAAUAAAAGCAGAGCGCUCCCUCGACCUCCAUCAAACACAUCACUCAGAAACAGCUGUUACCAUUUAGCUGGAAAAACCGCCAGCAUUCCUCCCUCAGAAUGUAUAUGGGACAUGUGAGAUAGCAAUCAACACACACAUUCCUUCAGUGUGGUCACACUUGCAAUCUCUCCUCUUCCGAGUGUAAACAGACAGGGCGGCUUCACUGCUCAGGUUGGAGUUGUGACCUCAGAAUAUUGUUUUGUUGUUUCAAACAUUUCUACACUGUGAUUAUAUCGUCUGGUUUGUUUUGCUCUCAUCCAGGAAUCUGAGAAAUCCUCUGAAUGGUUGCUUACACUUUUAGCUCAGAGAUAGUGUUUGUUUAUGCUAUUUACAGAUCACCGUGUGAGCGUGUGCUGCUGAGGACACCAUACUGGUAGAUAUAAGGAUGUUAUUACAGUACCUUAUCUGUUGGAAUUAGCCAAAGGAAGUCGAUCAUGAGCAGUCUCGUUAACCAAUAUUUGCAUCACAUUGUUGUCAAAUUGUGACCAAUGACCAUCAGUACGUGGAAGGGUUGUAGUUUAGGUGUCAGUCCUGCUGAAAUUGGACAUUUAAAAUCCAUGGUUGGACAAACACAUUCAGACAGUGUGGUUGGGGUUGAUUUUCUCUUGCAAGCUUACACCUUCAUCGGACUCAAACUGGCAUAAGUGGUCUGAGCAGUUCACAUGUUGAGUUUUACCUGGAAGUUAAACUGUAUAAAGCCAUUGUAGGAAGUCGUAGGGAGUCAAAUUUGAACCUGAAGUGGAAAAGAAAAAACAACCUUAAAUUUAGCUAUUUCCCUUGUUAGAGACAAGACUUGUCUUAAAAUUAAACACAUCAAUGUUCUUCCUUGAGCUGUGUCACCCUGUCGCAGUUGGUAUGGGACUGGCCCGAGGUCUCUAUACAAACAAGCGGCUGCUGGAGGAGAGUGGGUGAGUUGUGUUAAGUCUCUUUGCUAAAGAAAUUAGGCAAAGCUAAAAAGAUGUUUGGUGUCUAGUACUAUGGCUGGGACCCUAUAUGUACUGUUGAUAACCAGUUAGGUAUCUGUUCUGAGCAUUAUUUGUGGCUAUAGAGUGGUGUUUUGGUUGAGCGCAUGGCUCUCUGAUUGCUAUCCUGCAGUCAUUUCUAAAGUUGGUAUGACUAGAGAAGGGAGUGUUUGGCAACAUUCAUCUUUCGAUGGGGUGUCUAACUCGGUGUUAUGGUGUGUUUGACCCUAACUUAUUUUACACCGGAAUAUCCCUUUAACUAAUGUUAAUGUUAAUGUAAUUACUAUUUAUCACAUGCUUCAUGCCACCCCAGAAGUGUCAGUGCUGAGGUUAGGCCACUUCAGUCAUAAAGGUCUUGACACACCCCUGCUCAUUAUUGUACACCUUACCCUGAGUGCUAACAGGUGGAUACAUGCUGAACAGAGGGCUCUCCUGAUGGAUUGGAGGGACCAAGGUCAAAGACAAGGACUCUACUAACAGGUUAAAGUCAGACAACUUGACAAUGAGGUAGGUCCUUGGAGAACGCUGCUGUCUCUCUAAUGAAGUCAGUGUGGACCGCCCAUCAGAGACCCUCAGCUUGCCCCAACAUCAGUGUAAGAAUAAGAAUAACUGUGUCCUACAGCAAAAUAUGAAAAGGACAGUAAUUGAAGACAUAACAGCAUGCUUUCCAUGUGGGUUAUACCAUUAUUAAUAGUUAGCAGAUGAACAUAAAUUUGUCUUGGUAUCGUAAAGCUUUCGUAGACCUCAAACAGGCUCUUUUGAAAUAGCCUAUCUAACUCCCUGUGCCCCUCCAGGGUGUGUCUAUGCAUCAAAGAUACAAAAAAGGACAUUCUCUGUGUAAUUUUAUUUUAUCAAAGCUAUUUUUUAAAACAUAAUGUCUCAAUAUAAUGGGACUCAUAAGUAUAAAACGAAAUGAGCCUAUUAAAUAGUUCCAAAAUGUCCCAGUCAUUCUGCAGCAAAAAGCCAUUCCAACCCCAAAAGAGACAUUGGCAUCUUGACAUCUGAUUGGUUGGAAUCGCCUUCUGUGGCUGGUUCCUGGUCAUUCUUUGGUUCAGAAAGUAAAGGGAGGCUCAAAAGGCCGUAUAUCUGACAGACCAGGGGGAGAUACUUGCUGUUUUAACUGAAGGUUAAUGUGGAAUUGUAAACCCCACGUUUAACUGAGUUAUAUAAACCUAUGUCUGCAAGAGGAGCUUAUGGUGGGUGCGCCAUGGUCUGUCCAUGAUCAUGACCUGACAAGAAUAAGGGACCAAGAGGUCAUGAUUCAGGUCAAGGGUGAGUGGAAAUGCCAUGUUGUUACCCAAGUUUUCACAAUGAAACUAAAUUCAAAAUAUCAAUCUUACUGGAAAUUCAACCGUAAAUCAUCUGUGAUUGAUAUACUGUUUCUAAAGCUCUGCCUUUAAACCUCCUAGAUCCUGCAGAUCCAGUCUAGAGAAUGACUCACACUUCCUCUCCUGCUUCACGCUCCAUGGCCAUUCAAAUGUCAGACUGAUCCCAGCCAAGCAUAUUGGUCUUUCAGCAUCCAUUGUGUGUGCAUUUGCUGAACAUCAGGGGUAGAGAAAGUCUGAAGAAAAAUCCCUUCACUCAGGAGGUACGACAGAGCUGAAUCCUCACUAAUGCAACUUUAAUGAGGAGCGCCUCAGGAGAGGGAGGGUGUGUGUCCGUCUCAGCUGAUGGCUGGAUCCACACGUUGCUUUUACUUUUGCUGCGCUUUAGCUGCUCGUAGGUAGAAUAAAAGAAAAGCUCAAGACGCUACAACUCUGGAGUAAGAGAGGCAAAAACUUUGAGACCCGUCGAGAUAAGUUAUACCAAAGCCUCUGGUGAUGGCUGUAAUAUUUCAGGUUAGUCAAAUAAAAGUGUUAAGAGUUCCAUUAAAUACUCUGAUUUAACUUAUGGACAUUUACUUUGAAAAAUGAUGUAAUAAUUUUAGUAUUUCUGAGCUGGUGGUAUGCAGAUUUACAAUCUUCCACAGCUGCUAAAGCAUCAAAAGCCUAAAUGAACAUUAAGUUUAAUUGCAUCACGACUUGCCCGUCUUGUCCUCCGAUGCAGUCGGCCCAGUCUUUUUAUUUGAUAGUGGAACUUAAAUGACAAACCAAAGAAAAUUUAAGUCACGAAUUAGUUAUAGAGGUGAUUAAAUCAAAAUUUAACGAUGACUUUAACUUCGACGAUCCUUCUGUUUGCUUUUUCAUUUGAAAACUUAGAUUUGAUUUCCUCGGGGCAAUUGGGAGGUAAGUGACCAGGAGGGAGGAGCUAAGUUUGUCGGACAUAUAUCUUCAUAGCAAUGGCACUAAUUAUUAAAUUUAUAAAAGAUAUAACCUCAACGAACUAGAUUUACAAUUAACUGAAAAGGCCCCAGGAUGGAACCCUGAGGAAUACCGACAGUGAGUGGAAAAGUUUCGAGUUGACUAAAGGAGAUGGGAUUUAAAUCAAUUCAAGGUUUUGUUAGUCGUAAUGUGAGAGGUUAGACUGCCAGAGGAUGUGAUGAGAGAUGGUGAAAUAAAAAGACUUGAGGUAUCAUCCUGAUUCAAAGAGGACUCCAAGGUUGAGGCCAUAAAAAAGAAAGUUCGCUGGGCUCAUAAAUCAGAUGAAAAGUUUGGCCUUUAUCUGAUCUACUUGGAUGCAUACUGACUUUAUCUUGAAUCACCCCCUACUGGCCAUCAAAGGAAAUUCAAGCUGAAGAUAUAUUCAGCAUCAUUUUAGAGCUAAAGCUUGUGUCUAUUUCUUACUCUCAAAAAGUAGUCUGCACUGUCACCAUGGUCAAAUCUCACCUCAUAUAACUUCAACUCCCAAACACUCAAAUGUACGUUUUACAUUGUAUACUUCACAAUACAACUCUGGUGUGUGUUUAUGCAGUUUUCAACAAUCGUCUAACUGUAUGACAUCGAAAUGCAAAUCUUUACAUGUGAAUAUCAAACAUUUUAGGGCUGUAUUUGCAAACACUGAGCUGAUCCUGAGCCCAUUGUGGAUCCUGGCUCCUUGAUGGAUUAUUUUUUGGGGUACCGAGGGAAACACAAAUAUAUUUGUCUUCCAGAGCGGCCUGGGAUUGUUGUUCUGGCUUUGCAGAACAAUAAUCUGUGUGGGAGAGAGUUUAUUUGGAGACUUACAGUGCUUAUAAAACAUCAUGAGACUGUGUUUUCCAAAUUACAAUAUAUCAGCUUUCUUCUAGGAAACUGCUCUUCUCAAACCACAAGGCUGCUGCUUGUUGGGCAGCUUCUUAAAAAGCAUAAUAAGGGUAUUUUAGUGGCUUCAAGCAGAGGAAAUAAUAUUAUAUAUUUUAGGUUCUAAAUGGCAGUAAGAAUGAAACAUAAUCUUAAAGGGCAUUUGAGCACAAUGUAAACUUUGGUCGAUAGUCACCAGAUUACACCGUCAAAAGUAGUCAUUUUACCUUACAGGAUAAAUAACCACUCUUGUGCAGCCUUGAACACAGAGGGUUUGCUCAUGCCAAACAAUACAAUAUUAUAGAAUUUCACAAACAAACCAGCAGUCAAGGCAGCUGUGAAUGAGGAUUUUCAAUGUUACAUAAGGUAAAACUCUCCCGAGCUUGGUGCGUUUGAGGACACUGGAGCAACACUCACUUAAGUUUUUAAGACUCUUGUGGACCAAUGUGUAGCUGAUUUCUUUUAAUAUAUAAAUGAGAUAUUUGACACAAGAAGGUGAGCUUUAAACUCUGGAUUAAAACUAUGAGCAGCAUCUAAAUGUUUGGUUGUUGUUUUGGAGUACCCAGACAGGCUUAGAACUGUGAGAGUCCAGAUGAGUUCUCCUUUUUGUCAAAAUAAACUCAUAUCUACAUGAGACCCAUUUCCAUGCUUAAGUUCAACCCGAUCCACAAUUGAUAUUGUGGAAAAAUGUAUGUUACUGACUGCCUUAGAGCCAAAAAUACCUUUGAUUAAAAAUUGGACUUGGCCAAAGUCAAGAGGGUCUCUUUAAAAUGACACCAAACACAGAAUAGUAAAACACUGAAAAACAUCCUGAUCAUGGGCCUAAACCAGAGUACACACCAGCGUCUGAAUAGCAGUUUUCAUCAGGGCGCAGUUCAUUUCAUGAGCUGAGUGCUGUGACACAGCUGCUACUCAGUGAAGUCUAUCAUGCCAAAAUACUAACUACAGACACAGACAUACUAAAAUUUAUAACAAUUUGUUUUUCUCACUGAUAAUGGCUGUUUACAAAUCAGCUAGCUGUGGAUUGGUUGACAGACCAAAGCAAAGAUGGCACAAACAUGAAUCCAUAAAUAAUAACAGAUUACAUUUGUCUUUGGGGUAUUGGGUCUGAAGAGUGUCUGUUGAUAAACUGAUCUCCUCUGUGGGAUAGAAAAGCUCCUGGAUGUUGCAGAACUACACUUAAAGCUGUUGGCCUCACAUAAUGAGUGGAUUUUAUUAGGGUAACCAUACGUCCUCUUUUACCCAGACAUGUCCCCUUUUUUGAGGGGGUGUCCAACCUUGUCCGGCCUUGUCUGAGGGAGUUUAUAAAACCCUUCAAAUGUCCAGGAUUUUGUAUGGAUGUGUUGAGUUUGUGUGAACUUACUGAGUUAGCAGCGCGUAAAAAACACUCAACCCGAUCCAAAACCUCAAAAUUUACCAUGCGUCACUCCAUGUGCCCCGCAUAGUCAUGUCCUCUUUUUGGGGAUUCAGAAUAUGGUCACCCUACUUUUAUAAGUAAUUUAGCACAUUUUGCUGUCUUAUGUCUGUAGUCGGUCAUGUAAAUACAACAGCCUCUUACAUACAGUAUAAUCAUGUAGACUCGAUUUGAAGGACAGGAAACUUUCCAAAAGUUUCCCCCUCUUCAUGCUUUAUAGAACAGAGUUUAUAAAAACUUAACUGCAGGACUACUUUUACUGGAUAAAACACCUUGAUAUAACCUGUGCUAUGAUGCCAGCAUAAGUAAGCAACAGCAUGAGCAGCCCUCAGUAUUAAACACUGUUUACGACCUAAAAUUGGCAAAGAGUAUGUUAGUACUUGCUUUUGCAAUCUUUCAAGGCCGUUCAAAGUAAUGGCUUUCUGGCAUUGUUUAUACGUUAGAUACAUGUGUCUCAAGAAAUCCAGCCAAAUCUGUCUAAAAUCUUAAGAAACAGGUAGAAUAACAGCCUGAGUAUUGUCAAAGGUGCUCUCUACAUUGCAUCUAUCAUCACCUUUUUUUUAGCUGAACCGAAGCAAAGAAAGUCAGAAAAGAAAUACACUAAAAGUUUAUUUGAGGUUUAAAACCAUCAGCGUCCUCUUUUAAACCGACAUUCACAGCACCAAAUAUUGACAUUUGAAUAUCAUCAUCUCUAAACCGUCUUGUGAAUAGUCUGACACAGUCUGGGUGGGGCUGCUAACAGCUCUUACUCUCACUGAAUACCAGGAGGAUGGACGGAGACGACUGAGAACAGCUGAACAAACAGCCUUUCAUGUUGUAACCGAACCCCCCAAAUGCUUCAUUCACAGCCGCUGAUAAAAGAGUGUGAUGAAUGCAGGCUGCAGAAAACUCAUUAAAAACUACAAUGUCUGACACUCAGAGGCUGAUUGGGCUCAUUUGAUCAAUAUGCAUGCUGGACACAGUCGAGUGCUUCCUGGCUGCAGUCUGCAGUGCAUGGCCUGAAACGACCACAUGGCCUGUCUUUGACCCAGAGCACAUUCCCUCCCAUGGUCCGCUGGUCAGAGAGCUGGCAUUUUACCGGGCAGGCACAAAUACAGACUGACACGCCUGCAAAAUGUUACCCUGACUCAUUAUUGCGAACAGCGAGGGAUGUACUGACCUGGUGACAACCUGCAGGCUGGAGCAGAGCAGUAAAUUCCUUCACAGUACGAGAGGCCAAACACUUUGUCUGCAGCUAUCCUCACACCGAAACUGAUACCCUAAGGGGGUUAGAUUCAGCGGGAGGACACCAAUUUGACUGUUUAUACCAACACUAUUAUAAAAAUGGGAGCUGUCCACAUCUAUGAAUCACAGUGUUUAAAUAGGUGAGGGUCGGCGGAGUGAUCGCCACAUGCUGAAGAACCUUUUCUCAAGAUUGUGAAACUCAAACUGAGCCUGACAGCAGAGCUUUAGGUGUGUCUGUAUUGCUGGGUGUGAACGCAGAGCCGACCCAAGCCUAGAUGGGGCUCCAAGCAAAAUUUGAUUUUGGGGUCCUCUAUUUCUGCCAAUAAUAUUGAUUGUUGAUCAUUCACACACCUUCACAAAUCUCUUUGAUUAUCAUUCAAUUACACGCAAACAUACCUUUAUCUUGGCGUUUUUUCUCUUCUUCCUCUUUCUUUUCUCUGCUCCUGAGGGAUAUGUCCUUUUUUGCGACAUUGUUUUGCCCCACAACUACCUGCGCUCUGGAUGCUGAGUGCACAUUGCACCGCAGGAGGCACAUAACGGUAGCGGAGCUUUGACAUAUCGGUAGUAGGCAUACAUCACAAAAAUGAUUUACUUUAUUAUAAUUUUUUUCAAUAAUAUAUAUUUGAUCAUACAGAAAUCAUCACUCAUACAUGCAAAAAAUAAGAAAUAUUAUUUUUUGAUUGCUCUUGGGGGCCCCCUAUUGGGCUCGGGGUUAAUUUUAUGUAGUUUUUUCUAGUUAAUUUUUAAAUGUGUGAACUGAACUUUGUUCUUUAUUGGCGUAUGACUGUGUUGGUGUUGAACGCUCUCAUUCUGGCGUCUGUGAGCAUAAACAUGCUCAUGUAACAUAUUUUUAGACAUAAAUUGCUGGUACCAAACACAAAAAAUGCAGAUAUUUUAAGUCAAUCUCCAGGUGUAACACCCUUUAUGAUUAAUUUGGACAUCUUGAAUCAUGAAAGCUGAUCAUCUCUACAUCCUAAAUUUCACACAGAAGAAGCUGUUGGGGUUUUCAUUCUGAAACAUGUGACUGAUGGUCUCAUAUUACGUCUGUGCUUGGUCAAACACUUUCAGGUAAUUUAGUAAAUGAUCUGAAUACACCGUACCCCCCCUCUUGAAAAUCCUGGAAAAACAAACGUAUGCACCAAGGCUUGAAAAUGAUUUUAUGGUUUCUUUGAGGGGAAGACUGAGUGAUCUCGGCAGCCCCGGUCAGGAUUCGCAGACAGUCGGUGGUUGGAUAGUUUUAUGGUGUGUUUGAGGCUAUCCCAGGGUAAUGUAACCUGGGGCCUCAUGCAGGAGUCCAGGGAUCUGAACACAGCUGAUACGAAUCAACGAGGCAUCAGACAGGACCGCUGAGAUCGGAUCACACUUCUUAGAAUCUGACCGAGGGAUAAUUCUAGGAGCCGGGCAUCAGCGACAUGCUCUGUUUGUCUCCGACCUGCUUGGUCUUGCACGGCUGCUUCAGGAAUGUGGAGUUUCCUCAUGUUGCUGGUUAAAAUGACAGUGAUUUCAGCCUCAUGGUGAUUACAGCUCUGCUCGGCCGUGAGCCGGCUCACAGACUGACAGAUGCAGCGACCUGAGGGUCUGACUGUCAGUCAGGGACUUGGCCUUGGCUCCAGGGAUCACAAUGUCAAGUCCAGAUGUCCAGACUUGAAUAUCUUAACUACUGGAUGCUGCGGUUUCCAUGCUGAUUUGGCUCAGAUGUCCAGGAGGAUGAGUGCAGUGGUGACCGUGUUUGUCUCCAUCUGAUUCCAAGUUUCCACUUUUGCACUGAUAUAUCUCCACAUUUACUCUCAUUAAUUAAUUGCAUUUUAAAUGUGGCUGUAGAGCACUUCAGUCAACACUUGUUUUCAAAUGUGCUCUGUGAAUUAUUCAUCUUGACUUGGUUUUCAUUAAUUUAACAGUAUUUCUGUUUAAAAAUAGAAUCUCAGCAGCAGAGUGCCAGGCUGACAUAACUGUUGUGGUACUGAAAGAAUCAGUAAUGUGGAAAAGCACUUCAUGCUGCCUUUACCAUUUAGGAAGAGUGCACUUGUGAUGAAGAACAGCGUCAGUCUGAUAUAAGCCAAAAUCUGAUCUCUUCCUUUCUGACUCUACUUUGUUCAGUUUAUGUUGCAGGACUGAACUUUUGGUUUUAACUUUACCGCAUAUAUUAAUUAAAACAGGAAACUUAGGAUGGGGACAUUAUUUUAAUGCUCUGAUCAACUCUGAGUUUAGACUGAAAAGAUGUUAAGGCAGCUGUUAUGAUGUGAUCUCACUGGAUGUGGAUAAAAUCAUUUGUAAAGAUGACAUAAAUGUGUGGUACACACUGUGAGAAAUGAGGAUGUUAGAUGGCAAAUGACACAAAUUCACAACACAUUCAACACCCUACUGCCUUUAUUAUUUACACUUUAAAGGGAUAAUUUAGGGUCAAACCCAUUAUAACACCGAGUUAGACACCCCGUCAAAAGAUGAAUGUUGCUGACUGCUUGCUUCUCUAGUUAUUCCAAAUUUAGUAACGACCGCACGAUAGCAAUACACAGCGGUCUGAGAAGCCAAGUGCACACCUCAACCAAAACUCCACUCUAUAGCCACAAAUGAUGCUCAGAACAGCAACUUACUUCAUCAACAGUACAUAUAGGGUCCCAGCCAUAGUACUAGCCACAAAGUAUCUUUUUAACUUUGCCUAAUUUCUUAAGCAAAGAGACUAAACACAACUCACCUACUCUCUUCAAGCAGCCACUUGUUUGUAGUGAGGCCUCAGGCCAGUCCAUUACCGACUGCGGCGGGGUGACGCAGCUCAAGGAAGAACAUUUAUGGUAAUUUCUUCAUGGAAAUGCAAUCAGAACAAGACGCUAAGGCAGAAAAAGUACCGUGUCUGCAGUGCGAAAUGAUUAAUAUGGUGAUUAUUACUUAAAGAAAAUGAUACAGUAAUGAUCACUGAAGUAGGUAGGAAUAUCCCUUUAACUCAUGUUAGCCAAUCAGCAUGGAGAUCCUCUGGUAAUGGAGCUACUCUGAACUAUUAGAUAUGACUUCUUUUUGUGGAAACAGGGAUAAAAAAGAGCUCAUUGUGAGAAAAGUAAGUGAGGAGGUUAAUUUUUCUGGUAAAUUGUGAGAACAAAACAAAUCCUCACAAUGUCCCCAACCUUAACUAUGUUUGAUGUAAACAGCCUGAAAUGGAGUAAAGGAAACUCAACCUUUCUUGUGUAAAUUCAUGUAAGUGGGCACUUGCAUUGUGUGAAUUGACGCACAUAUGAAGUGAGUAAUUUACACAAAAUUAAAGGCACUGUAACAAGUUUUUAACAGGAUGGGAAACAGACCUGGGGUAGGUAUCAGACUAGACGACUGACAGCAAAAAUAAUAAAUGAAAAAUGGCCUUUUAAAAAACAAAAUAGGACAACAAGAUGAGAUGUUAUAUUCAUGGAGGGAAAACACUACUUUCACAGGUACAGGCCCAAAGAUAAGCGGUUUCAAUUUGUCCACAAGAGGUGCCACUAUCAACACAAAACCAAAACGUUUCUCACAACAGCUUUAAGCAUGUUCACUCUAAAUAUUCAGCCUCCUUUUAGGACAAAUUUACAUUACACUGAAGGCAGAAGCAAACAUAAACAUGAAAAGUCUUAAACGUGUCACCAUAAUGCUAAAAAGUUCUGUACAUUUUUGUCCUGAAAUAUGCGCUCACUCAGCCAGCCUCAGGGAACGGAUUGUGUACACAACACAAAUAACACACUCACCUACACUCAUUUUAAAGCCCUCUCCUCUGAGAUGCUGAGGUGUAUCAUUACAUCCUUCCGGGUAGAUUCUCUGUCGUACAGGUCAUCUCUCUGGCGCCUUCCUCCUCCUCCUCCUCCUCCUCCUCCUCCUCCGAGUAUAAUGAUCUACACAUGUUUAGGAUUUCUCCUUCAGACCUCACAUUCCACAACCUUCAAAACUAUGACGUCUUUACGGAGCAGAGGACGGCAUUCCUGACCUGAACAUGUGCUCGGCUUUCUGCCUAAACACCCUCAGGCCUCCGACAGUCACACACCGCUCAUCUGAGUCUCUAUCCGAAAGUGUUGAAAUGCUCUGUGGGAUUCAGGUAGUGCUAUUCUAUCUUCAAUCUAAGCAGAAAAGAAGCACAAUUUCAUCAUCCUGAAAUCAAUUGUGUGACGGACUCAAUUGUGGCAUGGUGUUGAUAAAAUCUGUUAUUAUUGCAGCAUCUGUCCGUCUUUGACAGUAACUAUCAUAACAUGACUCCAAAGGUCAACCCUUGAUUGUUUCAGGACCACAAGAAACAUUUCACUAAAAACCAAAAACAUAAAAAUACCCAAUAAAACUCCAAAAACAUUUCAUAAAAUGCCAACAUAAAAUAAAGAAACCCCAAAUUUUCACAGAACCCAACAUUUUUUUCAAGAAGGUCAAAGAUUUCAUGCAAGAAUUUUUAAAUCACCCAUAAACGUUUUACUAAAAGCAAUAUUUAAAUACAAAAAAUCUUAAAAAGUGCAAAAAAAAUGAAUAAAUAAAAAUCUUAAAAAGGGCAAAAAAAAAUCUUGAAAAAAACCCCAAAAGGCGAAAAUGUCUCACAACCACCUCUAAGCCUCUAAAAAAGUACAAAAUUAAUUUGAAUUAAAUUCAGAGAAACGUUUCCUAAAUGCAAAAAAAGAAAAAAAAUACAUUCAUUAGCCGUAAAAAUAUUUUGUGCAUUUGACCUUCAGGGCCACCGUACCAUCAAGUCUGUCAGUGCUUUUAAACACAGGAUGCGAUCGUUUGACAUCCUUCAUGCAUCCCUGACAUUGUGAGUUCCUUGCAACGCACAGAUAUAAGUAAAGAAACAACACAAGUGUCACUGUCAGUUUGAUUUCUCUGUUGCAAAUAACUGGAGGAGUAAAAUCCAACGCAUUUGUCAGCACUGAAUUUUAAAUCUUGGAACUAAAAGGGCGGGAUGAAGAAUUGAUGUAGAGACCUGGACUUUUGUGAUGCUACUGCUGAGACAGUAAAAGGGAAAAAUAGAUUUUGGGAUUAAUAAAGAGAAAGGACACUGAGCGGAUUUUCCUGCUAAUUUGACACAUUGGAUCACCACUUCGUGACUUCCUGCAGUGAUGCUAAUGAAAUAAAUGAGGGUAAAGUCAACAGAAGCUGCUCAGCUAAUGAAGACGUUGACUGUUUUAAUUGAAGCUGCAUGAGGUGCGGGUCAAUAGUGACUGUCUUACCCAGAGUCAUUCUGCUUGAUUGCAUAUGUUCACCAGUAUAAGUGGUUUAGCAAAAUUUUCAAAAGUGAAAAUCUAGAUACUCUCUGUGACUUCCUCUGCUGCUUCCUGAGGCUAACAUCCUCACUUGUUUACUUCUUUUAGAGACCCACUUAACAUCUACACGGCUGCAGCGAUAUCUUUGCCUGGACUUGACUUUGGAUCAACUGGUAGGUUCCCACCUGAGGAUUUCAGGCUGCCGGCUGGCUCACAGGGAGUCAACAACUCCAAUAUGCAGCUCAAAGCUAGACCUGUGAGAGCUUCAGCACUCAAUCAUUGACAUUUCCUGAACUUAAUUAAUUAGAGAAGUGUAAACAGAUACUUGGUCUAAAAUAAGCAGGAAAUACCCAUCUGGAUAUGGUGAAUGUGGGCUGGUGAGGAUGUGGUUUUAUUUAUAUUACCCAAACAUGCUGCUGUAAGUGUGCACCAUAUUUAGACUUUUUUUUCUAACAUGCGUGCACUACAUGUAUGCUGCAUCCUCCGCCUGCAGAGCAAUGACAAAAACAGACAAGGAUUUUUGCAGGCAUAGAUAUUUUCAUUCUCAGAAUGGUUGGACAUGACAUAGGAGUGAGGUACAUUGUUUAUGUCUUUGCAUUAAUGUUGAAGAAAGAUUUAUUUAUGCUCUGAGUGGGGAACAUCAGACCGGUUUAACCAGAAUUACAGCCCCGCAGUUGUGUGCCUCCAAGCAGUCACGUUUCAGUUUAUAUCCCACCAUGUGUUUCCCUCUGACUGACAGCAUAACUAGCGGGGAUUGGGGAUAUUGAGUAUUUGCAUAUUGGAAAUAUUUGAGAAAUGCCAUCUCUGUACGUAAACCCACAUUAUCCAUGAGCGGUUAUAUCAUGAUCUGUCUGUGUUUUUCUCAGAGAAAAAGUAUGAGACUGUCAGUAUAGCAAAAGCAGAAUGAACAGGUUUGCUACGGUUAGAGUGAGAGAGUUUGCAGGAUUGUCCUAAAAUCCAGUAAAUAUGAAAUGUUGCUUCCAGGCAUUACUGAAGCGAGAAGCGAGAAUGAAGAUAGGAUGGACACGGAUCACCUAAACUUUAACACCUAAAUUGAAUGACUUUAUCUUUGGAUUCGGAAGGACAUUAUGUCAAAUUUGUGGGUAUUCCCUGCAGGUAUUGUUGUGUUAUUGUGUUUACGAGACUGAGAUGGGAGAAAUGAGCAGAAAGGACUUUUUUUGAGGGAACUGUUGUUGUCAUUUCAGAUGAAACAUGUCAUCACUUCAUGAUUCUACCCUAAAAUAUUGGUGUUUUGUUUGAUAUCAGACAAAAUUUACUCUUUUCCUUCCAAUGAUAUUGUUGUGAGGCCGUAGAGUCCUCACUCACCAACUAUUGUUAAGACUAAAGGAAGGUGCACAUUCCUCGAGCACCUAAGCAAUGUUGGUUUGAAGUAUAUAUUAAAUGCAUAUGAUGUUUACAUUUCACUCUAAAUAUGUAGUCUUUUUUUUCCCUUUGGGGAAUUCUGUUUUCCCUUUUGUUAUUGUUGCAGCUUCUCUCACUUGGAUUGUCUGCAGGUGAGAGUGGCCAAACCUGAAUUCUGUGAGGCUGUGAUUAAAGCUGCAGGUAGCAGAGCAUAUGAGCUGAGUGAAAUCAGCAGAUGUGUGGCAUAUGAGAUGUGAGGCUGUGAAGAGAGCCAGUUUGUUGGACUUUUGUUGGACUAAUGUUUCAUUUUUUCUUCCUCUGCAGGGGAUAUUUUUGCAAAGUAUAUAACUGAUUUGACAUUUUUUGUCUUAUUUUGAUGUGGCUUAAUAAAUGUUCUCCUCAUUUUUGAGAAUUCACAUCUUGUUUGAGAUUUGAUGACAGAUAUCUUGUUUAAAAGACAGAGGUCUGACCUCUUGCAGAAAGUCCAGUCAGGAAGUCUAAAUUUUGCACGCACGGCCUGUUUAUUUCUUGUUGCAUUCUGCUGUUUGGCUUCAUUACAUCUAUUUUUUUUGUUUUGAUUUUUCCUCUUUUUACAUUUCAUUCAUGCUUUUAUAAUGUUCCCUCAGCUCUAGAUGACACCAUCGCCCACCACCUCUACCUCGGGGUGAAAACAAUACCAUUAGCACAUCUCUCUGCAGAGUCAAAGUGCUAAAGACUGUCUGACACGUCUUAAUUGCCUCAUCAUGUGUAACAUUUAAUGCUAUAAUUGCUUCAUUCACGACCACUCAAGUUGUGACACUGUGUAAAAUGAUGAUAAAAGAGAUUUCGAAGGUUUGCACAGCAUUUACAGCAUUUAUAAUUGAUAAAAAAAAGCAAAGACAACAUAUUUUGUUGCACGGGUUUUACAAUAUUCCUUUUGAGUUUGAUACCAGCAACAUUUUUAUAACACUUAUAACAGGAUCAUGUUUUCUUUAGCGUGUCAUUAGCUCUGUAAAUGUUUGUGAACCGAGGAGACCAGUUUCUGUAGCCUGGCUGGGCCAACCAGUUGUGUGAAUCACUUGCCGUUCCUUCCCACAACAGUCUGGACUUUUGGGAGCCCUAAAAGUGGGCGGGAGUACUUUCCUUGAUAGACAGACUACUGUAACCAAUCACCGUAACCAAGCAUCUGACGUCAUCACAGUGCGCAACUGUGUUCCCUGCUGGGCUCUCAAGCAUCAAGUAAAGGUUUGAUAAUAUUUCAACGUGUGCGAGCAAACAAUGUCUUUUACGUCUUCUUCUGCGGAUAUAAAUGAUUUCUGCCGACUUUGCAAAGUCAACUGCAGAAUUAACGGCGUUCUGAAUGAACAGCGCUCUGAAUGAACAGCGCUUUGAAAAGUCCCGCAGCAUGUGUUAGACAUCUCCAUCUACACAUGGACCAAUCAGGGGCUGCCUUUCCCUGUUGUCCGGAGAACAGUGGAAACACAGUCUCUGAUUGGCCCGAUUAUUUUCUGAUUUCUAAUACUUGCUCCCAAUUGGCCGAAGUCCAGACUGUUGUGGGAAGGAAUGGCAAGUGAUUCACACAACUGGAUGGCCCAGCCAGGCUAGAAUUUCUGGGGUCUGCUCAACAGUUUAGGGUCUCCUUUGUUGUGAUUUUGUGUCAUGAUGCAAACUCUUUGACCUUUUAUAUUCAGGAACAUUAUUCAGGAUUGCUGAACUUUCUUCUUUUCCUCUGAGAAACCCAGUCAUGUUGCUAACCUGUUACAAAUAAACCUCAGGGAGAUGUUCCUUCAGAAGUUCUUAACUAUUGCACAACUGUUUCACCUGUUUUGAACUUUUUUGAAACUUUUUUUUGUUGUUGUUGCUGCAACAGGUCUCAGUUCCAGCUAAAAGAGAGUUGUGAAAGACAAGUGGAAGAAGACAUUAAGCAUGCAAAGCUAAGUUUAAUCUCACUAACAGCUUGUUUUGGUUCUGUGAGAGAUAACACUUGAUUAGGGAGUGUGCUUCACCUUGUGUUGUUGCCAUACCAACCUGACCGCUGUGACAAAAAGAGACAGAGCAGUGUAUUUAGCUGAGCCAAUCUUUUCCAUCCAAUUUAAAGCGUCCCACUGGGUUUUCUCAGUAAGCACUGCCGGUGCAAUUCUGCUCCUCUGUGUAAUUUCCCUGAGACCUGUGUGAGCUAUGUGGAGGCUUGAUGGGCUGUGGUGGGAGGAAGCUAUAGAGCAAUGAAUUAACUUGCAGCCACCCAGGGGGAUCCUUUGUGCUCCUGUCUCCAAGGACACCUGACUUAGACUUGGCGAACAAACAGCCAUCUCACACAAUAAUGGGAAAUAAAUAAUGUUCACAGGGAAGAGAGAACAAGGUUUCCCUUUGGGGACACGGGACACAAAGAGAGGAAAAUGAAUGGCAGCUUUGUGUUUUGUUUUGGACGUAUUAAACCCCUGGACUUAAACAAUAAGUCACUCUAUCAGAAAAGUGACACAGAGUGGUUUUAUAUUCAGUAAUGACUAUUUGUUUUCCACAAGGAGACUUAAUGGAAAAACUUUAGGCAAUUCACAUCUGACAGCUUAAGCUGGAAAUACCUCAUAUCAUCUAAAUGAAUCCUGUUUAUUUCUGUCCGCUUCUGCUUUGGGACAUGAUGGCUGGACUCUGGGGUAAAGCAGGUUGUCUGUUAAUGACUAAUACCUUUAGAUCCUCUGAACCUACAGUGACCACACUAAAGGCAUUCACAUGCAGGUCAAGCAAGCAAUGGUUAUUGCAUUCGUAUGUGGAAUGCCAUAGCCUAAGGCAGGGAGCGCACAACUCCGGUUCAUGAGCAUAUAUGAAAAGCCAUGGCAGGGAGAGCAGCAGCAAAGACUCCAACGCUCUGUUUCGAGAGCUUCCUGCUAUUCUGUGUGUGUAUGGCAUGCCAAAGCCUAACGCCCAAUUUCCACCGUAUCCGGAACAGCAGCGAUUUUUGCCGUCCGCCAAUUCCUACCAGAUCUAUUUAUGAGGUGAAUUUUGUGGCGGAUUACGGACAGAGGAAAUCGCGAGAACUCACAAGAACCCGCGAAUCGCGCAAUAACGGGUUGUCUUUAAUAAGAUAACCAUAUAUUAUACAUAACCAUAUAAGCAGUAGAUUGUGUCCUUCUAGAGGAAGAAAUCCACUUUCAGCACGGGCUCAUCUGUGCUGAAUUUAUCAUUCAUGCUCUGGCGUCUGCAAAAAAUAGAACUGUUGCGAUCAGCUGUGGAGUCCGGCGAUCCACAGUGGAAUGGAAAGAAGCUGAUGGAAAUUGACACAUUAACUUGAAAGGUUACCAUCAGCCGCGGUUGGCCGAUACAGCCAUUUCAUAUCCGUACUGGAUGCGGGGGAAAUUGGGGGUAAGGCAAAGAAAGUACACUAUCUCUAUGUUUCAUGUGAGUAGUGAAAGCAGGGGGAGCAUCAGCAAAGAUAGAACAGCGUUGGUGACAAUCAAUGUGACACUGGCAAAUGAGGAGCCGGGAUGGAGGCAGGUUUUUGGAGGAAGCAGGUGGGCUGAAACGGUUUAAAUAGAACAAGCAGAAAUGUGAUAGUCAGGAUCAUCUGCUACUCAGUAGGUGGAGCUUGACCUCGUGGCCUGCCUGAACCGAUGCCACGCUUCUUCUUUUCUUUGCUACAAUGCUAAUUGCUGCUUGUGUACAAGCUCAUUAUCUGUAACCCUUCAAACCCCUGACACACACACAAACACAUUAGCGCACACACACGUCUGUUUGGCCCAUGCUAAUGUGCCACAUGCUGGUCAGGCUAAGAGGGGGCUGAGGGACAGAUCUUCUGUCCCUUUUUUUUCCCACUCCAUGUUUGACCUCAAAUUUGUUCUGGUCCGCCAUAAUUCAGGGUCUCCAACUCUCUUCUUUCUGCAGAUUAUUGCUCCCAAAAUAGGGAAUAAAAGGGGGACUCGAGGGGAGGGACAGGGCAACCAUCUUGAAAGUCCUUGACCGUGAUUAAUCUACUUCUCCAUUUGGGAGUUUAUUAUAGUUUGGAUGCUCUGUUGGUUUUAUUUCAGUCUUUUACUAACUCAAAAAUAAAAUUAAAAACUGGACAUUUUUUCUCAUUAUUAGAAGGAAUUUCAUUUUUAAUAGUAAAUAAAGGAAGAUUUUAGACUGCUGAGAGAAGAAGAAGAAACUAAUUUUUUUUAGUGUCUCUACACAAAAUGUCAGAACUGAUCGGCUUUUGUCUGAUCGUUUGGCCUCUUGCAGUGACGGCCAAUACUUACAGGAUUCCAGUGGAGUCAGCUUAUAUCUGGAUAUUGGAUCAUUAGUAUUCAGGCCAGGACUACCUUUAUCUUGCCGUGUGAUUGUUUGCAGUCCACGCCAGAAAUGAGUGCGUGCAGCUGGAUUGGCAGAGACACUGAUUUUGCAAAAAAGAGCUGAAUGAAAAGCUGAAGUUUAUGGAUGAUAACUAAUAGCUUCCAGAUCACAAUUUUGGCUGCUUUCUUUUGGCAUUUUUCAUACUUUUUUUUCAUUUUCCAAAAGGACUAUUUUCUGCGCAAAAUCAGAUGCCAGCUCAAACAUUAUUAGUCAAUAUUAGCCGCACAGCAAACAGGAAAACAGACGCUGUAAAUCCCCCCCAAAUCUCCUCAGAAUUUGCAGAUUUCUGCUCGUAGAGAUGAUUGCAACUUUGAGUGCGAACAGGUGCAUCAGAAGAAAAGUGGCUCUUGAAUACAAAUGAGAAAACAUCCACAUACCGCCUCACUUUGUGCUUGGAUGUGAAUUUAGAUAAGAUGGUUUCGGUGUGUUUUCACCUUAUCACAUGUGCAGAAAUACAACCAGUGAGGAAGAGAGAGAGAGGAGCUUUCUAAGAAUUUUAUCAGGCAUAAUGUGGCAUCAAAUCAUAGAGUCAUUGAUAUUGUGAUGUUUUAUUACAAUUACAAUGUCAUUUAGCAGACGCUUUUAUCCAAAGUGAUGUACAUACGAAGCAUACACCAGUGGAGGACACACACUGGGAGCAAGGUAGGAUAAGUGUCUUGCCCACGAACACAACAGACAGACAAAUGAUAGGGUGGAAUCGAACUGCCAACCUUCCAGUUAUUGGAUGACCACUCUACCUCCUGAGCUACUGCCACCAAAAAAAUCCUCUUUUAGAUUGAGUUAUUGAUUGUGAGCGAGUCCAAACAUGUCAACAAAUGACAACAGUAUUAAAGAAGACUUAUAAUUAAGUUUACCUUUUAAUAUUUUAGUCUUGGACAUCUAUAGAGUUUCUUAGCAUGACUUGUAGUUUUAAAACCGUAUUAGCGUCUGUAAAAACCCUAAUGUCAGCACUUUUUGGACAAGGCCUGAAAUGCUUCAUUUUGGCUGAUUUCACACUAAUAGAAAGUUAGACACAGCUUGGGGAGCUACUUUGUACACAGCUUUGUAGUCACAUAAAAAAAAAAAAAAACACCUGAGGCCCUUAGCAUCCACCUUACAGGCAAUUUCCACCGCAUCCGGAACAGCUAUGAAAAGGUUGUAUCUGCUGAUCGUAAUAUGUCAAUUUCCACCGGCUUCUUUCCAUUUCGCUGCGGAUCUAGAAGUAGAUUUCCUCCUCUGGAAAGAAACGAUCUCCUGCUUAUAUGGUUUGCCUAUGUGGCUAAAGACAACUUGUUAUCGCGGGUUCUUGUGAGUCCUCGCAAUUCCUGCUGUCCUCACAAACGGAUCCGGUAGAAAUUGGCACACGGCGAAAAUCCGACCCGUUCUGGAUGUGGUGGAAAUCCCAGGUUACUCUGCAUUACAUAUAAACUAUUGUUAGGUUAGCAGACUGUAUAUACUCACAGUUUAUUGGUGUUACUUUUUACACAGUCUUGAAGCAUGAAAUGACCAGAAAAAUCAUGCUUUCACAAAAAAUGUUUUAGACCAGCAGUUGAUGCCAAAUUAACUCCACUUUACAUGUAAGCUGUUCUUACAUUAGCUGCUGCUAUUAUAUUACCUACAGCCUGAGGGUGUUACUUUUUACACAGCUCUAUUACACUAUAUGAAGCUUGAUUUGGCCACAUGCAUUUGUAAACGGAUGUUAGCACAUGCAUUGGAGAUGAGUAUGAGAACACAGUCCGGGAGUUAAUCAAAGUGUUGAGAGUGAGGCGUGUCUUGAUGGAGUGGGGGCUUUAAAAGAGUGAGAGGUGGAUGCUGCUGCUGCUGCUGCUGCUGCUGCUGUUGGCUCUGAUGUCUGUGCUGCACUGACAGCCAGAGCUUACACUGCAAAAACCCACAGAGCUGCUGACUCCCCGCUCUGACACACUGACCUCCUGAGAGAGAGAGCGAGAGAGAGAGAGAGAGGUGGGAGUGGUGGGGGUCUAUGGACUUGUCAUGUUUCUGUGUCAUUAAAGUCUAUUAAAGGUUGCUCUGCUGUAUGGGGUCAGCAUGUCGUAUGACUGUGACUGCAGUUUAUUAUCAUGGCAGAGGAAAAAAGAGAGGAGGGGAUAUUACUUUAUUUUGGAUUUAAAAAGAGUCAAACUUCAAUCUAAAUAAAUAAAUAAAUAAAAAGAUGAUUUUAUUUUCUCAUAUGGGAAUGAGAAUGAAAUUUAAAUGUCAAGGAUUAAGAUGAAAUGCUGAAAAUGCAGCAAAAUGUCAUGAGUAAAAGUUUUACUUUAAGUAUUUCUGGGAUCACAGUAAGAAUUCUAGUUGGUGUUGCUGAAUCGUUUUCAUCCAAUUAACAUAAACUUUCUUAUAGACCAAUCAGUACGUUUACAUGACACUUGAGAAAACCGGAUUAUUACCUUAUUCCGAUUAAGACCGGACAACUGAAGUGCAUGUCAACACCUCAGCAUGUAAACACCUCACUCAAUCGGAGUUCUCAAACUCCAAUUGGAGUCGGAGAACUCUGAUUAGGACACCCAGAUAAUGCGAUUGGAAUUUGAUUUUCUCUACCAUGUAACCAGCGUAGUCGGAGUAUGAUCAGAUAAUGCAUGUACGUGUGUGCCACGCCCCUGUAACUCUGGAACAAAAACACCAGAGAAGAGGAGUAGCGUGCAUCUCAUCUGCAAAAAAGUAGCAUGUACAUCUUCUUGCCCGAAAAUGCCCAGCAGCAGUUGUAGCCACUUUUGGCCUAGUGUUGUUGUCGGAAACAGCGCCGCUGAAAAAGACCCAUAUCGCCCCCUAGUUUUGGGGAGGAGUACACGUUCACAUCAAUAAUUAAAUUUUCUCAGCUGCAUGUAUAUGCGGACAACUCUGAUUCGGUGAAAAAACAAAUAAUUUUUUUGUGAUUUUUCUCUUCAAUACACAUCAAACAUACAGACCUGUUACUCAGAAUAACUAUUUCUAUUCCCACUCUGACAUUACACCAACGUCCUUGACCCUAACCUUCAAAUUCAAAAGGUUAAUCUGCUGCUGAUAUAGUAAAGAUGGUGGAUUACUCCUGGAGAGCCGCCAUGUUUUUGAAUCAACAAGUAAAAUCUGACAGAUGUCUUGACUGUCAGAGUGAGACCACGCUGAGUGUUAAUGUGCUGCUGGUUAGAGAGUGUGAAAAAACAAACCUGCUGUGAGACUCGGCUCUGCUGUCGCUCUGGAGCAGUUUGAAAUUUGAUUUCCCUGCAAACCAAAAGAGGUGAAACUAAACAAACAGCAUAUCUCAAAAGAUAGACAGUCGAGGAGUAUCAUCCAAGUAACGGGAAAUGUUUGAGUCGGGCUUUGAGUCAGGGUCCUGCUCACCUUGUUGCGAUAACUUAAGUUUGUGGGCUGAAAACCAGCAAUACCAAAAUCUGUGUUUAUUUUCAGAGAAUUAAAAGGAAGCUGAGGUUUUGAUUGUGAAAGAGGAAGAAACGCUGCAAGGGAAUUGUUUGUUUUUCCACUGUUUACUCUGAAUAACCCUGCUUGUAUUAAAAAUGGGCCACAGUCCCCCCGGUCAGCCUGAGAUUCACCCCCAAACAAGUCAGGAGGUUCCUUUUGGCAGCGAGAAAAAAGACUUCCUGCUGAGAAGAGUCAUUACACAAACCAUAAAAAUCAUUAUCAGGCCCUAAAAAUCAUGCUCUUUACGCAGUAAUAAUUUAAGGAAUCUUGAGACUUCCAUUAAAAGUGAAAUGCUCCCAUUGUGGUGAGGAGUGUCCUGAAGGUCUGGCCCACAUUCCAGAUCUGGAUCAGUCAGAGGGUGGUGGGAGAAGCCCUGAGGGGGCCGGUUGAGGCUGAGGACAGUGCGUGAGAUCUCACCCCGUACCCAGCUCCCAAACCUUUCCCCUCAUCUGCAGACAAAGAGCAGAUCUGAUGUGAAACAAAGAGCAGAUCUGAUAGAACACAGACUCACAGUACUGACACAAAUACAACUUAACUCUAUUACAGCGAGCAUCGUCAUUUGGGCCGCGGGGGCAUCAGGGGUCUUUGAGGAGAUCCUAGGAGUUCAGGGAGAGUUUAACUCAGUUGUUAUUGAAAAAGCAGAGUGAUACCACAAACAGUACCUUCUCCUAAUGGUCUAAAACUGGGAGUUUGUUUUCACAGUUUCUGUAUUUGACAUUAAUUUUCAAUAGAUGACAUUAACCUUAAAUAACUUUGUGUUUUAAGAGUACCUGGCAGCAGAGACAGUGGGGAGUUGAGAGUUUAUCUCUGCUUUAAUUUCAUGUUGUCGUGACCUCACCCGCGAAAUUUAAUCUCCUUCAUGCCAUUUUCACAAACCUUUCAAGUUAGUAGACUUUUAAAGUUGAAUAUGGGUUCCAGUUUGGAUAUUUGAUCAAGACCUGUGUGAUUACAGAUGGUACAAGAUAGCUAAUAUCAAGUUUCUAUACCAAAUCUUUCGUCACUGCUUUGAGUGUGAAAUUAUGUUGACUACUGCAGAGAUCUGAUGUUCCCUUUAAAGGGAUAUUCCAGCGUAAAACUAAUAUAGGGUCAAACAAACCGUAACACUGAGGUAGACACCCCGUCGAGAGAUUAAUGUUGCCGACCACUUGCUUCUCUAGUUAUACCAACUUCAGUAAUGACCACACGAUAGCAAUACACAGCAGUCUGAGGAGCCAUAAACAAACCUCAACCAAAACGCCACAAAUAAUGCUCAGAACAGCGCCUAACUUCAUCAACAGUACAUAUAGGGUCCUAGCCAUAGUACUAGCCACCAAAUUUCUUUAGCAAAGAGACUAAACACUACUCACCCACUCUCUUCCAGCAGCCGCUUGUUUGUAGUAAGACCUUUGGACAGUCCAUUACGUACUACAGCGGGGUGACGCCGCUCAAGGAAGAACAUUUAUGAUCUUUUUUUAAUAAGAAUGCUAUCAGACCGAGACACUAAGGCAGAAGAACUAACGUGUCUGCAGUGCAAAAUGAUUAAUAUGGUGAUUUUUACUUCAAGGAAAUGAUAAACAAAUGAUAAUAUAUGUUCUUCCUUGAGCUGCGUCACCCUGCUGUAGUCCAUAAUGGACUGGCCCGAGGUCUCACUACAAACAAGCGACCGCUGGAAGAGAGUGGGUGAGUUGUGUUUAGUCUCUUUGCCAAAGAAAUCAGGCAAAGCUAAAAAGAUGUUUGGUGGCUAGUACUAUGGCUGGGACCCUAUAUGCCCUGUUGAUGAAGUUAGGUGGCUAUAGAGUGGCGUUUUGGUUGAGGUUUGUUUAUGGCUCCUCAGACCGCUGUGUAUUGCUAUCAUGCGGUCGUUACUAAAGUUUGUAUAACUAGAGAAGUAAGCGGUCGGCAACAUUGAUCUCACGACAGGGUGUCUAACUCAGUGUUAUAGUGUGUUCGACCCUAAAUUAAUUUUACGCCAGAAUGUCCCUUUAAUUGACCGGUGCACAAAACAUGUUUUGAUAGUAAUGAAUUAAUAUUGAUAGUAAACUUUGCAGUUUGAAUAUUCAACAGUUUUGAGUUGGAUCGCCUUAUUUCCUUUGAACUGCUGAGAUUCAAGCAGAAGUCCAACUCUGUGCACGCGCUGACAGACUCUGCUGUGUCUGCAGCUGGGCCCUGCUCCUGUAUUUGGUUGUGUUUAUGAAAUGCCGCAGUUUGAGAUCAUAAGCAGGAGAUCAUUAUCCCGCUCAAGGUCACCGAGCAUUUGGCCACAGCUGGACUCGAACCUCUGAACUUUUCAUGGCGGUGCGGUUGCUCCUGCUGCUCCGCCAGCCUGCUACACCUGUGGACUGUAAAGUGUGUUUCUGCGAGUCCAUCCUGCUGAGCCCUGCUGCCUCGGAUCUGUUUGUGGUCUGAGCAGGGCAAAUUAACAGCCUUUCUGAUGCUGUACAGCUCUGCUCCCUCAGUUAAUCUACCGACCAAAUCAUAUCUUACAGCUUCAAGAGAUCAGCAAGGCCGCAUUGAGAACACCACAGCAUGUUUUUAAUGCAUCUGAAAGAAACCGAUCCCUGAGUGACAAAGAGAAACUAUAAAAGGCUCCGAAAAGGGGGAUUUUGUUUAUUCGGUUUGAUAUUUGCUGUGACGGAAAUCAAGCAAGACUUGUGAAAUUAAAUUCCCUUUUUUUGUUAUUUUUACCAAUGCUGAACACGCCUGCCAAUGCCUAUUUACCCAGUAUCAUGGAGCUGAAAACACAAGUGUGUCAUCUCCAUGGAAACUGCUCCACAAACAAAUUGGAAAGCCUGCAGUUGUCACGGUCACUGAAUACAUGAAUCAUCCUGUAAAAGAAAAUCACAGCAGGGUCAAAUUUAAGAGGCUGUUUUCAGGUUUAGACCACAACUGAGUGUGUAAAAAUUUACAACCCGAUGUUUUUGUUUGAAGAAAAUAUGAUUACUCUUACAGGAGGUGUAUUAAACAAGUCCUUAAAUGAACUUUUACUGUCGAGUUUAACCUGAUUCUUACAUUUUGUCUCAAUUUUGUUGAAGGAAAAGACAUUGAAGAGGAGAGGGACCGUCCAGUUUGUUAUCAGCACACAGUUCAACGCCGGUACCCCUGAUCAUAUGGGAACUUGGGAAUUUGGUGCUCUUAUAUUAGUAUCUUUUCCUGUUGUUUUAUUUUAUUUUAUUUAUUACUUGUCAAUGUCGAUGGUAAUGUCAGCUUUAUUUAUAUAGCACGUUUAAAAACAGCCAGUGGCCUACCAAAGUGCUUUACAGUAAAAUAGCUAGAGACAAUAAAAAAAUAAGAGCAUAAAAACAUAAAACAACAAUAUAGAUAAACAUAGCAAAUAAAUGAAAUACCCGAUAAAAGUAGCUUUACUUCCCCAAAAGCUAAAGUGAACAGGUGCGUCUACAGAAGUGUUUUAAAAGUGGAAAGGCUGUUAGAUAUUUCUGAAAUUUUAUUUUAGGUUACUCAGUUUUUAGAUUUUUACCUAAACCUCCAGUGUUUCCUUAUCUUGAAUUUUAAAAUGGCGCUUCUUCAGUGCGCUCAUUCCAGUUUUUAUGAAAUUGACCCCUUUUCAAGUUCAUGCAUUUUAAUACAUGUUUCUAU